AGAGACAACAUCCAGGGAAUUACCAAGCCAGCUAUUCGUAGGCUUGCUCGUAGAGGUGGUGUGAAGCGUAUCUCUGGUCUGAUCUAUGAGGAGACUCGUGGAGUUCUCAAGAUCUUUUUGGAGAAUGUGAUUCGUGAUUCAGUUACCUACACUGAGCAUGCCAGGAGGAAGACUGUUACUGCGAUGGAUGUUGUUUAUGCUCUUAAGAGGCAGGGAAGGACUCUGUACGGAUUUGGUGGUUAGAUUUGGGGUUUUUAGCUCUGGGGAAAUGGGUGGUAGGUAGUAACUGUAGCAUUUAGUUUAUGAUGCUUUUGUGGUUGCGUUGGUUGGUUCUGUUUAGUGUUCUUAUGGUCUAGACGCAUGUAAUAUCUGGUUACAUUAUCUAUGAACAAAGUUAUGUUUCUAGUAAUUCUAUUGUUCGGCUGCCAGUUGAUUUAUUUUGUUAUUUGAUAUAUCUGAAUGUUUUAUUAUCUGUUCAGUUCUUUGGAAAUUCUGUUUGUUUUUGGGUAUUAUAGACGUAGUGUAUUUCUUCUUGGCAUUGAUGUUCAAUACAUUCUCUUGGUUUCUAUCAAUGAUUCACUGUCUAAUUUUGGAAGAACUGAUGCAAAUUAACUAACAGUCAUGUGCUCUUGAUUUCAUUUGAUUCUAUGUCUGUUCACUUUCCUGAUGGUGUGUAAUCUUCACUUGUUGGAUUCUAAGUUUAUCCUUUGUUUUUGAGCUGUUAAAUCACUCUGUUAUUUAUUGAUUACCUGUCUUAAGAACAAUGGAAAAUUGUUGGAUGCUUGAAAGUGGAAUGCUCAACCCAAUUUUAAUAAGAUCUGUUCCACCCUAGUUUAACCAUUCAGCCAAAUUGAUUUCACCACUCACAUUGUAGCGUUUAGUUUCAGUAUCAAGUUGCCUCGCUCCGACCCAGAUUGUUGUAAAAUAAUAAGUAUUAAACACGAGAUUGAUGUGGAAACCAAUAUGAGAUAGUAUUAAGUUGUUUACCAUUUUUAUCAAUUUGUCAUUGCCAAAUGAUUACAUUCUAGUAAGCUUAUCUACAUUCUGAUCAGCAUUAUCAAUGAGCUGUCAAUGUCUGUAUUUUCAUCAGUAAUCGGUUCAUUGGUCUGGAACCCGUUCAUUAGCAGCUCCAUCUUGAUCAUCAUUUUGCUCAUUAGCAGCUCCUCCUUGUUCAUUAGGAACCUGUCCAUUAGCACCUCAUUAGCAGCUCCUUCUUGAUCAUUAGGAACCUGUCCAUUAGCACCUUCAUCUUGAUAAACAUUUUGCUCAUUAGCGCCUAUAUCUUGUUCAUUAGGAGGUUGUUCAUUAACGUCUCCAUCUUGUUCAUUAGGAACCUGUUCAUCAGCGUCUCCAUCUUGAUCAGCAUUCUGCACAUUAACGUCUACAUGUUGUUCCAUAGGAACCUGUUCAUUAGCGCCUCCAUCUUGAUUGUUAGGACCUUGUUCAUCAUCAUUCCAGUGAACAAGCUUUUCCCUGCCACAAAAUACUCAUUUGUAAUAACAUCUUACAGGUCAUACCGCAUAUGUGUACAGUCAAUCUGCACAUUCGUAGUUAGAAACUUACCAUUUCAUAUAGAUUUUCCUUCUCUAAUAUACAUGUAUGGUUGGUUGACUGCAAUCUGCAGAAAUCAAAAUUUCAGUAAUUUUUAUUUUUAAAAAGCAAGAUCGAAAUCAACCUGUUAAUGAAAAUGAAACACUCUUUAAUAUUAGUAUCUUACAACUUUCCACCCAAGCAGCAUUCCGCAUUUAACACAGUAUCUGCUAGUGUUUUGCCAGAUUUUACUUGAUGAUAUCUCACGCCGUUUGGUACUUCAACAUUAAACCUGCAUACAGCAUAUACACACAUGUAUAAAGUUUUGUAACGAAUGCAUAUAUGCCUCAGAUCGCAGAAAAACUUGAGGCGAAUAACAAAAUCACAAGAUGGUGAAAUCGUCUGUAAAAGCCCAAUUCCAAACAUGAAAUCACGACUCACACUUUAUUAAAGAUCCCUACAUCCAAGGAUUCCUGCAAAAUAUACAAUACAAGAAAAUAAGCAUAAUAAGUUUGUGUCAAGAAAUAUAUCAGCGUGCUGAAUAAAUUGCACUUCAUGACAGAAUAGCAGUUGAAGUUUAUGAAAUCAGUAGCAAUUUCAUUAGAUGAUACAACAUAGUUUUUCCUAGACGACUAGUUAAGUUUAUAACUAUACGCUGGAAAUUAAUACAUUUACUUUGGAGUAUCAAAGAAAAUGUCUGCAGCCCACAGAUAAUGGUUUGAUUUGUUCACAAAUAAGUUGAUAACAUAUUGCAAAAUAUGAUCAUUCAGAGAGAUUUGAGUGAUAAUCUGUUAAGAAUUCGUGCCCUACUGAUUUUCUUAUUUUCGCCUAACUUUUGCGUAAUGAUGGAACGUGUUGCCUGACGUGUUCCACUAACCUGUUUCAAGGAAGCAGUAAACAGAAAAUAAAGAACACAAUGAUUUUUACGUGGAAAACACCUGACUCAAAAGGUGUAAAAAGCACGACCUGCAUCUCUACAGAAUUUAACUCCAACUUCACUAAAAAACUCUUGACUGAUUACAAAACUCUUGUAACCAACAAAUAAGAAUUAUAAACUCUAAUCCCUAUGACUCAACAACUAGGAAUCGUAAACUCUAAUCCCUAUAACUCAAUAACUAGGAAUUAUAAACUCUAAUUCCUAACUAUACAUACAUCUCCCAAGGUAUGUGUUCCCAAAGUCUCUGAGUUUUCCCAACUCGAAGACUAGCUUCUAAUUCAGUUUAUAACACACUGAAACUAAUAUUACAUGAAUAGCUUAAAAUGGCCCUUUAGGCAAAACUUUUGGGCAUUUCCACUCAUCUUUAAGACCAAGGAGCCUUAAAAUUGUAUGCCAACCCUAAUUAAUUCUUAAUGCAACUUAGAAGCUUAACGCUAAAACUCUUAGCUGGAUUCUGUACUGAGGACCAGGUUCUUCAACGUGUUUUUUCAGUGAUUGAGUAGCACUUCGUGAAGUCAAUCUAUCGAUUGAGUUUUUCUGUUUUUUUAAGUGCGUGAAUUAUUCUGGCGGCUGCAUCUUCUAUUUAAGCACAACUCUCCAAAGAGUCGUUCUUUAUUUCAAACUCCUACUUCCAACUCUUGUCUCUUUAGUGUUGUAGUAAAACUCCAACUCUUUUAAAUUCUUCAAUUUUCAGAAUCUUUCUUCUUCCACACAUUGGACUCUUAAGGAUAUGCUUAGAAGUAAAACUUCUUUUCACAUAGGACUUCUUUUUCAACUCAACUUGCUUUCCCUUAUCAUCAAGUGAUUGAAUCAAAUUCAACUUGUUUCAUUCAUAUUGUCAUUCAUCAAAACUUCAAGGUUCCAACAGAAUCCAUACCAAAUUAUCAGUGAAAUCCUCGAUGAAUGCAAUUCGAGUUCCGCAAAUACCACAGUGGAUGCAAUCACGAGAAGGGGCUCCAUCAUAUCCAACUAAAAAGAGUCUUCCUAUUUUGUUGAAUCAAGAAGCAACUCCUAAUAGAUACCUGCAAAUUCACUUCAACAAUGAACAAAGUGGAAGAGCGAUAUAUCACACAUGCACUGCUGAAAAGUUAGUGGGAUAAAGACUAACUGAUUAUGAAUGUGAAAUGAAGAGAGCUGGUGGAAAAUGAGAAUUCAAGAAAGUAAAAUAAUGGCUGGUGAUUAAUACUCUGAUAGAGUAGAUAUAUAUGCCUACUUCUGAAAUGACGAGACUAAAUUGAUAUAGAAAAAUCACUUCUUGAUUCUUGAAUGGAUCAGUUGAGAAGACUUAUAUCUUGACCGUUAACUCAGAUAGGAGGCAAAUUUGUAUUUCAGUUAUGUUUCCCUUUCUUUUCCUCCUUUAAAAAAAAAAAAAAAAAGAGAAAUACAGUGUUUCUUUUUCUAAGUGUAUUAUUGUACUAUAUGAUGUUUCAUCUCCAAAACCAGAAAAAUGGUAUGUUUGAGUGCGUUAAGGGCGUUCGAUCAAGUUUCUACUUCCUAUUCUCGUUAGCUUUAACAUUAAUAUGGAGUACAAAUCCUCAAAUAUGAUUGAUUGGUCCAAGUGUAAGAAGAGAAAAUGUAUCUACAGUUGAGAGAAUCCAAGUCAUACUCAUGAAUAUUUCUUCGUUCUCUAGUAGCUAAUUACCAUGAUGUUGAUCGAUUGUCUAAACAGAUAUCUCGUGAAAUGGCAAAUCAGUAGAGUUAGCACCAUAAUGCCUCACACAGACCCAAAUAUGAUGUAAAACAGCAAGUAAAUAGAGUGUCAAAUGUCAUUCAGUAGGUUACCUUUCCCCCCUUUAUUCCUAAUUUUUGAAGCUAGAUCUUCGCAGUAUUGCUUUAAGUCUUCAUCACGGUUUCAGUCCUUCAAAACAAAUUAUAAGAAAAAAACAAAAAAAAUUAUUGGUAAACUCAGGCUUUAUCUUUUCUGUUUCUGGGUUGUCAAAAUGCUGCUUGGCUAGAAUCUUGACCCUAUUCUUGGUUUACUAUACACAAGCGUAAAUGGUUUCUCUUCUACCAUCAGACUUGAUCUCAACAGAAGUUACACACCAUUACACCGGGGUAUUACAAAAGCCUUGAUCUUUGAAAAUAUCAGGAGAAUCCAUAUAGCUAUUGGACUGUUAAGGCGAACCGAAAGCUGUCUGCUUGAAGGUAUAGCAAAGCAAAUUGUUUGCUAUACCAAUAUGAGAUUUAAAUGUAUUCAGUUGUAUAUACAAAAUGAUAGUUUAGCCCACAGCAAGAACAGGAACAUUAAGUUACAUAGAUUCACUAUCAAACAUCUGUUCAACUUUAUAGUUUUCGAGGGUUACACAUUUCCGAUACAUUAGACAACUGAACAACAGAAAGCAGAAUCCCAGAUUUCUAUGACAUGGGCGCACUAGAACUCGAGUUAGCAUGUGAUAGAGUCAUUAUUAAAACAGUUUUGUUGCAACCAUAUUCAGGUGACAGAACUCAAAAACCUGUAGGAGUAAAGGCCAUUGGAUCCACAAUUCUAAGCAUAUCAGUUUAGAUAAACUAAGCAUAUAGAGAAUGGUUGUACCAAGGCUCAAAUAGGUAAAAUAUUCGGUGUCAAUUGCUUUGUUGCAACCUGAAGUAAUAACAUGUACUGUGAUCCUAGAAUCGAAAGAGAACAAAGAAUAUCACGCAAUUAUGAAUUAGCAUUUUGUAUAGUUUGAACUCUAAUCAGAAUCUGUGUUAUCUUUCUGCAUUUUGAACAGCAUGAGUAGACUAUCAAUUUUCAUCAUUAUUAUCUGUUCCAUCAGACAGUUGAUCUACAUCUUCAUUCGUUUCAUUGGCGCACCCCCAUCUUCAUUAGGAUCCUGUUCAUUAACUCCCCCAUCUUGAUCAUUAGCACCUCCAACUUGAUCAUUAGCGCCUCCAUCUUGUUCAUUAGGAACCUGUUCAUUAACAACUUGAUCAGCAUUAUGCUCAUUAGGAGCCUGUUCAUUUGCACCUCCAACUUGAUUAUUAGCGCCCCCAUCUUGGACAGCGUUAUCAGGUACAACUUGAUCAGCAUUUUGCUCAUUAGGAGCCUGUGCAUUUGCACCUCCAACUUGAUUAUUAGCGCCUCCAUCAUGCUCAGCAUUAGAAGGUACAACUUGAUCAGCAUUUUGCUCAUUCGGAGCCUGUGCAUUUGCACCCCCAACUUGAUCAUUAGGAUCCUGUACAUUAACAUCUCCAAAGAGAAACUCAUGCAACGUUUCACCAUUCUGGUACCUAAGCAGGUGUCUGCCGCAAAAUACUCAAUUGAAUUAACACGUUACAAGUCAUACCGCUUAUAUAUGUGUGAAGUCUGUUUGCAGAUUUAUUAUUAGAAACUUACAAUCUUACAAAGUAUCUUCCUACUACAAAAUACUCGGACGGUUGGGCAACUGCAAUCUGAAGAAAUCAUAAAUUCUGUAUUUUUAGAAAAAUAGAGCAACAAAAUCGUCUUACUCAUGGAAUCAAAUUCUCUUUAAAAUUAGUAUCUUACUAGUUCCCAUGCGAUCACGACAAGACAAGUCAUACAGGAAAUAAUGGCUAAGGUAUCUCCAUCUACUACACUAUGAUGAUUCUCGUUGUUUUCUACAAUAACGUCAAACCUGCAUAUAAUAAACAUAUGCUUCAGACCUCGUAAAAACACUUAGGCAAUUUUUGAAAUCAUGAGACUUACAUUCUAUUAAUGUAUCCUCCAUAUAUUGCGUCCUGCGCCUGGACAGGAAAACAAACAUAAUUUGUUCUGUUCUUAGUCAAGAAAUAAGACUGAAAAAGAGCUGUCAAAAUUAAGGGAUUGGAAUCUUCUUUAUGAAAUGAGUGGCAAUUUCAUCUAAAUAUACGUACAAUAUAGUGCAGUUCUUCCUAGACAAAUGAUUUAAGCACAAAUUUAUUCCUAAAUUUGGGUAUCAAAGAAAACUUUUUGGUGUGCUCACAAGAAAUGACACAGAGAAAGAAUCCUUACAUUAGGAACGUAAUCCUCGAUGAAUGCAACUUGAUUACCGCAAAUACAGCAAACGAUGUAACCCGGCUCAUCGAGUAGAGCCUGUGCAUCUGCACCUCCAUCUUGAUUAUUUGCGCCUCCAUCAUGCUCAGCAUUAGCAGGUACAACUUGAUCAGCAUUUUGCUCAUUAGGAUCCUGUGCAUCUGCACCUCCAUCUUGAUUAUUUGCGCCUCCAUCAUGCUCAGCAUUAGCAGGUACAACUUGAUCAGCAUUUUGUUCAUCUCCAACUUGAUCAACAUUAGCUCCAUCUUGAUUAUUUGCGCCUCCAUCAUGCUCAGCAUUAGCAGGUACAACUUGAUCAGCGUUUUGCUCAUUAGGAGCCUGUGCAUUUGCACCUCCAUCUUGAUCAGCAUUAGCACCUCCGACUUGAUCAGCAUUUUGCUCAUUAGGAGCCUGUGCAUUUGCACCUCCAACUUGAUCAACAUUAGCACCUCCUACAUCAUCAGCAUUUUGCUCAUUAGGAGCCUGUCCAUCUGCACCUCCUCCAACUUGAUUAUUAGCGCCUCCAUCUUGGUCAGUGUUAACACCUCCAACUUGAUUAUUAGGAGCCCCUAAAUUAGCACCUCCAAAGAGAUAUUGACGCAACGUCACAUGAUUCUGGAACAUAAGCUGGUCCCUGCCACAAAAUACUCAUUUGAAUUAACACCUUACAAGUCAUACCGGGUAUGGGUGCAGUUUCAAUUUGCGAAUUUGUAAUGAGAAACUUACAUUAUGACAAAGAAUCUUCCUGGUACGAAAUACUGGUGCAGUUGGGAUUCUUCAGCCUGAAGAAAUCAUAAAUUCUGUAUUUUAAGAAAAAAAGAGUAACAAAAUUGUCUUGUUCAUGAAAAUCAAAUGCUCUUUCGUAUCUGUAUCUUACAAUUUGCCACCCAAGCAGCUCAUUACAUUGCAUACAGCAAGUAUCGAAUCUCACUACUUGGGUAUAUCCAUGUUCAUGAGUAUUCGGUUGUUCUCCUAUAUUAACGUUUCUCCUGCAUAUAUAAUAAACAGACCUCAGAAAGAAAAAAAAUCUUAGGCAAAUAUUCGAAAUUGCAUGAGACUUACAUAUUAUAAAAGUAGCCUCCAAGAUCUCUGUCUUGCGGCUGGACAAGAAAAUGAUCAUAAUAAGUUGUUCUGUGCUUAGCGUCAAGAAAUAUAACAGAAAAAGCAAGAGGGCAAACAGCUGGGGAUUGAAUCCUCUUUGUGAAAUAGCAAUUUCAUCAAAAUAUACUUUUUAUUAAACCAAUGACUGAUUACGAAUUUAUUCUUACAUGAUGAUUGAAAUCAUUGAGACGUGCAAUUUGAUUCCCGCAAGAACUGCAAUAGAGAUCAUAUACUGAGUUUCCUUGCAUUGUUGAUCAAGAAGCAACGACUCCUGUUGAAGAACAAAAUUUCUUCAAAAAAGAACAAAGUGGAAGAGAAAUAUGAACUUCUGAAAGAAUCAAUGGGAAAAAAAGAAGGACAAACUUGGAAAAUGAAGAUAUAAGAAUUCGAAAACAUGCAGAACGACUGAAUUUAAUGAGAAUGAGAAAAGAAUGUUAGUAAUAUAGAAAAGCCACUUCUUGAUUCUUGAAUCCAAGCUCUGUCUUGACGGUUAAUUCAAAAGGGAGGGAAAUUCAACUGUAUUUUAAUUUUUUAUUUUUACUUACUAGUAUAACAAAGAUUUUACAAUUUGCCCCUCCAAAAUCUGAAACUAGUCAUAUUGACAUUUAAUUUACCCCUUAACUAUACGCGUAGACUUAUGUGUAAAGAAUAAACGGAAAAGCCUCAAAAAUACUCUUGAACUAUCUAAAAUAGCUCAAAAAUGCACCACAUUAGCUUUUUGGCUCAAAAAUACCCCUCCCUUUAACAAAAUUUGGAAAAGAAUCAAAAAUACCCCUGAACUAUCUGAAAUGACUCAAAAAUAUCCCUCUGUUAAAUAUUUGGCUAAAAAAUACCCAUCUCUUUAAUGAAAUUCCACCAAGCAUGCCACCUAGAUAAUAAAAAAGGUAAACAACAUAAAUCCCAACACUUUGCUACCUAAUUACACUCUCUCCCAAUUUUUAUAUUAAUUGCUUAAUAUCCCGGAUAUAAUACAUAAGUUUGGUCCGGAUACAUAACCAACAGAUACAUAACUACCAAACUAAUUGACUGUAAAAAAGAAAAAUAAUAAUAAAAGAGAGAAUAAUGGAGCAAUUAAUACGAUUCUAAUUGAGCAAUUAUAUCUCUUUAAUUCUUCCAUCACAAGCCUUUUAUCCUUCUAUUUAUACUGCAAAGCUUCCUCCUUUAAUUCUUCAAUAGCUGUAACAAUAAUUAAAAACGAUAAAUAAAUAAUUAACUUCCUAAAAUAAUUCAGAAAAUUGAAAAAACAGAAGAAAAAAAUUGAGCAUCUUCGAUUUUUUCGAGUUCUUCUAAAGUAACAAUAAAUUGAUUGAGCUUUGUUAAUUUGUUGGAGAUGUUAUCCAUGGCAGAAACUUCAAUUAAAACAUCUGAAAUUAUUUUUGAGACAUAAAUAAAGUUCAAAUAAAGCUGAAUGUAUCAGAUGAAAAAAAACAAUACAAAUCAACUUCAACAUUUACUAUGUAUCAGAAGUAAUGGAUAUAUCUCAUACUUAUGUAUCAUACUCCUAAUGUUUAAUGUUUAAUGGAUAUAUCUCAUACUUAUGUAUCUUAUUAGUUUACUAAGACUCUUUUGUUGGAUUUCACACUUUUAAACCUAUUAACAGGAAAAAACUUAUUUUUUAGAUGAUCAAAGAAAUUUGAUAAUAGCGAUGUUACAUUUAAUAAUUUUUUUUUUAAAAAAAGUAUUAUGUAACUACCGUUUGUCUACUUUGAUUAAAAAUUAAAAAGUCGUGUAAGUUUUGCCCGUUUCACUGACGUUUUUAAAUAAAAUUAAAAAUAAAGAAGAAAGGAAUGUCAUAUAAUUAAAAAAUACUAACAUUUUACAUGUGGAUAGUAAUGUGGCAUAGUCACGUAGUUUUUUUUUUAUCUAGGUGGCAUGUUUGGGGGAAUUUCGUUAAGGGGAGGGGUGUUUUUGAGCCAAAUAUUUAACAGAUGGAUAUUUUUGAGCUAUUUCAGAUAGUUCAGGGGCAUUUUUGAACCUUUUCCGAAUUCUGUUAGAGGGAGGGGUAUUUUUGAAUCUAAUAUUUAACGGAGGGGUAUUUUUGAGCCAAAAAUCUAAUGAGGGGCAUUUUUGAGCUAUUUCAGAUAGUUCAGGGGUAUUUUUAAGCCUUUUCCGAAGAAUAAAAUUAUGAGACAGACAUUUGUGAAGCUUUAGUUAAUUGUGUAAAUUUCAUAAAUCUCAACAUUUUAGAAGUAAUUACAUCCCAUCAAAUUUUUUUAAUUAGUUUAAUCUCUCUCCCGUUUAGUAUACAUUCUGUAAAAGACAUAUACAUAACAAGUAAUGUAUAUUGUAAUCUGUUAGAGUCCUAGAAAACAGGGAGUAACAGAUAUUCAGCAUUCAUUGACGUAAAUGGCGCAACUAAUUUAAUACGUCGAUUAUUGCAUCCCAUAAAUCAUGUUUCAUGAACGGAAUUUCAAAUUUUAAAAAUCACAAAUACCUAAAAAUGCAAAUCUGAAGCAACAACAUAAAUCAAAAAUCAAAUUUCAUCUCUAUUUUUGUUGUUUACUGAACAAAGCAAAUUAUUUUCAAUUAUUGAAGAUGAAUAUUGCUAUUCUUGUAAGGUACUCGGGUAAAUGGAGAUCUCAAAUAGAAUAUGUGGAUUAUAAAAGUGAAGGGAUUGUUGUUGCUGAAUCAGUAAAUUAUAUGAGGUUGAUUUCAUCGAUUGCUGAUGAAAUAAACAUUGACGAAACUCGAAAAAAUAUUGAUGUACGUUAUGUUGUUGACGGGAAUGAUUCACCUUUUCAUAUCCGUAACGAUAAUAAUGUACGAUUGUAUGUUGAGUUGAAAAAAUCUCAACCGGCGUUCAUGAUGUAUCCGUUAUGUAUUUCAACAACAGAAAAAUGUGAAGAUGACAAAUUGUUCAAUAGGGAAAUAAGAGUUGUGGUUUGCCUGGAAGGUGUUGAAUCUGAUGCUUUGGCUUUAUUUAUUGCUGAGACACAAAAUGAGUAUGCUUUGUAUGUACCAGAGGUUGAAGAUAACUUGAUAUGCGAUAGCAAGAGUAUUGAUGUAAUGGUGAAAUAGUGUAUAGGGAUAAAAAUACGCUUGUUUCAGUGAUGUCGAAAUAUAAAGUGACUAAUGGAUUCAAUGUUAGAGCAAAACGAUCAGACAAAAAAAGGUGAAAUCAUAUCUUUUUUAUACUAAGCAGUAUGAUAUAUGAAGUCAUUGAAUGUUUUAUAUUAUUUGUUUUUAAUUAAAAUGUUAUAUAUAGUUGCAUGAACAUGUGUAUUUUUUUGUGCUAAAACUAAAAUCGAAAUACAAAUUAUCAUUGUGACCUUUGCAAUAUCUGUUUGUUAGUAUGUUGAAGUUAUGUAUGUCUAUGUGAGGUAAUGAAUUUCAAUUUACAAUUUUUUUUAUUUUCUGAAAAGCCAUUGGAUACAUACAACAAAACUGGUUACCAUUUUCUUCGUUAUUAACAUUUCUGAGGUGCUUGGUUUAAUAUACAUAUAAGUUGCUAUGUCUAUGAUUUUAAUUCUUUAUAUUAUCAGUUUUGGUAAGGGAAAACUGUUAUGUAUAUUAAAACAUAUACAUAAAUAGUUAUGUAUGUGUAAACAAAUACAUAACUGGUAACAUGUCAGCAGAUAUGUUAUUUAAUCCAUAAUCUGCAUACUUCGUUUUUAAAGUUUAUUAUGUGAGUUAUUAGAUUGUAUAUAGCUUUCUUUGAUGAAAUAUUAUGCAUGUCUAUGCUGUAUUAUGAUGGAUUUGUAACAAUUAAAUCGUUAAAACUUAUGAAAUGAUGCAAAAUAUAAUCAUUUGAAUAGUAUUUUUUAUAUUUCAGCUAUGUACUCCUUUGUUACAAUGAGAAAUAUACGUGAAAGUUGGAAGAAUCUAGUUACAAAAAAAUAGAUGUUUUUAUGAUACGAAAAUUUAAUCCAAAACAUACAUGCAAUUUGAGGGAUAGGGUACUGCAAAAUAUUUUGGCGACAACUUCUUUUGUAUGUGAAUUCACAGCUCCAAAACUAGUUAACUAUAAGAGAAGGCACACACUGGGGGACAUCAUUGAAGAAAUGAAAGUUGUAUAUGGUGUGGAUAUAAAUUAUAUGAAAGCAUGGCGUGCGAAGGAGUGUGCCAUCGCUUUGCUGAGGGGCGGACCUGCGGAUGGUUAUAGGCAGAUGCUGAGAUACAUUUAUAUGUUAAAAAAUGUAUAUCCUAAUUCGUACGUUGCAAUGCACAAAUCAUGGGAUAAUCGGUUCAUGUAUUUAUUUAUAGCAUUGCAUCCCAUGAUAAGGGAUUUUGAGUAUUGUAGGCCUGUUGUUAUUGUUGAUGGUGUACAUUUAAGUGGACUAUAUCAAGACACUUUUGUCUCAGCAAGUACUCCUGAUGGUGCAGGUAUGUGAAAAAUCAUAAAUCCCUGAUUUUUGUAAAACAUUCAUUGUAUUUCAUAUUUUUUUUUAAUUUAUUGAAAAAAAAUUGUUAACUUUUUUUUUUUGUAUUUAAAAAAAAACCAGAAAAAAUUGUAUUUAUUAUCACGUACGUAUUUAUGUAUAUUCUAAUAUACAUAUGUUAAACUAUGUAUAUGUUAACAUAUACAUAAAAAUUUUGUCCAGUAGACUUUCAAAAAAUCUUAGUGUUCUUCUACUAAUACAGUUUUUACUUAAUUUAGGAUGCAUAUUAUCACUUGCGUAUGGGAUUGUGGAUACUGAGAAUGAUAAUUCAUGGACAUGAUUUUUCAAUCAGUUCAAAGCUGCAUUUGGUGAACGUGAAAACAUGUGUGUUGUAUCUGAUAGGAACAAAAGUAUUAUAAAGCUGUCAGUGUCGUAUAUCCAAAUGUCCCACAUCUUGCGUGUAUAUGGUAUCUUUGGAAAAAUGUUUGUAGUUACUUUCAUAAGAGCAAAGAAAGUAUCAGUGAUUUGUUUUAUUCAAUGGCUAAAGCUUAUAGGAAAGAUGAUUUUGAAUAUUUAAUGACAAAGAUUGAAAAAGCUAAUCCGAAAGUGAAAAAAUAUUUACAAGAAGCUGGUUAUAAAAAGUGGAGUAGAUAUCAUUCACCGGUAAAUAGAGGUCGGAUGAUGACCUCGAAUAUUGCUGACUGUAUUAACGGUUGUUUGGUAGAGACCCGACGAUUGCCAAUAUAUGAAUUCUUAGAAGAAGUUUGAAUAUUAUUUGGUUCUUGGAACUAUAAGAACAGUGAAAUAGCUUCUUAUACAAGUAUCACUUUGGGGCGUCGAUUUGAAGAAAUUCUUACUCUCAACGGUGUGAAAGUUUUGAGAAUGAAGGUAUGUAUAAGCUUUAACUUUUUAAAAUGUGCAUUUAUAUGUAGUAUUUGUUUGACUGAAAAUAAGUGUAUUUAAAUUUUUAUUUCCAGUAAAAAAUAAUUGGUUGGAAUUUUGUUAUUUAUUGUUUAGGUGAAGGCUUCUUCAACAUAUAUAUAUUCAGUUUAUGAAUCUGGGAGAAGAUACAUUGUUGAUUUAGAAAAUGGCUCAUGCAACUGUGCAAGGUUUCAAAUAGAUCAAAUUCCUUGUGCUCACGCUAUAGCUGUAUUGAAGUCUAAACAUGUAAAUGAAAUUGGAGAUUACUGUUCAGAAUACUACAAGCCAAACACAUUGGUCAAGACAUAUGAGGUUCCAAUCGUUCCAAUGCCAGACAAGAAAGACUGGGAUGUGUCCAGCAGUGUAGAUGAAGAAGAAGUGUUGCCACCCUUAUACAAAAGACUUUCAGGUAGACCGAAAAAGGGGAGAAAGAAGAAAUCAAGUGAAACACUUUCUGAAAUCAAGUGAAACACUUUCUUCAAGCACAAAUCGUUGUGGACGAUGCGGCCAUGAAGCCCACAAUAGGCGUUUAUGUAGUUUUUUUUCAAAGAAGAACUAGUUUAUUGUUUUGUUAUACUCUUGAAGAGUACUAACUUAUUUAUUUUCGUGUUUUGUUUUCUUUUAAAUAAAUUAUUAUUUAUUUUGAUUUUAAUUUUAGUGUUAAUUUAUUUUUAUUAUUUGUGAUUUUUAUGUAUAAGCUGGUGUAUUUUCAUAAAACGUACAUAGCUCCAAUGUAAAAACUGUGAUAUGUAUGUUUAAUUUUUUUAAAAACUAAAUUUUGAAAAUCAACUGUCAUGUAUUUUCUUUAUAAUGUUGAAUUAACUUAUUGUUUUGCUAUAUUUAUGAAGAGAAAUGAAAUAACCUUGGAAACCAGUGGUACAGUUAUGUAUAUUAUAUAACAUACAUAAAUUGUAUUUAUAGCCUUUAACUCAUAUAUAUAUUUUAUAUAUAUUAUAUAUUAAUUAAUGUAGAUCAUUUAAUCUACAUAGCUCUAUUAUUUAACGUUUGAGUUGUAAAUGUAAACGUAUAGCUGUAAACAAAAAAUUUAAAAAACAAAUGUUAUGAGUUUUACAUACAGCGUUUAGUUAACUUAUUUCUUUAAUAUAGUUUCUGUUUCAAUUAAAUGUAUACUUAGGUAUAUUUUUCAACAUUUAUUAGUUAGUUAUAUAAUGUAAUAUGUAUAUUAUAAUAUAUACACAGAUUAAAAUUAGGAGGUCUUGUGUAUAUGAAAACCUAUACAGACAUUACAUUUAUGUAUAUUUAACAUUAUACAGUAUUAACCGUGAUGUAUAUUAAAAAAAUAAAUGUUAUGAGUUUUACAUAUAGCGUUGAAUUAACUUACUUCUUUAAUAUAUUUUUUUUUCAAUUAAAUGUAUACUAAUGUAUAUUUUUCAACAUUUAUUAGUUAGUUAUAUAAUGUAAUAUGUACAUUAUAAUAUAUACACAGAUUAAAUUUAGGAGGUUUUGUGUAUAUUAAAACAUAUACACACAUUACAUUUAUGUAUAUUUUACAAUAUACAGUAUUAACUUUUAUUGUUUACAAUCUAUAUGAAAACAUAUACACACAUAACAUCCACAAAUAUAUGUAAAUGUUGUCAUAUGCAACAUUCAUCAAAAACUGCAUUCAUCAUUGCAAAAAAAUACAUAUGUCAAAUAAAAACUUCAUCAUAUUCAUUAAAAAAAAAUUGUACUCUGCCUUACAAAACAACUAAAAUAAUUAAAACUUUGAAAAUUCCAAACAAAUUUCAGCAGAAUACAUUAAAAAUCUUAACAAUAUUCUUCAGUAAGACUACUCAAUGCAAACUAUUGCAUUAUCAUCUGAAAUUUGAAUAAUUCUCGACUUUGAUCUUGGAGGGUCAUCAGUUUCACUAACAUAACUUUUCUUUACUUUUUGAAUACCAUAUUUUCGAAGUAGUGUGGCGUAACACAUUCUAUGGUAUUCUUCUUCAAAACCAUCAGAAGGCACGUUCAUUUCUUCACUUAGGUAUUUUGCAUAACCAGCAACCUGUCAGACAUACAAAAAAUAAUAGAAGUUAUUAAGUAAUACUUACUAGCAAUGAAAAAUACAAAUACAUUAAUACAUGUACAGUAAUAUUGCAAAUAAAAAGAAUAUAUAAGUAUACUUACACAGUGUCGCAUUCUUGUUGCAUAAUAUGUUGAACAUACUCAACAUCAAAGAGAUGUUCAUUCAAAAUUUGUGUCGUUUGAGUAAUCUUAUCCCUAUAUGUUUCACGAUUAUGCCAAUCUGUACGAGAUAUUUCAUCAUAAAAUUUGCUGUCGGAGAGGUAAGUUGACAGCAUCUUAGCCAACUUUUGAAUCUCAGUAAUUGAUUCCGUAUUCCUUCGUCUGGACAGCGAAUCGUAGAUGCGUAUGCAUCUAUCCUUCAAGGCAAUAACAGCUAACACCCAGUGAAAAUUCUCAUUGCAGUUGAUAGGAACAUACACCUCAUCAACUUGGUGCCAUGGAAAAUCAGAUGGCGUGCAAUAUCCUUUGAUUAUAUGUGUUAUUGCCUCUUCAAUUAGAGCAACGCGAACAGAUUCAGCAUAAUUUUGUUAUGUAGUUAGGACUUUAUCUGUAUCAUCUUCAUAGUAUCUGGAGUAUGUCUUGUCAAUGUAGUUCUUAGGAAAACGGUUGUUGUGAACCUGUAAUCUUGAUCAUUCCUUAAUUUUGAUUUCUUCCGCAAAUGAUAGAAAAUAACAUCAAUAUGCUACAAAAGAGGAGAAAAAAUGAAACGAAUUAUGUGUUGUGUAAUAAAAAUUACAUACUUCUAGGAAGUGUUUGUAGACAUACAUCUAGAUAAUACAUGCAUAUACAUAAAAUAUGAUGAAACCUGAGUAUGCAAGAAAGUUCAUAACUACAUACAUUCAGUGAUGUAUAUUAAAUAUACAUACUGAUUAUCAAUUAUUAACAUACACUUUCAUUAGCAAUCUAAUACAUAUAUUAAGGUAGACAUAUACAUAUGUUGUUGUGUUAUAAUUGAGUUAACAUAUAGGUUAUAAUAUACAUAGAUGAUGUCCAUCUAUUUUAGUAGUGAUGAAAUUGUUAACAUAUACAUAAACUUUUUUUGUGUGACCUGAGGAUACUAGAACAAACAUGACACAAAAAUCAACAGUGAUGUAUAUUAUAAAGUAUAUGUAGGUGUUGUCAAAUGUCUAAACUGGUCAUAUAAAAAAUGAACACAUAUACAGUGCAAAAGCAUGAUGUACAUAAAUUAGAAAUUGAAAUAGUAGUUUAGGAGAGAAAUUGAAGUAUUAGUUUAAGAGAAACAUAGUUUAUUUAAAACUUAUUUAACACAUACAAAAUUUCUGAAGUAGGUUAACACAUAUAUACCAUGAAUGUAUGUAUACAACAUAACAGAACAAUUAAAAGCGAAUGAUUAUCAAAUUAAAAAAUUUAAAUACCUUAUUAUUCCAACACGUGUUCUUUUGAGACAUCAAGUAAAAUCAAUUUUUUGUUCGUGCAUGAGCAACCACAAAAUCAAUUUCAUGAACUCCUAGUGAAGAUGAUUUUGCUUUGUAGUAAUAAUCGUCAUAUUUUCUAUAAAAAAAUUAAAUUUGUUAUUAUAAAAAAAAAUAUAGUACAUUCAUUGAGUGAAAUAAUUAAUUUUAAUAUCGAUAAAAACUUACUUUUUAGCAUGAAACUUCAAUAAUCCUUCCUCCACCCACUGUUUGAACUCUUCAAUUACACUGCUUGAUAUAGUGUCAGAUAAUAGGAAACCAUCAAAAGCGAAUUGUUGUUUCUGCUCUUCGAUUUGAUCCUCAAUUGCUUUAGAGCCAGAAGCAUAUUCUGUUGUGUAUGGAGACUUGAAAACUUUGGAUCUCGUCCUGAUUCUCUUAACCAUCUUAGUAGGAGUUUUCGCAGCUUGAUGAGCCGCAACAAUAACAUCAGUAAAAUCAAGAGGAAGCUGACUAUCAGAGAUGUCGUGUUGGUUCACAAUUGGUUCUGCCAGUAGAACUACUUCUAUAGGAACGUCAUCAACUGGUGCUGCAAUAACUUUCAAUAUCGCAUCUAACUCGACUUGAGCCGAUUCAGGAAGUGUACUCGAAUAAUCAACCUAAGAUUAAAUUUGAAGUAUGUAUUGUUAGAUUUGGUUUAAUGCGCACAUAGAAGUAAUGCCAUGUGUGAAAAUUAAGACAUUUAGGGCGUAAAAAAAAAUUGGUGAAGUUACCUGAAUAUUAGAUGUUUCAACAUUAUCAUUAUCAGGUUUCUGAUUUUCUACAGUUGCGACUAGACAUUUCAAUGUGGCAGGCCUAAAAUCAGCACUAACUCCUUCAUCAUCCUUGAAAACAUAACACAAAAUAUAUACAAAAGUAGUUCAUUAUUUAGAUUUAACUAUAAGCAAAAAAAUAGUACAUUUCUUACAUAUUUGGCCAAUGGAUGAAAAAGAAUGGCUUUAUUUAUUUACCAUGUGAUCAUUAUGGACAUGCACAGUAGUAGAUGUUCCAGCAUUGGUGUUGUCAGAAUUGUGAUUUGCUACGGAUUCUACAAGAGCAUCUCGGAUGGCAGUAGCAUUAUCCUCACUGCAUCCUUUGACAUCCUACCAAUCAUAAUGUAAAACAUAUACAUAACUAAGUCAGUUCAAUGUUUUAAUUAUAAACAUUAAAUUCUGAGAUGUUUAACUUGUGAUUGUUGUUGUAUGAGACUGCGAUUUCAAUCAAAGUAGUGGCCAUCCAUUGAAUCAUCAGCAGAGUAUACGUUUGUUGAUUUAUCUGUCUCGUAAAAAAUCUACGAAUAAAAAAUAAUUAUUGCUUUAUAUGUUAAUUGCUUUCAUAAUUUGUGUUGUGUUGCAUAUGUAUAUUAUAAUAAUAUACAUAUAAUAUAAUACGUAUACAUUAUAACGUAAAUAUAACUGUCGUUAAACAACAUUCAAUUUGUACCAAAUUCUAAGCUGGAUAAAAAUCAUAAAAUUAAAGAAGUAACGAAAAAGUAAUAUAUGUAACAAAGUAUGUAUAAUUAUCACUUGUGUGUAAAUACCUUUUUUCCUUUUUUUUUUCAAGGUUUUGAAGAUUUCAAUAUCUUCAACAUAUUCUUUAGAUAGUACGUUUCCUAUUUUUUCUUCUCCCUCUUGCUGAUGGUGUUGAAAUAAGUACAGUAUAUUCUUUAGAAAAAAGUUAAUAACAUUAACGUGAUCUAAUAAUAAUGUAUGUUUAAAAAAGUACCCCUUUUUGUAUGCCUUCAAUAUUCUGCAUGAUAUCCAUCUCGUCUGCUUGAACUUGUGUUGAUUUUUCUCCGACAGUUGAACCAUCCAAAACAUGAACCUUUAUAGUUUGUUGUAGUAGAUAUAUCAGAUACUAUGCCAUUUCAGUCUAAUAUACAUAGAUAUAAAAUACACAUAGUAUAAGUUGAGAUUUUUUUGUGGACUUAACACAAAGCUUUUAUGUAUAUUAGUUAAAAUACAUAUCAUCAUUGUCAGCUAUUAUGCCAAUGCAACUAUCAAUUCGAUGAGAAAUAUAUAAUAUACAUAGCAUGUUGUUGGUAUAUUAUAUACUACAAUGUAACAAUUUAUGUAUGUUAUAUUACAAACAUUAAAUGUAUGUAAUAUACAUAGCUAUACACUACACAUCAUACUUAUGAGUAUAACUUAUUAUUAUAUUGUGUAUUUAACUUAAAAUAGUUAUAUAUAUUAGUUAAUAUACAUACCAUAAUUGGCAGAUACUAUGCCAUUGCAACUGUCAACUCCAUGAGAAAUAGUUAAUAUACAUGGCAUAUUGUUUGUAUAUUAUAUAACACAAAGUAAGCAUUUUAUGUAUGUUAUAAAUCACUGUACAAAUAAUAGUUAAAUAACACGUAAUACAAUUCUAAUUCAGAAUAUGUAUAAACGCACAAAAUUGAAUAAAAAAGAAAUACAAAAUCAUGAAUUGUAUAAGUUAAAUGAUUUUUGGUGUACCUUUUUAUUUUUUUGGCUGUGGUGUUUCAACAAUUGGAUGAGUUCGGCAUGUUGUUUAUCCAUUUUUUCAUUUGAGUCAUUAUGUUGUUUGACUAUUAGAUCAUGAAGACAAUUGAUUUUUGUGUCAACCUGCAUGUCAAAAUGAACUUACAUAAGACUACAUGUUGAUGAAAGUUGAAUUUUGUGUAUACCAGCAUGUCAAAAGCUAAAGAAAGUUGACUAUUAGAUAUGAAUGAACUUACAUAAAAUUACAAAAAUAACUUUAUAUCAUCCCACUUUUCAUCAGAAUUGUCCUGACAAACUGACUUGAGUGACGAUGAUGGAGUUGUCUUUUCGGCAUGAACAUGCUCCGAACCUGAAGAAGCUGUUUUUUGGGUUGGCAUAGUUCUUGUUGAAACAAAAGAUGGUGUUUUCUGACAAACUUUCUCCUCGACAGUUGUGGAAUCAAAACGGACUAUUUUUCGCUUCUUAGACGGAUGAGAUGUUGAAGAAUCAGUAAUCAAACCUGCCUUCUUGAGAAUUUCUGUAGGAGGGACCGUACUAAAUACCUCAAAACCUUGUAUGUCGAGGUCCACUUGGGACUGUACAUCGACAACAGGUUUUUUAUCGAAAUAAUCUACAACAAUUUUUGGAGGAAAUCCACUUUCAACAUCUUUUAAUUGAAAUCCCUCAAUCAUUUGCAAAUCAAGACUUUGUACUUCUUCAUCAGUUGGUCGUAUAUUAUUGUAUACUAACUGUUAAACAAUAAAAAAUAGCAACAUUAAUAGUCUGUUAAAGUAAGCACGUUGAAAAUUAAAACUAAGAUCGAAAUAAUAUACAUCAUACUUACCUUGCUGAACAUACCAGCCAUAAAUUUCUCGUACUUAACUUUGGUUCCAACCACCUGCCAGUUGAAAAUUCGGGGAAUUACAUUUCCCAUCCGCUCGGCUAUUGUACUGUCUACCUCAUAACAACAUUCAUAUAUCCAAACAUUCAGCACGUAAGGCAUUCCCCCCAUCGAGUAUAACUAUUUCGCAACAAAAAAAUCCUGUCUCUACAAUGCGAUAAGUUUUUUAAAUGAACUCUUCUCCCAUAGAAAUUGUUCGUAACUACCAUUCUCAACCAUCACAAAAUUCGAUUUGCUAAUUGUAGAAUCACGUACUUGUGAAUACAGAAAGGUGUGAAUGAAGUAAAUUAUUGACAUAUUCAGAGCAUCAGAAUUAUUUUCAAAGUUGCCCAACUUGAAUUGCUCUAUAAAGACUCCUUUUGACAGAACUCUUAGAACCUGAAAAAUACUUCGUCAUUAAUGCGGACUUUGAUGUAAAAGAAAAGAGGUGCUCCUCGAUGUUUCCUGAACAUUUAAGACCGGAUAUAAUGGCAUACUCAAUAAUGGUAAACUUGAGUGUGGUUCCUGGCACGUAAAAGUGUAUUUCAUCCGGAUUGUCUUGUUCUAUCUCGAGCAUGAGUAAGCAUUUGGAUAAUUGACCCUGAUAAUUAUAAUUCGGGAUGUCUAGGAAUGAACCAAAAAUUAUUUGUCGGAAUAAAUUUACGACUUCUUCACCAAGAUAAUUUUUUAUUUCUUCUCCAAAUUUUCGAUUGCAAUAACUACCGAAAUGCAACGAAUGCGCAGGGACCUUUCUUAUCCUGUAUUUCAUACCCUAUUGAGAAAGAAACAACACAUGAUAUGUGAGCAUGUGUUUUUAAAUGAAAAAACACUAAACUUAUGUAUAUUACUAACAUAUACAUAAAAUUGACUUGUGAGAAGUAUUGAUUCUAAAACACAGAAAAUAAUAUAUCAUUAGUGAUGUAUAUGUCAAUAUAUAUAUAGCUGAUAUCCAUUAUGUAUAUGCAGUUCACAUCACAGUAGUUGUCUACCAACAUAUUGAAGUUUAUGUAUCUAUUAUUCAUAAACACAUGACAUGUUCAGUGCAUCAAACUAAAAUAACAAAACACAAACUAUAUAAAACACUAAAAUAACAAGACAUAUCUAUGUCAAUAUGAGCAUGCGUUGUAAAAUUAAAUACUAAACUUAUGUAUAUUACUAUCAUAUACAUAAAAUUGUAUUGAGAGAAUUAUUGGUUCAAAAACACAACAAAUAAAAUAUCAGAAGUGAUGUAUAUGUCAACAUAUACAUACCUAAUAUCCAUUAUCUUAAAUACCUCUUCAAAAAACAUACACAUAUACACAGAAAAAUAUGAUGUAUAUGCAGUACACAACGCAGUAUUAGGUUUGUAAAAACUAACUUAUGUAUAUGUGCUGAGUAAUGUAUGUGUAACACAUACAUGCGAAUUUACAUAAACCCAAUAUUCAUUUAUGUAUAUGUGCUAAGUAAUGUAUGUGUAACACAUACAUACGAAUUUAUGUAAACCCAAUAUUCAUUUAUGUAUAUUAAAAUAUAUAGAUCACUGUAUUUCAAAUAAAAAGCUCACCACAAAUUUAUCUACCCAACAUAUACAGAAACGAAAAAAUUAUAUAUACCUUAGGAAGACGUGGACGUCCAGAAUCAUCUUUUUUGGAUAAUCUUGAUGAUUUUUCAACUGUUUUUUUCGACUUCUUACCAGCAGUUUUUCUAAUCUCUUUCAUCUUGUUGGGGUUGUUACGAAAUUUAGAUAUGUUUUCAACAAAGUUAGGUUCCUCAUAGUUAAAAACUUCGGGAACGAAUCCAACUACCGCAAUUUUGUUAAAUUAAGACCCCCCAAAACAUACUUAAUAAGAACAUGCAACAAUUUGUUCUUUCGAAAAACCCCAAAAUUGAAUUAAGGAGAAUGCUCCAUUAACAAAGUACUAAGCUGUUAAUAUCGUACUUCAAAUGGACGAUUUCGAAAAUUUUGUUAAAGAAGAAACCCCAAAAAACACUUAAUAAGAACAUGCAACAAUUACUUCAUUCAAAAAUCCCCAAAAAUCGGUUCAGUAAAUGAUGAAAAAAAAAAUACUAACCUCAACACUUAAAAAUCAGAAUAAUCAAUGGAGAUUAAGAUAAAAUUUAGUGCCUUAAGUUGGAGCCAAGUACAGUUGUAUUCAAAAUGGUAACCGAUGCUUGAUUUUAGGAGAGUUUUAAGGAUGAAAAAACGGUAAAAGAAUACAUCUUAUGUAUAUUUGCUUUUAGAGAGAGAAACACCAAAAAUGAGAUUUUUGUAAUAAGUUUGAGAAGUUGGGAUUUUUUAUAAUUAAUGAAAGAUAAGUUGUGUUAUUUUGUAAUUUUUAGUUAAUUAAAUACUACGUUAUACUGAUUUAUUGGUCCACAUUAAUACUGUACCCAAUCCAUAAAUUAGUCGACCUUUCUGAAUUUAUUCAUUUGAUAAUUGUUGAUAUUAGAUUUGUAAGAUUACAUCAUUGUUAAAGCUAAGUAAGAAGCCUUUGUUUAGAAUUGGAGCUAGUUUGCAGAAAUCCAUGCGAGCUUGAAUCAUGUUAAGAGUGUUUUUGGAUUGUUCUUUGAACUAAAAUAGCAAUUAAUUUCAUAUUUCUCAUUUGGAUGAUUUGCACUUUCGCCUCUAUUUUAUACUGAUUUUAAUUUUUGUCUCCUAGGACAAUAGCUUUUUUAUGGGCAUAAAGUUACAUUUCAUAUCAUAAUAUCUCACAAGUCAUGGCGCGCUUUCUUAAAGAACUUAUGCAACUCUAAUGUAGAAAGAUACACAAUUUGAUAGCCUAUUAGUGGAACGCUACGCAUUAGUUUAAUUGCAAACAAUAAAAAGUAAAGACCAACCUAUUUGAAGGGCAACCAUGCGAUCAAACAUUUUUAUGAGAAGCCUUAAAGAGAACAUAAAUUUAUGACUUAGUUAAAGUUAUAAAUUAAAAAAAUUAGCUAUAUGACAUGCUCGUAGGGAUGAGAAGGUGCCUCCUAAGCUGAAAGACAAAUUCUAUAGAGUUGCAAUUCGUCCGGCCAUGCUGUAUGGAGCGGAGUGUUGACCAGUCAAGAACUCUCACAUCCAAAAAUUGAAGGUUGCGGUGGAUGCGUGGACUUACUAAGGGUGGCAGGAUUAGGAAUGAGACUAUUCGGGAGAAGGUAGGAGUGACGUCGGUGGAGGACAAGAUGCGAGAAGUGAGGUUGAGAUGGUUUGGGCAUGUGAUGAGGAGGGGCACUGAUACCCCAGUUAGUAGGUGUGAGAGGUUAGCCUUGAAUGCCUUCAAGAGGAGUAGGGGUAGGUCGAAGAAAUACUGAAGAGAGGCGAUUAGACGUGACAUGAAGCAGUUACAGUUUACUGAGAACAUGAUCUUAGAUAGGAAGGUAUGAAGGAUGCUUAUUAGGAUAGAGGGCUGGUGCGUGUGGACGAGUCGUAGUCGGUAGCUAGGAGUGCUUUGGGGUAGCUUGGAUAGUAGUCGUAGGGCUUUGUACAUAGGUUAGAGCUUCUAGUUAGGAGGGUUGAGAGGAGGUGUGUGUGCCUUUGGUUUGUUACUAUAUAGUAUUUGUUUGUGGGUGUUGUAUCUCUGUUGUUUCAUGUUUUAUGGCGACUUUUUUACUGUCAUUGUGUCCUGAGUCGGGGGUUAUCAGAAACAACCUUUCUACUUUUUUCAGAGGUAGUAAUAUGGACUGCGUAUAUUCUACCCUCCCAACCCUACUAUGUGGGAAUAUAUAUUGGGUUUAUUUGUUGACAUGCUCGUAGGUUGUAAUAUGAGAAGAUUUUUUUUCUUUUACAUAAUUGUAAUUAGUAGGUAAUAAUGAACUACUUUCGUCUCAUAUUAAUUGGUCAUCUUAUUAAAAAUAAAUAUCUCAAAUUAAUUGAUCACCUAUAAAUCAAGACAGAAUUAAGUAAAAUUUUUUUAUUUUUCCCCUAUAAUUAAUAUACUCUUUGAAAGUUUCAACAAAUUAUCUUUAUUUCCAUUAAUAUGUAUAAAGAGUAUACUAGUAAAAUUCGUCAUUCCAUUAAUAAUAUUUUAAGCAAGGUACAAAAUAAAAAGUGCUGAACUAAUAUGAGAGAGAGGGAAGUAGGAAAUAACUUAGUGCGAGAAAGAGAAAACUAAUGCUCUUAGCCUCUUACGAGAAGAUCUAUUUACAUCCCUAGAUCUUCUUUCACAUGGAUCGCAUUCCCUUUGAAUCAACGGGUUAUAUUCAGUUUCCGCCUCUCACAUGGAUCGAUAUUUCUAUCCGUCGAUUAACAAGUAAAUCCCCAAAUAUUUAACGGCUACGAUUUACUCCCCGCCAUAUAGCAAAUUCCCCCCAAAUAUAAAUACCCCACCACCAUCAUCUUCAUUUCUCAUUCAAAUUCAAAACCCUAGAAUCUUCUUCUUCUUCAAAUUUCUCUGUGUGAAAAUGUCAGGCCGUGGAAAGGGAGGCAAGGGAUUGGGAAAGGGAGGAGCCAAGAGGCACAGGAAGGUUCUAAGAGACAACAUCCAGGGAAUUACCAAGCCAGCUAUUCGCAGGCUUGCUCGUAGGGGUGGUGUGAAGCGUAUCUCCGGUCUGAUCUACGAGGAGACCCGUGGAGUUCUCAAGAUCUUUUUGGAGAACGUGAUUCGUGAUUCAGUUACCUACACUGAGCAUGCUAGGAGGAAGACUGUUACUGCUAUGGAUGUUGUUUAUGCCCUCAAGAGGCAGGGAAGGACCCUCUAUGGAUUUGGUGGUUAGAUCAAUUGUUAGGUAGUAGAUGUACAUCUGCUGGAAAUUUCUGUUGUUUCUGUGUUCUUGUUUCGAUCUACUUCUUGGGUUCCAGAUAUUGUAAUUUCUCAUUACAUAUUCAAUGAACAGCUGCUCAGUUUUUAGAAAUUACAAUUAUUGUCUUUUAGCUGAUUGUUAUUGUUGUUUAGUUUUUAAAGUUCUCAUUGCAUAGGUUACGCUUAUAUACAUCACCCAUUUCUGUAACAGGGAUUUAACUGCUAAAAGUUGGGAGAAAUGACGAGAACUGGUAUUGAACUCAUUGUUGCUAAUAGAGUCUGCACUGCGUAUUUCCUAAUGUGCCAAACUGUACUGGUUCUGAAACUUAGUUAAUAGGUCAGGUUGCUCUUGUUGAGACUCUAUUAGAAAAGAUACAUCUUCAGAAAUAGAUGUAUCUUUGAUAGGAAAACUCUACUAUGAAUUCAUACCAAAUAGGACUACAUGAUUUAUGUUUAGGUGUCUUAGGUAGCGAUAAACUUCAGUUGCUCUCAAUCAGCAAUUGUUUGACAUUACACAAGGCGACAACAAAUGUAUAUAAUCAUUGUAAUUGAGUUCACUUGGACUAACUUCUCCACUUAUGUAGUUUGAAACAUGUCUGUGUUUACCAACUAGUAGGCAAUAGCAAAUCUUGUUUGGGCAAGUCAAGUUUGAGGAUCAUUUCUAAGUGAUGCAAGUGUCAUGCCCUCAAGGCCCUUCACAAGGAGCCAAGCCAAGAACUUCAACAACUUCAAGCUUUAUUCAUGCACUUGAAAGUUUGUGAAGGUGUUGUAGAUUCGGCCAAGGGAGGGAAUGCAUUGAUUUGUGAAGAAGGGACUUGAAGAGUCUAUAUUCUACAAGGGGCUAGAUGGACUUUCCACUUUAUAUUCCAACACUCAAGGGUCCCCCCUUCUCUUUAGCUCAUUAAGGGUAGUUUUGUCAAUUGACAUGUAAUUGUAUAAAUAGACAAUUUCUUCACCCUUUCCAAUAGUUUUUGAUGACAUUGGAUAUUACUCAUAGUUUGUAGUUUUAGUCUUCUAAUUAUAGCUCUAAAUCCGAAACUUGGUACCUUGAAUGCAAUUGAAUUGGUUUUCACUUGUAUUGAGUAAUUUGGCAAGAAAGGUGAAAUUGAGGGAGUGUGAGUUCUUUGGUCCACCUAAGAGGAAGUUGUCACGACCCAACUUUUCAGGUCAUGAUGACGCCUACCAUAACCCACCAGUAGACAAGCUAACCUGUAGUCCGGAAUGGCUAGUAACGGACUACUUAAUAACAUAAGAAAAAGAAUGCGGAAUAUAUGAGAUAAAGAUCAAUAUAUAGAUGAAUCCCAAAACCUGGUGGUAGUAGUACAAGAGUUUCUAAACAUAAUAAGAGUACAAAAGUGAGAUAUCAAGGAGAAAUACACUGAUUCAACUUACCUCUGAAUACAACUUAGAGGCUAGUCUAAUACAUAGGAGAGAGAUAAAUAAUACUCCGAACGUCAGGAGCUCACUCUAAGUCUCCGAAUCAGGGUUACUCAUAACUCGUGCUAUGAUUUGCAAGCUGCAGAGGUGUAGAAUGAGUACCAAACGAAUGGUACUCGGUAGGCAACUGCCAACCGAGAUCCAAAGAUAAAGUAGAUAAUACAACAUAUAAACAUAAUGGAAACUACAACCAAAAGUCCAUAAAUCAUAUAAUAAGUCAAUGAGAAUAACAAGGGACAACUAUCAUAUUUAUGUCCAAGAGUCUAAAAUAAGAAGACUAAGGAGUAAUCAAGGUGAACUAUCCUGUUCCGGCUACAUUCAAUAUAUGCCAAUGCUAUACCGUAUAUCCCAGGUCAAUAUACAAGUAAAGAGCGAAAGAAAAAUAGAUUGUAAUAUACAAGGCGAAAGAACGACUAUACAAUAUGAACAAUGAAUGUUAAGAUUGAUAUUGGAUAGAAUGACUUAGUAUUGAAUAUACAUAUAAGUUUGGAGAUUAGAUAGGGUUUUGGACCCGUAGGUUGAAUUACUUAAUACCCUUAUAGAAUCCUAUUGCCUUCUCCCUAGUUUGGGUAAAUUUGUAGCAUGGAUAUGAUAUAAUAUUAUGCUCGGAAUACGGUUUUAGCAUCAUUUGAAGCAUGAUUUGUUUUAGCCUUAUUGGGCUAGUGUGAUAGUUUUGGAACCGUAAGUUUGGUAGAGUUGACUUGAGUACCCUUUUUUCUAGUCCAAGUUACUAUCUUAGGCGUUAAUAUGACUUGCUUGACAUCUAGAGGAUGAACUAGAUAACUUAGCCUAGUUUGUAGCCUAGUUUGGAGCAUAGUAUGCCUAAUUAUGGAAAUUAUGGAUUAGAAGUGGGAUCAUCCGGCCCACUUAGGCCAAGAUUUGUGUUAGCCCUUGUGGGCUUAGUUGCAGAUAGUAGACCUAGUUGAGACUAAUGAGCCUUAUUUAUGAGAAUUACUUGGUGAAUUGAUAAAUUGUGAUGAUUUUCGUCGGAUUAUGAUUAGUGGCCCAUAGAGAUGCAUUUUCUUCUUUAUUAUGAUAUUUGACCCAUAGAGAUGCAUUUUCCUUUUUAUUAUGAUAUUUGUCCCAUAGAGAUGUAUUUUCCUUUUAAUUAUGAUAUUUUGCCUAUAGAGAUGCAUUUUUCCUCUUUAUUAUGAUAUUUGAUCCCUAGAGAUGCAUUUUCCUCUUUAUUAUGAUAUUUGGCCCAUAGAGAUGCAUUUUUCUCUUAAUUAUGAUAUUUUGCCUAUAGAGAUGCAUUUUCCUCUUAGUUAUGAUAUUUUGCUCAUAGAAAUGAUUUUCCUUUUAGUUAUGAUUAUUGAGCCUAUAGAGACAAUUUUCGUCUUGGUCAUGAUGGAUAACCUAUAGAUAUGAGAUAUCUAAUAGAGGCGAUAUGCUUGUUGAUAUUAUGCCUCCUAGAUGUGAGAUGCCUCCUAUAUGUGAGAUGAUUAUAGAUAUGCUACGGUUUAUAAAAUUGAUUAAUGAUAUGAGUCCCGGAUAUGUAUAUGGGCCUAAGGCCAUGAUUAUGAUGUUGUGAUUAUUCUGGAUAAAUUAAUGGGCCUAGGUCCGUGUUAUGGUACUGAUUAAAUAUCCAAGAAGUGUUUAUCAUUGNNNNNNNNNNNNNNNNNNNNNNNNNNNNNNNNNNNNNNNNNNNNNNNNNNNNNNNNNNNNNNNNNNNNNNNNNNNNNNNNNNNNNNNNNNNNNNNNNNNNNNNNNNNNNNNNNNNNNNNNNNNNNNNNNNNNNNNNNNNNNNNNNNNNNNNNNNNNNNNNNNNNNNNNNNNNNNNNNNNNNNNNNNNNNNNNNNNNNNNNNNNNNNNNNNNNNNNNNNNNNNNNNNNNUUAACAAAAAUAGGAUGAAUAGUUGAUAAUAAUGAAUGAUGGAUAAAUGAAGGUUUUAGUCUAAUGAUGAACCUAGACUAGAUGUUAGAUGUUGACUAUUAAAUGAAUAGUGGUUAUUUGUUAUCCCGUGAAUAAGGAUUAUGUGAAGGAUAAUGUUUAGGCUAAUAACUAGAGGUUAUGUGAUGACUAGCGAACUAGCGAUUUAAUAAUAAUAAAUGUUGGUUAGCUAAUAACGAGUAAUUUUAAUGUAUUGAUAAGAUAGAUAUCUUUACGGUUAUGAGUAUAUCGACUUGCGUCUGUGCACCUAUUAUAUGCCUAUAUUUAUGUGUCGAGAGUUAUGAUGAUACAUUGAUACCCAGCAAGGACGGAGGAUAUUAUGAUGAUAUUGAUACCCGGUUCGAGUCCGGAAGAAACUAUUGAGAUGAUAUUGAUACCUGACAAGGCCGGAGGAUAUUAUGAUGAUAUUGAUACCCGGUUCGAGUCCAUAGGAUACUAUUGAGAUGAUAUUAAUACCCGACAAGGCCAGAGGAUAUUAUGAUGAUAUUGAUACCCGGUUCGAGUCCGGAGGAUACUAUUGAGAUGAUAUUGAUACCCGGCAAGACCGAAGGAUAUUCUGAUAAUAUUGAUACCCGGUUCGAGGCCGGAGGAUACUAUUGAGAUGAUAUUGAUACCCGGUAAGGCCGGAGGUUGAUGGCGAUGAUGAUGGUCCUAAUGAGGACAGUUGCAUUGCGUUAUUGAUGGUAUAUUUUGCAUUCAUUCCUGCAUGCGCAUCACCUAUCACCAGUAUGCACCUAUGUCUAUCAGCUGGUAUGGGACGGUUGCAUAGAUAUGGGUGAAAAAUAUGCCUUGUGUUAUUAUAUGUUGAUUGAACCUUCCGAGUCUGGGGUGGUGGGGGUACGCAUAGGCUUCUGAGAUCGUUUCGCUGAAGUUUUGGAUCAGUGGCCAUUUGGAACCAACGAAGACUUCUGAAUAGGGAGUUGACUCUAAAAACCAAACGAAUUGCCCGGUAACCGAACCCCCAGUCCCAGCAAGUCAUAAAUGACUUGGGGUAGCUAUGGAGAAGCUCAAACGGUGAAGAUAAGCAUAAAUAUGGAAAAUGAACUGAAGGGUCAUUGCAAAGGUUUGAGCUUCUAUUGGUGAGGUGUGAUUGAUGGUUUGAUACACCAUCUUUUGUUAAUCACUUGAUAGGAGUAAAGGCCCGUCUUUCUACCUAUCUUUAUUUUCAAGCAUUCUUCUUCAUCCUUUUCUUCUAAGUGUGUUGUUUUCCUUUAGUGGAGCUUGCUGAUUUUUAUUAUUUAGAGUCCAUUUUUGUGUGUUGAUAGUCUUUAGACUAUAAGGAUUACUUCAGAAGGGUGGCUGCAAUUGGUCCAGCUAUAUAAGAACAGCAAAUGUAUAUAUCUACAUUGCAAUAGCCUUUACCAAAGGAUUACUUUGCUAGAUGAAACGGAUUAAAUACAUCUGUUCAAGUUUAUAGAUUUCAAAAGGUUACACAUUUGCAAUAUAUUAAAGAACUGAACACUUGAAAGGAGAAACCCAAAUCAGUAUUAUAUGAGCCCUGACACUUGAGUUAGCAUUCACGCCCCUUCUCUGUGGCUUUGCAAAUUUCAGUAAAUUACAUCCAACAAGCACACAACCCAAAAAGCUGUAAAUAUGCUUCGUGUAGCAGAUUUGAAGAUUUCAAGUUAAAUGGGUCAAACAUCACCACCACCACAACAACAUACCCAUUGUAUUCCCACAUAGUGGAGUCUGGGAAGGGUAAAGUGUACACAGAUCAUACCAUUGACGCAUGUGAAGUAGAGAGGCUGUUAAAUGGAUCAAACAUCACCAUACUACAAAGUAACAAUAUAGUUUUAACCAGAUACAGAAAACAACUUGAAUAAACGAAAAAGUAGACUGCAAUCUGCUUGUAAAACAACUCUAGAAUGAGAGUAAAAGCCAUUAGAUCCACAAUUUUCAAACUAACUGAAACGUCAUUUUUCCCACCAGUAGUCAUCCGCAUGGGCGGACCGACGUGCAAUUUUCGGAUGCUCGAGCACCCACUAAACUCGACGUAGAAGAGGUAUAAUUAUAUAAGAAACAGUGAAAAAAUGGUAAAAUAUAUACAAAAGCACCUAGAGAACAAAAGCAUGGUUGGGUGCUCUGGCGUUAGACAUAACUUUCAUGUCUUCCAUGCUGGGAUCGAAUCCCUGUAGCUGCAUUGUUUAGUAAAUUUUUUUUUUUUAGCACCCACAACCUAAAAAAGCUGGGUCCGCCACUGGUCAUCCGCAGCUAUAAGAAAACUAAAGUUAACUAGAAUUGAUUGUCAAGAAGCUACAUUUCUCGAGACAGAGACAAUUGCAUAGCUGUUGCAGUUGAGGAAAUAUGUUUCUGACAAUUGACUUGCUUGAAGAAAUUAAAAGAUAAACUAAGCAGCAAACGGAGAGGUCAAACAUGUAAAAAGUUCAGCGUCAAUUGCUAUGUUCCAACCUGAAGUAAUAAUAUGUCUUCUAAUCCCAAAAUCAAAAAGAGGAAAAAGAAUAUCACACAACUGUGAAUUAACAUUUUGUAAAGUAUGAACACUGACUCCAUUCAGAAAAUGUGCAUCUUUCAGCAUUUUGAUCAGCAUGAGUAGGCUAUCAAUGACUGCAUUUUCAGCAAUAUUAUCUAUCCCAUCAGUUAGUUGAUCUACAUCUUCCUUCGCUUCGCUUGGGGGCUUCCAUCUUCAUCAUUAUUCUGGUCAUUACCGCCUUCAUCUUGAUCAUGAUUCUGUUCAUUAUCUCCAUCUAGAUCAGCAUUUUGCUCAUUAACGUCCACAUCUUGUUCAUUAGGGACCUGUUCAUUAAAUUCUCCAUCUUGAUCAGCAUUUGGCUCAUUAGCACCUAAAUCUUGUUCAGUAGGAAUCUGUUCGUUAGCAUUUCCAUCUCGAUCAGCAUUUUGCUCAUUACCGCCUAAGACUUGUUCAUCAGGAACCAGUUCAUAAGGGAGUCCUAGUUCCUCGUUUAAAUCACGCAACAAGGGUUCAUUAUCCCAGUAAGUAAGCUUGUGCCUUCCACAAAAUACUCAUUUGUAUAAACCCUUACUAGUCAUACGACAUAUGUGUGCAGUCUCAAUUAGCAAAUUUUGUAGUUAGAAACUUACAAUCUCAUGUAGAAUCUUCCUUGUCUAAUAUAGAUGGAUGGUGAGGGUUGGGGGACUGCAAUCUGGAGAAAUCAUUGAUUCAGUAUCUCAUAACAAGGAACAGCAAAAUGUCUUGUUCAUGAAAAUCAAAUGCUCUUUAAUAAUAGUAUCUUACAAAUUGCCACCCGAGCAGCAUCUCACAUUGGAAGCAGAAAAUAUCGACUAGGGUAUAUCCAUUUAUUACACGAUAAUCAUUUACAUCCUCUGAUACGUCAACAUUAAACCUGCAUAUAUACAAAGGUUUCUAAUACAUAUAUGCCUCAGACCGCAGAAAAAAGUUUAGGCAAAUAACAAAUCCCAAAUUGCUGAAAUCAAAUAAAUUACAGACUUACACUCUAUCAAAGAUCCUUCGUGGAAUGAGGUUUAGCACCUACAAAGUGUACAAGACAAGAAAAUGAGCAUAAUAAGUUGUUCUGUGCUUAGUCAAGAAAUAUAACAUAAAUGCUGAACUAAUCACAAUUCAUGAUACAAAUAGGCUGUUGAAAUUAAGCCAUUAAAUCUUGCAUAUGGUCUUUAUGAAACGAAUAGCAAAAAUCAAAAAGAUAGUACAACAUAGUUUUUCCUAAACGAAUAGCUACGGUAUGAGCAAUUCAGAAUAAAAUUAAUUCAAGAUUGUCCUGAAUUUCGAGGAUCAAAGAAAAUGUCUGUAGCCCACAGAACCAUUUCGCGUGUUCAGAAAUGAUGCAGAGAGAGUGAGAAUCCUUGCGAUCCGAAGGUAAUCCUGGCGGAAUGCAACUCGAGUUCCGCAGCUACGACAUUUGAUUUCAUUGCAUUGAUAUAAAGCUCGUCCACUCAUUGUAUGUAUCAACUUUGUUGAAUCAAGAACCAACUCCUAAUAGAUACGUUUCGCCUGUCACGCAAAGAACAAAGUUGAAGAGAGAUACGAAAGAGGAACUGCUGAAGAAGUCUAAGUUUAUCAAUGGAGAAAAUGACUUUAACUUCUCACCAGAUAACAAAUGCAACAAUGGAGAAAGAGUUGGUGAUCAAUGAGAAUUCAAGAAAAUGAAAAAUGGGUGGGAAUUAUAAGAGUAAAUUUAAUGAGUCUGAGAAUAUUGAUAUAGAAAAGUCACUCACUUCUUGAUUCUUGAAUCCAAGCUCUGUUAACUGAGAGGAGGGAAAUUUGAAAUUGCUUCACACGCACACAAUUGGAUAAAUUUUCCACCUUUAUUAGGAAUAAAAUACCAAAUGUGUUUCCCUUUCUUUUCUUUUCCCUUUUAUAUCUAAUAAAAUGUUGUUGUAUUGAGUGUUUACAUCAAAAUAAUAGAUGUUCAACGUACUAUUUAACUAUGAUUAAUUAAUGCAUAUUUUUAUUACUUAUUACAUGUAACUCACUUAAGAAAAUUACCUUAAGUUGAAAGACUAGGCCCCGUUUGGACAUGCGAUACGAAAUUAUUAUUUGAAAUCAUGUUAUGAAAUUGAAGAUUUUUUUGGACAUAUAAUUUGAAUUUCUUGAAGGGGAGCCUUGGUUAACUAGUAAAGUUGCUCCCAUAUAUUUAAGCCAUGAAAACAACCUCCUGCAGAAAUGCACGGUAAAACUGCAUACAGUAAAUUCUUGUGCACCAGACUUGCAUUAUAUUCAAUUUAGAUUUCUUAAGUUGCAUUUUCUCUUAUAAAAAUGAAAAUCUCACAAGUUGUAUAAACUAUAAAAAUUUCUAAUCCUUAAUCUUACCAAAUAAGCAAAUGAUUGUUCGUAAACAAGAUAUCGGACUAUCAAAAGGUAUCACAUUGUUAAAUCACAUAUCUCCAUUUUUUAAAGAGAAAAUAUAUAAUUACCCCCUGAUCUUGUUCGAGAUUUACAAAAAGACACCUAAACUUUCACUUCGACCUAUUACCCUACAAUUCUUCUUUAUUUCGUUGCAAACACACCAUUUUGACCCUCUGCGUGUAUACACGCGCCACAGGUGCGUGAAAGGGUUCGAAUUUGACUUUUUUGACCAAUUAAAAGCUGUCACGUGUAAAAUAAUUGAUAUAUAAUUUAUAUUCUUUUUUUUAAAAUUAAUAUUUAUUUAUUUUUAAAAAUUAUUUCAUAACCCCCACCCCCGCAACCCCCCAUCCACCAUUGUCUUCUUCCCCAACUUCUUUUUCAUCACCAUCACUCAACAACAUCAAUUACAACACACAACAACAACAUCAAUUAUGCCCACAACAACAACAUCAUCAUCAUCAUCAUCAUCACCAUAACCCCACCCUUUCUUCUUCAACAUAAUGUCAUCAUUAAAGCUCCUCCAUUGAAGUUUUUUUUUUUAAAUCAUAUCAUUAAAGCUCCAUUUUGCAAUUAAAACAUAUCAGUUAACUACCCACCAUUCUUAUUCAACACAAUAUCUUCUUCAACUCCAUUAAAGCUCUUUCAUUGAAGUUUUUUUUUUUAAAGUUCCAUUAAAGCUCAUUAAACUAUCUUUAAAAUUCAAUUCAAUCAUUUAACUAUCCUUAAAACUCAAUUCAAUCAUAAAACUAAUUUUUAAAUUGAUUUGAACAAAGAAAAAAAUUAGACGGGGAGAGUGCUGGACGCGAGGCGGCGAGGGGGAGGGGGAGGGGGAGGUGCUAGACGNNNNNNNNNNNNNNNNNNNNNNNNNNNNNNNNNNNNNNNNNNNNNNNNNNNNNNNNNNNNNNNNNNNNNNNNNNNNNNNNNNNNNNNNNNNNNNNNNNNNNNNNNNNNNNNNNNNNNNNNNNNNNNNNNNNNNNNNNNNNNNNNNNNNNNNNNNNNNNNNNNNNNNNNNNNNNNNNNNNNNNNNNNNNNNNNNNNNNNNNNNNNNNNNNNNNNNNNNNNNNNNNNNNNNNNNNNNNNNNNNNNNNNNNNNNNNNNNNNNNNNNNNNNNNNNNNNNNNNNNNNNNNNNNNNNNNNNNNNNNNNNNNNNNNNNNNNNNNNNNNNNNNNNNNNNNNNNNNNNNNNNNNNNNNNNNNNNNNNNNNNNNNNNNNNNNNNNNNNNNNNNNNNNNNNNNNNNNNNNNNNNNNNNNNNNNNNNNNNNNNNNNNNNNNNNNNNNNNNNNNNNNNNNNNNNNNNNNNNNNNNNNNNNNNNNNNNNNNNNNNNNNNNNNNNNNNNNNNNNNNNNNNNNNNNNNNNNNNNNNNNNNNNNNNNNNNNNNNNNNNNNNNNNNNNNNNNNNNNNNNNNNNNNNNNNNNNNNNNNNNNNNNNNNNNNNNNNNNNNNNNNNNNNNNNNNNNNNNNNNNNNNNNNNNNNNNNNNNNNNNNNNNNNNNNNNNNNNNNNNNNNNNNNNNNNNNNNNNNNNNNNNNNNNNNNNNNNNNNNNNNNNNNNNNNNNNNNNNNNNNNNNNNNNNNNNNNNNNNNNNNNNNNNNNNNNNNNNNNNNNNNNNNNNNNNNNNNNNNNNNNNNNNNNNNNNNNNNNNNNNNNNNNNNNNNNNNNNNNNNNNNNNNNNNNNNNNNNNNNNNNNNNNNNNNNNNNNNNNNNNNNNNNNNNNNNNNNNNNNNNNNNNNNNNNNNNNNNNNNNNNNNNNNNNNNNNNNNNNNNNNNNNNNNNNNNNNNNNNNNNNNNNNNNNNNNNNNNNNNNNNNNNNNNNNNNNNNNNNNNNNNNNNNNNNNNNNNNNNNNNNNNNNNNNNNNNNNNNNNNNNNNNNNNNNNNNNNNNNNNNNNNNNNNNNNNNNNNNNNNNNNNNNNNNNNNNNNNNNNNNNNNNNNNNNNNNNNNNNNNNNNNNNNNNNNNNNNNNNNNNNNNNNNNNNNNNNNNNNNNNNNNNNNNNNNNNNNNNNNNNNNNNNNNNNNNNNNNNNNNNNNNNNNNNNNNNNNNNNNNNNNNNNNNNNNNNNNNNNNNNNNNNNNNNAAAAAAAAUGAAAUUAAACGUAUUUAACAAGUGGCAACACCUGAUUGGUGCGUGUGUUCACUUUCUUUGUUGUGACUGAGAUUCAACUAAAAAUGGUGUAUUUGUAACGAAAUAAAGAAGAAUCAUGGGGUAAUAGGUCGAAGUAAAAGUUUAAGUGUCUUUUUGCAAAACUUAACCAACAUCGAGGGUAAUUAUGUAUUUACAUUUUUGUUAAUAUUAUUCUUUCACAUGGUACAAAUGAUAUCUUCAGGACGAUAAUGAGUCCCUUUAUCUUAUAUUAAAGUUAAAAUGUUUUCGAGUCCCUUUAUUUUUAUAUGAAAGUUAAAAUAUGUCUUUAUAUCGAGUGUUGAACGGCAAGCUAGAUCAAUUACUGUUAGAUAUAGCAAAGUAAAUUCACAUGAGAUUUGAGGAAGAGAGAUAAACAGGCAAACCAAUGUUAAAUUUACAAGUAUUCCAGUAAUGGUUGAUAGGCCACAACACAUCUCAUUCUAAAUAAACAUGGAGCUGAAAUUAUUACAAAGGUUUCGUGGUGUAGUUGGUUAUCACGUCAGUCUAACACACUGAAGGUCUCCGGGCGAAGCCAUUUUCGUGGGUAAUAGGUCGAAGUAAAAGUUUAAGUGUCUUUUUGCAAAACUUGACCAACAUCGGGGUAAUUAUGUAUUUACAUUUUUGUUAAUAUUAUUCUUUCACAUGGUACAAAUGAUAUCUUCAGGACGAUAAUGAAUCCCUUUAUCUUAUAUUAAAGUUAAAAUGUUUUCGAGUCCCUUUAUUUUUAUAUGAAAGUUGAUGACUAGGUUCUGUGGCUAGAAGUUGUGAUAAGCUUUGAUCCAUCUGAUAUAACUAGGCCAAAUACAAUCGAUGUUGGAGAGUUUUAUUUGGAAUUCAGACCCAAUUAGCUUUUGUUAAGAAGGACUAGAAGUUACAAAGAAUGGUUAUACAAAAUUAUGUCGAAGCUUUGGCUUUUUGCUGUCUCUCAUCUCCUUUCUAAGUUCUAGUAUCUCAUUCCCUUCUGAUUACUUUCUACUCUAUUAUUCUCUCCUUAGUUUGUGUUGUUAUUACUUUGUUUUAGGAUUCUAAGUUGUAACUUGUAUUCAGUGAUUAUGAUUUAUUCUGUUUUUGUGUUAAAAAAUUCGACUUGUUACAAAAAUCCAUUAGAUCCACGCACUGAAACAUCAUCUUUCCCCACAAUAGUCAUCCGCAGCUAUACGAAACAAACUAAAGUUCACUAGCAUUAUUGUAUAGCUGUUGCAGCUAAGGAAAUACACCUCUGACAGUUUGACUUGCUUAAAGAAAUUUAAAGAUAAACUAAGCAGCAUAUAGAGAACAAACAUUACAAAAAGCAGUGUGUCAAAUGCUUUAUUCCAACCUGAAGUAAUAAUAUGUACUGUAAUCCUAAAACUGAAAAGAGGAAAAAAAACAAUAUGAACUGUGACUUUAUUAGGAAACUGUCCAUCUUUCAGCAUUUUGAUCAGCGUGAGUAGGCUAUCAAUGUCUGCAUUUUCAUUCAAUAAUAUCUAUUCCACCAGCGAGUUGAUCUACAUCUUCCAUUGUUUCAUUGACGCACGUCCAUCUUCAUCGUGAUUCUGUUCAUUAGCAUAUAGAGAACAAACAUUACAAAAAGCAGUGUGUCAAAUGCUUUAUUCCAACCUGAAGUAAUAAUAUGUACUGUAAUCCUAAAACUGAAAAGAGGAAAAAAAACAAUAUAACUGUGACUUUAUUAGGAAACUGUCCAUCUUUCAGCAUUUUGAUCAGCGUGAGUAGGCUAUCAAUGUCUGCAUUUUCUUUCAAUAAUAUCUAUUCCACCAGCCAGUUGAUCUACAUCUUCCAUUGUUUCAUUGACGCACGUCCAUCUUCAUCGUGAUUCUGUUCAUUAACACCUCCAACUUGAUCAAUAGCGCCUCCAUCUUGCUGAUUAGGAGCCUGUUCAUUAGCUCCUCCAAAGAGAGAAUCAUGCAAUGUUACACCACUCAGGUACAUAAUCUGUUUCCUGCCACAAAAUACUCAUUUGAAUAAACACCUCACAAGUCAUAUCGCAUACGUGUACAGUCAAUAUGCAAAUUUGUAAUUAGAAGCUUACAAUCUCAUAAAGAACCUUCCUACUACAUAGUACUGGGAUGGUUGGGCUACUGCAAUCUGAAGAAAUCAUAAUUAAGAAAAAUAGAGCAACAAAAUCGUCUUGUUCAUGGAAAUCAAAUGCUCUUUAAUAUUAGUAUCUUACAAGUUCCCAGCCAAGCAGAAUACGACAAUUGAUACAGUAAACAUUGGCCAGGGUAUUUCCAUCUACUACACGAAGAUAAUUCACAUUAUUUGGUACAACAACAUGAAAUCUGCAUAUAACACAUAUACGCCUCAGACCUCGGAAAAAAAACUUAGGCAAAUAAAUAAAAUCACAAGAUGCUCAAAUACCUAAUUUUCGAAAUUGCAUGCGACUUACACUUUAUUAAAGUACCCUCCAUACACUAAGUCCUGCGCCUGGACAAUAAAACGAACAUAAUAAGUUGUUCUGUUCUUAGUCAAGAAAUGAAGGAAUUGAAUGUUACAUAUCCACUUUAUGAAAUAAGUAAUAGUUUCAUAAAAAAAUAUACACUAAAAAAAUAAUCCUUACAUUAGGAACGUAAUGCUCGAUGAAUGAAACACGAGUUUCGCAAAAACAGCAAAGGAUGCAACCACGCACAUUGAUUAGAUGAUUUCCAAUUAUAAAGGACAUUGUAUCAAAUGAAAGAACUAUUAUGAUUUUGGAGAGAGAUGCAAAUAAUAAAAUACACUCCUACUAGUACCAAACUCUUGCUAAAAAUAAGAAGCAGACUCCUUAACAAAACAACUAAUUACUCUACGAAAUUAUUUUUUGUUUUGUUUUGCCACUUAAGAAUAUUUUACUACAUUUUACCCUCCUAAACUAUUUUCUUUUUAAUUUGAGGCGCUAGUCAAAUUGACAUUUUAUUUUGCACCCUUGCGCCGACCGUACAGAGAAUAAAAUAAGCACCAGUUGUGUUUCCUUUUCUUUUUCUUUUUCUUUUCCUAUACUUCCUUAAUAAUGUUAUUGUUGGGUAAAUUUCGAUGGUUAAAAUUAGUAAAAACUUAUUUGUAUGGAGUGGUUACGUCAAAUAAUAGAUGUGCGACAUACUAUUUAACGGUGAUUAGUUAAUGCAUAUGUUUUAUUACAUUAAAUCAAACGAAAGCCUUGGAGCAACAGUAAAAUUAUGUCUGUAUACAUUACAUGUUCGAGUUGUGAAAGCAACUGCUAAUACUUGCAUCAUGAUAGACAGGGAUGGAGCUACCGAACCCCCUUCGACAAAAAAUUAUACUAUAUAUAUACAUGGUUAAAAUUAUUUUUUAUGUAUAUAUAUAUUAGAUGUUGAACCCCCUUCGAUAAGUUCAGAUGUUCAUUAUGAACCCUUAGUGAAUAUUCUGGCUCCGCCAAUAAUGAUAGACCGCCUACAUUACACCCACUCGGUACUUGCCCAAGUCUAUCCUUUUUACCAAAAUACGUUAGAAUUUUGUUGGUGUAAACACCAGACAGUAGUGAGGAAAAUAAAGCAUCAUCUUAGAUCUCCAGAUGCUAAAGGCAUUCCUAUAUUGUUAUAUAUACCAUAUAAUUUACGAAAUUGUAACUAAUAUUAAUAAGAAAUUUCAAAUUUUAAACAUUUUCGUUAAUUUAGUUAGAUUGUACACAUGAGUGGUAAAUAACGGUAAAAUUUCUCUCUUAUUAAAUUAACAAAUUAAAAUUUUCAGAGUUAAUAACUCAAGUAAUCACUCAACUAUAAACUUUUAUUCUAAAAAAAUCAUUCAACUUUGUUCUUUACCUUAAAUGUCACUCAGCUAUAAAUUUUUAUUUCAGAAAGUAACACAACUUUGAUCUUUACUUCAAAAGUCACUCCACUAUUAAAUUUUUACUGAGAAAGUCACUCAAUCCAUUUAAUUAUUUUAAAAAAAAUAAAAUUUGCUUAUGUAAAAUUUCUAUUUAAAAAAUAAAUUCUGAAAAAUAAAAAGUUUCCAUUUAAUGACCGUUUUAUUCUUAUUUCCUUAAAUUAAUAUCUCGUCGUCCUCUUUUUUCUUCUUCUCAUAAAUUUUUUCGUGACUCGAAUAUUUACAGUAUAAUUAAAUAGAAAUUUCAUAAAAGCAAAUUUUAUUUUGUAAAAAAUAAUUAAAUAAUUUGAAUGACUUUCUAAUUAAAAAUAUAAUUGUUGAGUGACAUUUAAAAUGGAGAUGAAAAUUGAGUGACUUGAAUGUAUAGACAACUUUGCACCUCGUAUCGGUAGAUUCGAGAAGGCCCCAAGAGGAAUUCUUCUUCACAAUUUCUGGGUUUUAGAAUAAUCAAUGGACCCCUAAAAUAUUCGAUUGAAGGAGUGUAUCGAUCAAGCACUCAUGAAACGUUUUCGUUUUCUGAGAAAAUUAUCAAAUUCCAAUGAAAAACCCUUCAUUGCUGUAUUAGCUUUGGCUGCUGCUGGAUUUUUUUCUAGCAAUGAAACCACCAGUUCAAGAACAUCAAUUUUGGUUUCGUUACCCGAUCCCGAUCCCUUAAAAGACAGACUCGUUCGUUCUGCGGCCGACCAAUCUCAAGUGUAUAUUUUCCCAUCGUGUUUUGCUAGAAGAAUUGGUUUGGACUCACCUGGGAAUGUGAAGAAAGAAGGUUCUGGGGAAGAUGACGACGAUGGUGAGAAGAAACAUAAAUGUUGUAAUUGUUUCGGACGAGAUACUAUUGCCAAUGCAGCUGCCACUGUUGGUCCUGCUGUUGUUAAUAUCUCAGUAUCAAGGAGCUUUCACGGAUUGAGCGCUGGAAGGAGUAUAGGAUCAGGAACUAUAAAAGAUGCUGAUGGCACUAUUUUGACUUGUGCCCAUGUGGUUGAUUUUCAAGGCUUGAGGAUUUCGUCAAAAGGAAAGGUUAUGUGACUUUGCAAGAUGGCCGUGUAUUUGAGGGUACCGUGGUCAAUGCGGAUUUGCAUUCUGAUAUUGCAAUUGUUAAGAUCAAAUCUACAACUCCACUUCCAACUGCAAAACUUGGCACUUCAAACAAGCGGCUUCGCCCUGGGGAUUGGGUGGUGGCUAUGGGUUGCCCCCUUUCUCUCCAAAAUACAAUUACAGCAGGCAUUGUGAGCUGCGUCGAUCGUAAAAGUAGUGAUCUUGGACUUGGAGGCAUGCGGCGAGAGUAUCUGCAGACUGAUUGUGCUAUUAAUGCUUGAAAUUCUGGAGGACCUCUAGUAAAUGUCGAUGGAGAAGUAGUCGGAGUUAAUAUCAUGAAAGUACUGGCAGCUGAUGGUUUGGGCUUUGCCGUACCAAUUGAUUCGGUUACCAAGAUUAUAGACCACUUCAAGAAUAGGGGGAGAGUUAUUCGACCUUGGUUGGGUUUGAAAAUGCUCGAUCUAAAUGAUAUGGUUGUUGCACAGCUUCAGGAAAGAGAUCCAUCUUUCCCAAAAGUCAACAAGGGAGUUCUUGUAUCAAUGGUGACUCCAGGGUCCCCCUGCUGAUCGUGCUGGAUUUCACCCUAGUGACGUGGUUGUUGAAUUUGAUGGAAAUCCUGUUGGGACAAUAAAGGAGAUAAUUGAUAUAAUGGGUGACAACAUUGGGAAACAAUUGAAUGCAGUGGUGAAAAGAGUCAAUGAUGUUACUGCUACGUUGAGGGUAAUUCCAGAAGAAGCUAAUCCUGAUAUGUGAAAUGCAAUGUUUUGUCCUCACAGAAGGAUUAUAUAUUUUUCUGAUUUCAAUCUCAAAAAUCAGAAGCUGAUCAGGUACUGCGUAUUGUGAUUGUCCUAUAUGAACCUAUUACAAACUGAUAAGCAUUUUGUAAAGUAAUAACUACACUGGCUCUAUUUAGAAAGUGUAUCUUUCUGCAUUUUGAUCAGCAUGAAUAGGCUAUCAAUGUCUGCAUUUUCAUCAUUAGUUGGUUCAUAUUAUCUAUUCCAUCAGCCAGUUGAUCUUCAUCUUCAUUCAGUUCAUUGGGGUGCCUGCAUCUUGAUCAUCAUUCUGUUCAUUAGUGUCUUCAUCUUGAUUAGCAUUUUGCUCAGCAGCUCCUAAAUCUUGUUCAUUAGAAACCUGUUCAUUAGCAUCUCCAUAUUGAUCAGCAUUUUGCUCAGUAGCACCCACAUCUUGUUCAUUAGGAACCUGUUCAUCAGUGUCUCCAUCUGGAUCAACACUUUUCUCAUUAGCACCUACAUCUUGCUCAUUAGGACACCGUUCAUUCGCAUUUCCAUCUUGAUCAGCAUUUUACACAGUAGAGCCCACAUCUUAUUCAUUAGGAAUCUCUUCAUUAGUGUUUCCAUCUUGAUCAGAAUUUUUUUCGGUAGCUCCCAUAUCCUGUUCAUUAGUGUUACCAUCCGGAUCAGUAUUUUGCUCAUUAGCACCUACAUCUUGAUCAUUAGGACCGUGUUCAUUAGCGUAUCCAUCUUGAACAGCAUUUUGCUCAGUAGCGCCUAAAUUUUGUUCAUUGGGAACCUGUUCGUUAAUGUCUCCAUCUUGAUCAGCAUUUUGCUCAUUAGCGCCACCAUCUUGAUCAAUAUUGUCUGCAUUCAGAGUAGAGGCUAUCAUUGUCUGCAUUUUCAUCAAUAUUAUCUAUUCUAUCGGCCAGUUGAUCUACAUCUUCUUUCAGUUCAUUGGCGCGCCUCCAUCUUCAUAGAUCAUUUCUAUUCAUUAGCGUCUCCAUUUUGAUCAUCAUCCCAUUCAUUAACACCUCCAUCUUGAUCAGCAUUUUUGCUCAAUAGCGCUUCCAUUUUGAUCAUGAUCCCGUUCAUCUUCACCUCCAUCGUGAUCAUCAGGAGCCUGUCCAUUAGCUCCUCCAAAGAGAAAAUUAAGCAACGUUACAUCAUUCCAGUAAAUAAGCUUGUCCCUGCAGCAAAAUAUUUAUUUGGAUUAACACCUUACAAGUCAUGUGCACAUGUGUUUGUAAUUUUCCGUGUAAAAGUCUACUACCUUUUACUAGGGAUAGAUUUUCCAUUUUUCUUUUCCCCUAAGAAUAUUUUAAAUCACUUUACUUCUACUAAUUUUUAUAAAAAGUUACAUUUGUAAUUUACGGUGAAAAUUGGCUAGAAAGUUCUAGUCAGAUUUUUAUUUGAAACUUAACAAGCUGGAGAAGCCUAUAACUAAUUUUCUUACCUUUUACUCACACCUAUGACAAGUAAAAAGAAAAAACUGGAGAACCCUCUAACACCAAGUUUUCAUAGUGAUAACUCGUGAGAUUAAUUUUAGAAUGAGCUUAUCCCAUGUUUGGUUGGGAUAAAAUGUAUGGGAUAACUCAUCCCGGGAUUGUAGUGCUACUUUUAUCCCACCUUGAGGGUGGAAUAACUAAUCCCGGGAUAACUUGUUAUCUCGACCAAACAACCCUUGAAGUUCUCCGGUUCGAAUCCGGGUGAAGCCAUUCUGAACUAUGUUUUGGAGUUUUCCUUACGUGCCAAAUUGGAGUGCAACUUACUUAAGAAACCAGGAGCCUCUUGUUGAGACUUGCUGUGGUGAAAGGAAAACUCAAUCAGUACCCUCAGGACUACGUUAGGCGUUUAGGCAUUUUAGGCAGCGAUAUACUUUAGUACCCUCAAUCAGUAAUUGCUGUACAUACAGCAACACUACACGAGGCAACAACAAGCAUAUAAUCAUCCCAUUUGAGUUCAUUCUGACUAGCUUCUCCACUUCUGCAGUUUGAAAAAUGUCUGCAUUUACAAACAAAAUAGCGCCUUCUUUAUAUGGAUAAGUUAUCAAGGCCCCAAGGUGUCGCGGUACAGCUGGCUAUCACGUCAGUCUAACACAUAGAAAGCGACACUAUAUACUCUUUUACUAAUUAUUCUUUUGAUUUUUCCUAAUCGUUCUUCUCAAUAGAUGAAGUUUGAGGAUCAUUUCUAAGCCGAACAAGACAGAAGAAAUGGCUAAGAAACAGCAGUUGUACAAAUCUACAUUGCGAUAUCCUCUUGACAAAAGGAAUACAAACGUUUACAUCUGUUCAAGUUCACAGAUUUCAGAAGGUUACUUUUUAGCAAUAUAUUAAACAAUUGAACAGUAGAAAACAGAAACUCAAAUUUGUAUAAAAUAAGCAUUGAGCACUGACGAUUUAGUUGGAAUAUACUGGGUAGUCAAUACUAAAACAGCUUCCUGAAAGCCCCAUGAAUAAACACUCCUGUGUGGCUUUGAAAAUUUCAGUAAAUUACACUCUUACCAAACAGAUUUGGAGAUGUCAAAUGACGAUAUAGUUUUAAACAGACGCAGAAAGCAACAUGAAUAAACAAAAGUAGACUCUGCUAUCUGCUCAUAAAAGAAACAUCAUCAUUCCCCACAGUAGUCACUGCAUUUUUAAAGAAAACAAAACUAAAACUUAUAGCAGUUGCAGUGGACUUGCUUCAAAAUAUUAAAAGAUAAACCAAGCAGCAGACAGAGAACGGUGGUUCAGUGUAUGCAUGUAAAAGGUUCAGUGUCAAUUGCUAGGUUCCAACCUGAAGUAAUAAUACGUAUCCAAUCCCCAAAUCAAAAAGAGGAAAAAGAAUAUCACACAGUUAUGAAUUAGCAUUUUGUAAAGUAUGAACUAUGACUCCAUUCAGAAAAUGUGCAUCUUUCAGCAUUUUGAUCAGCAUGAAUAGGCUAUCAAUGACUGCAUUUUCAUCAAUAUUAUCUAUUCCAUCAGCAAGUUGAUCUACAUCGAUGUCCUCCUUCGCUUCCUUUGCGCGCCUCCAACUUCAUCUUGAUUAGCAUUUUGCUCAUUAGCGACCACAUCUUGUUCAUUAGGAACCUGUUCAUUAGCGUCUUCAUCUUGUUCAGCAUUUUGCUCAUUUGCACCUAAAUCUUGUUCCAUAGGAACCUGUUCAUUAGCGUCUUCAUCUUGAUCAGCAUUUUGCUCAUUAGCGCCUAAAUCUUGUUCCAUAGGAAUCUGUUCAUUAGCAUCUCCAUCUUGAUCAGCAUUUUGCUCAUUGGCGCCACCAUCUUGACCAGCAGGAGCCUGUUCAGUAGCGCCUCCAAUUCCAAGCAGAGAAUUAAACAAUGUUACACCUUUCCAGUCAAUAAGCUCGUUCCUGCCACAAAAUAUUCGAUUGAAUUAACACCUUACAAGACAUAUCGCAUAUGUGUGCAGACCCAAUUUGCAAGUUCUUAAUCAGAAACUUACAAAUCCAUGCUGAAAUGUCCUACUUUAAUAUUCUCUGUUGGUUCGGGGACUGCAAUCUGAGAAAUCAUACAUUCUUUAAUUUAAGAGAAAAAAAAAGAGCAACAAAAUCGUCUUGUUAUCAUGAAUAUCAAAUGAUCUUUAAUGUUAGUAUCUUACAAAUUUCGACCCGAUCAGCAUUUUACAUCCUGAACAGCGAACAUGGGCUAGGGUAUUCCGACCUAUUACUUUGCGAUUUCGCGCAUCCUCUGAAACGUCAACAUCAAUCCUGCAUAUAUGCCCCAGGAAAAAGCUUAGACAAAUAAUAAACAGCGCAAGAUUCUGAAAUUUCAUGAGAUUAUGAGACUUACAUUCUAGUAAAGAUCCCUGCAUCAGCUAAGUCUCUUUUCUGCAAAUUAAAGUGGACAAGACCAUAAAAAAUGAGCAUAAUAAGUUGUGAUGUAGUUAGUCAAGAAAUAUAAUAAUCAUACAUCAUAUCCUCUCUAUGAAAUCAGUAGCAAUUUGGUUAUCAAAGAAAAUAUCUGUAGCCCACAGAGACAUUUGGUGCGCUUACAAACAAAUUGAUACUAUAACAAAUUGCAAGAAAUGAUACAGAAAGAGUGAGAAUCCUUACGUUUAGAAAGUAAUACUUGACGAAUGAAACCGUAGCGUUGCAGCCACGACAAUGGAUGCGAUCUUCAGAAGGGAUUACCAUUGUAUCAACUUUGUGGAAUCAAGAAGCAACUAACUCCUAAUAGAUAUGUUUCACCUGUUACACAACAAAGUGGACGAGAAAUUUUAAAGAUGCAAGACUUUACUGUAUCGAGUUUAUCAAUGGAAAAAGAAGAGAGAGAGAGAGACCAACUUCGAAACAAGAAUAGAGCUCUGAAUUUACUGAGAGAAUUGAAGAAAGUAAAAACAAAUAAUGGGUGGGAAUGUUUCAAGUUAAUGGGACUGAGAAGAGAAUGUUUAUAUAGAAAAUUAAGUCAAUUCUUGAUUCUUGAAUUCAGAGGAGGGAUAUUGUAUCAACUUUGUGAAUCAAGGACCUGUUACGUUGCACAGUAAAUUUUCUUCAACAAAGUGGAAGAGAAAUAUCAAAAUUGAGAAUUCAAGAAAGUGCAAAAUGGAAAUGAGAAGAGAAUGUUAAUAUAUAGAAAAGUUGGUUCUUGAUUCUUGAAUCCAAGUUAUGUAUUUACCGUUGAAUUAAUUCAUAUAGGAGGGAAAUCUUGAAAUUAUUACAUUAAGAAGAUUGUUCAAUUUACCCUCCAAAUUAUAUAGUUUUAAAUUUCUGACAUUAGUGUAUUGACAUUUUACUUUUAAUCACAUAUACUGCAACCGACUUAAAAUUGUAUAGAGAACCGUUGCGUUUCCUUUUCCUUGCGAGUUACGAGAAAUAUAGUUGGAAAUAAUUUUAUUUCUAUUUCACUUUGGGAUAAUACCCACGAAAAUAUUUGAACUUUGAUCGAAUUUUCAGUUGAGCAUACUAAACUUUGCGGGGGUCCUAUNNNNNNNNNNNNNNNNNNNNNNNNNNNNNNNNNNNNNNNNNNNNNNNNNNNNNNNNNNNNNNNNNNNGAAUAUAUAUAUAUAUAUAUAUAUAUAUAUUUAUUUUGUGUCUUUAAAUUGUAAUAUUUAUUCAUUAAUUGCUAAUAAAAUGAUCCAAAAUUCAAUAUAAACUUAAAACCUAAAUUUUUCACUUUUCAUCUUAUAUUUUAGUUUCAAGAGAGUUUUUCGCUCCUCAAUUUUUCAUAAUUGUGAUUUUUUAUUAGCGCAUGGAUGAAAACAUACUUGAUCUAAACUUCAAUCACAAUAUAAUUGUCAAAAAUAAAUAUUAUAAAAAAAAUCUGAGAAAAACAGAAAAAAUCGAAAAAACCAAAAGAACCGACUAAAACCUAAACCGAAAAAAUCGAUUUUAUGUUGGUUUGAUUUGAUUUAUAGUUUUAAUAAACCGACAUAAUUGAUUUGUUUUUUUUCAAUAGAAAACCAAACCAAACCGACCUAUGUACACCCCUAUAUCCAACAAUGGUAUUGUUCUUCUCCAAAAUUAGCAGUAGCAGCAGACCAAAACAAUGGUGUUGUUCUUCUCCAAAACAACAUCAUUACAACCCAAACAUUGACAUCCAACAUCCCAAAACAACCAAAAACUCAGAAAGUUUCAAUCUUUACACUCCCCAAGUUCAAUUUAAUAGAAAAAAUAGCAAAAAUUUGCUUCAGAGAAUUCGAAUCACCAAUCUUGAAAGAAACUUUAAAAUGCAUCAUUUAAAAAAAAGAAUAAAAAAUUCAUAAUUUGAGAAAAUCAUCUUCACAGAUUUCUUGAGAAUUCGAAAUUUCAAUUACUAUCAAGAUUGAAGAAGACCCAUUUGGUGUGUGUAUUGAAAUUGAGUCAAAUUGAUGUAAUUGAAUUGGAUGUGUUAAAGAUAACUAAUUUGAUGCGUGUGUAUGUGAUGAAAUUGUGUUCAAUUCAAUUUGAAAUUGUGUUCAAUUCAAUUCCAAGUCAACCAUGGAACACCCAUGAAACACCAUUGAAGAGAAGAAAGACAUAAAAGAGAAGAAAAAACAGAGCAGAUAUAUAUGAAAAAUAAAUAAAAAAUCAUUUAAUUUAUAAAAAUUAGAAAAUUGAGGGUUGUUUUGACAAAACAGAAAGGUUUUUAAACGAUUUUUAACACUUUCAUACGUCCAAUGCGCGUGAAUUACACGCAAUGAUCCAAGGGGUCUGAUAUAUGUCAUUAAAAUAUAGAAAAAAAGUCUAGGGGGUAAUACAACCCAAGCAAAGUUCAGUAUGCUCAACUGAAAAUCCAGUAAAAGUUUAGGAGUUUUUGUGGGUAUUAUCCCUUUCACUUAAGAAAAAGAGCAAGUGUAUCUUAACAAAUGUUAUUGUUGUGUGAAUUUCGAUCUCAAAAACUUGGAAAGUUCGCUCAAUGAAAGAUUAAGUUUAUGGGUGGAAUUAGAGGGGAUAAAAUUAGUAGAGCCGUCAAUAUGGGGCCAAGGACCAAUGGGUCAGCCAGGCCCGACUUGUAAUUUGAUUGGGUGGGUUUCAAUUUUUGUAGCCCAUUUAAGAACAUAGCUUUUUAGCCUGGCCCGGAUAAGCCCAUGGCCCGUAGGGCUUGAGGAAUGUGGGUUGGGCUAGUCCGUAGGCCGGCCCGUCAGUCAAAUAAUAAAUAAUUUAUAAAUAAAAUAAAAUACUGAAAAAUAAUAAAAGAGUUAAAAAACAUUCAAAUUCAAUGAUGACCAUUGACCAAUUCCAUUAACAAAGAAAAUGGAAACUGGAUAAUUUCCUACUUUCCUAUCUAAUACAUAAUAAAAUAAUUACAUAUCUACCACUAAAACAUAAAGAGUACAUUGUACUCUUCACUUUCCUAAUUUUCUUAGUUCAGCUAGCCGCCGCCUCUUCACUGUAUCUCCCUCAACGCGUCAUCGGCUUUCAACCGUGAUGGUUCUGAUUGAGUAGUGUCACCUCUUCGUUUUCUUCCUACUUUGGGUGAUUCGAGCUCUGGCUCCCUUUUGAUUAACAAACAUUAAUAUUAUGUGUUAUUGUGUGAUAAAUAUUUAUGUUUAUUAACAGUGUAAAAUUAAAUUAUAAAAUAUUAUUUUUUAAGAAGUGGGCUGGCCCGUGAGGCCCGUAGCCCACAGGGUAAUAACGUGGGCUUGGUGUUUUUUGACCCGUCAUUUAAAUGGGCCAGCCCGACCUGACCCAUCAAACUCAAAGCCCGUAUAGGCUGGACCAACCCGUAUUGACAGCUCUAAAAAUUAGCCAAGAAAUAUAACACUCUCACUUCAUUCGAAAUGACCUGCUUCGUACUCCCUCCCUCCGUUCAUUUUUACUUAUCAUAUUUUUAAUUGACACAUUUAUUAAGAAAAAUAAUUAAUAGUAUAGUUAUUUUCUCAUAGUAUUUUUAUUAAAUGAUGUUUACAUUGUGUCUUGAAAAUAAUUUGAAGAAAAAACAAUUAAUACUAAAAGUAAAAUAGAAAAAAAGAAAUUAUUUUUUCUUAUUGACAAUCAAAAGGGAGCGGAGGGAGUAUUAGGUCGACGCAAUUAAAAAUUGGGCCGAUAUGUAGCGCCUUAUGAUGAAUCUUGUCAAAACAUUUUCAAAUAGUAAUAUUUUUUAAUUUAAUAUGUUAUAUACCGUCAUGAUUAAAACAAAUAAUUUUAUAAUGUACUAAAAAUUAUAAAAUAAAAAAAUAAAGCAAUUAAAAUACAAUAUGAAUUGAGCCUGAAUUUUCAUCAUUAAUUGAUGUGUUUGUAUUUAGAGCAAUAUUGCAUCAGCCAGUUGAUGUGCAUCUUCAUUUAGUUCAUUUUGCGCCUCCAUCAUUAAAUUCUUCAUCAAACAUUGAGUCAUUAUUUCAAUAAACAAGCUUGUUCAUGCCACAAGACCAAAAAAAAAAUUCAUGUUAGUACUUUAUAAAUCAUAAUAUCAUAUAGCAUAUGAGUAUGGAGGGGCUGCAAUCUGAACAACUGAAAAGAAAAAAAAAAAACAAUUAAAGCGAAGCUGCAGCAAAUGCUCUUGUUCAUCCUUAGCAACAUUCCACAUUUGAUGCAGUAAGUAUCAGCUAUGGUUUUGUCAUUUACUUGCUUAUGGUGUUUCUGCAUUAACGUAUAAUUUCUAUGCCAACUUGUAAGAAGUCAGGGUGGUAGUAGUACUUCCUUCAUUCUUGUCAAUUAGUACUGGUUCAUUUCCUAGGAUUGGUAAAGUAACGUCUAGCCCUCUUGCUUGUACUUAUCCUUUUUGACGAUAUUUUUGACAAUAGCAACUUGCUAACAGGACUACUUCUCUAAGAAUUAUUUAGUGAAAGUUUAGUCUGGAGCAAGAACAGGAUUUGUUUUAGCUCUUAAGCCUUUAGGCAGCUGUAAACUUCAGUAAAUUAUAGAGCAGUACACAGAACUCCAAACGCUGUAAAUAUGUUUCAUGUAGCCGAUUUUUAGAUGUCAAACUAAAUGAUACACGGAUAGCCUUUUUCUAAGGCCACCCUCCAGUACUAACGUUAGCCACGAGGCAGCAUAGAGAGAAGCCUUUCAGAAUCUCCGAAAUUAUUUGUGCAUCGCCAUAUUACAAGAUAACAAUAUAGUGGAUUGUGCUGUCUGCUCAUAAAUUAACUCGAGGGUGAUAACAAAAGCCAUCAGAUAUACAAUUUUCAAAUAUAUGUGUUAGAGAUUCAACUUUACCACACACUGGAACAUCAUUUUUCCCACAUUUUUAAGGAAAGAAAAAAGUUCACUAGCAUUUACUGUCAAGCAACAUCCAAGGAAGUAUAGUCAAAUGCUUAGAUAGUUGACUUGCUUUAGGAAAUUAAAAGAUAAACUAAGCAGCAAACAGAGAAAGGUAGUACCCGAGCUCAAAUAUGUGACAAGUUCAGUGUCAAUUGCUUUGUUCCAACUUGAAGUAAUAACAUGUACUGUAAUCCUAGAAUCAAAAGAGAAAAAUGAAUAUCACACAAUUAUGAAUUAGCAUUUUGUGAAGUAUGAACUCUAUUCAGAAACUGUGCAUCUUUCUGCAUUUUGAACAGCAUAAGUAGGCUAUCAUUGUCUACAUUUUUAUCAAUAUUAUCAAUUCCACCAGCCAGUUGAUCUACAUCUUCCUUCGUUUCGCUGGCACGCUUCCAUCUUGAUCAUGAUUCCGUUCAUUAGCAUCUGCAUCUUGGUCAGCAUUUUGCUCAUUAGCGCCUCCAUCUUGUUCAUUAGGAUCCUGUUCAUUAAUGCCUCCAACUUGAUCAUUAGGACCUCCAUCUUGUUCAUCAAGAACCUGUUCAUUAAGGCCCCCAUCUUGAUCGUUAGCGCCUCCAUCUUGUUCAUUAGGAACCUGUUCAUUAACACCCCCAUCUUGAUCACUAGCACCUCCAUCUUGAUCAGCAUCAGCGCCUACAACUUGAUCAGCAUUUUGCUCAUUAGGAUCCAGUUCGUUUGCACCUCCAACUUGAUCAUUAGCGCCCCCAUCUUGGACAGCGUUAUCAGGUACAACUUGAUCAGCAUUUUGCUCAUUAGGAGCCUGUGCAUUUGCACCUCCACUUUGAUUAUUAGCUCCUCCACCAUGCUCAGCAUUAGCAGGUACAACUUGAUCAGCAUUUUGCUCAUUAGGAGCCUGUGCAUUUGCACCUCCAUCAUGGUCAGCAUUCUCAGGCACAACUUGAUCAGCAUUUUGCUCAUUAGGAGCCUGUGCAUUUGCACCUCCAAAUUGAUUAUUAGCGCCUCCAUCGUCAGCAUUAGCAGGUACAACUUGAUCAGCAUCGUGCUCAUUAAGAGCCUGUGCAUUCGCACCUCCAACUUGAUUAUUAGCGCCUCCGUCUUGGUCAGCAUUAGCACCUCCAACUGGAUUAUUAGGAGCCUGUACGUUAGCACCUCCAACUUGAUUAUGAGGUGCCUGGGCAAUAAUGUCUCCAAAGAGAUAGUCACUCAACAUCACACGAUUCUGGAACAUAAGCCGGUCCCUGCCACAAAAUGCUCAUCUUAAUAACACCUUAGAAGUCAUACCGGGUGGGUAUAUGUAGUGUCUCAUUUUUUCAAGUUUAUAAUGAGAAACUUACAUUCUCACAGAGAAUCUUCCUAUCAAAUUCUGAGAUGGUUGGGUGUCUACAGUUUGAAGAAAUCACAAAUUCUGUACUUUAAGAAAAAAAGAACAAUAAAAUCGUCUUGUUCAUGAAAAUCAAAUGCUCUUUUCCACCCAAGCCAUUCGUUACACUGCAUACAGCAAGUAACUAAUCUGACUGAUUGGGUAUUUCCAUGUAGUUGAUCAAUCAUUGGUAGUAUUUUAACAUUUCUCCUGCAUAUAAUACACAGACCUCAGAAAAAGAUCUUAGGCAAAUAAUAAAAUCACAAGAUGCUGAAAUCACCCAAUUUUCGAAAUUGCAUGAGACUUACAUUCUAUUAAAGUGCCCUCCCCACACAAAGUCAUCCCGCUGGACAAGAAAACGAACAUAAUGAGUAGUUCUGUGCUUAAUCAAGAAAUAUAACAGAACACGAGUACAAAUAUCUGGGGAUUGAAUCCUCUUUAUGAAAUGAGUAGCGAUUUCAUCAAAAUAUACUUAUGAUUGCAUAGAAUUCAGUUCCUAAAUUGGGGUAUCAAAGAAAACAGUUUAGUGUGUUCAGAAGAAAUGAUGCAGAGAGAUGGAGUGAGAAUCCUUACAUCAGGAAUGAAAUCCUCGACAAAUGCAACUGGAUUAUUGCAAGAACUGCAAUAGAUGUAAUCACGACGAUCGAUACCUUGUGGAUCAACUGGAAAGUUUUCUUCCGUUCUAAUAUAUAUGUUCAACCUGUUAUAGAACAAAUUUUCUUCAACAAAGAACAAGGCGGAAUAGAAAUACCAAAAGAAUCAAUGGAGAAAAAAAAAAUAACUAACUUCGAAUCAGUUUAUGAAUAUAACUUGGAGCGGAGCUGGUAGAAAAAUGCACAACAGUAAGAAGAGAAUGUUAAUAUAGAAAAGCCACUUCUUGAUUCUUUAAUCCAAGCUCUGUAUUGACGGUUACUUCAAAAAGGAGGGAAAUUCAACUAUAUUUUAUUUUAUAUUUUUUCCCUUGACAAGAUUUUACGCUUUACCCUCCACAAUUCUGAAAUUAGUCAGAGUGAAAUUUACAUUUAAAAGAUUUUACAUGUAAAUCAAGUCUCAAUAGUUGAAACAAAAGUAACUUUUUUGCGAGGCAUAAAUUUAUAAAUUUGCAUCAUAAAAUUUCACAUGUUAUGUCUAGUGUCCUUAAAAGAACUUAUGUCCCACUAGGCAUAAGUUUGAUUGCUAAGGACAAAAAUUAAAUAUCAACCAUUUUGAAAGGCAAAGUUGCAAUUACAUAUUUUAGUGAAAAAACUUUCAUAGGAGAAUUAUUUAAAAUUAUAAUUUUAAAAUAUUUAUUGCUACACAAAGACUAUAACACAUUAAAAAAUAAUUUCAUUAAUGAUGCUUUUCGCUGUUAUUAUUAUUUUAUAUAGUUAUUUAUCAAGGUAGAAUGAGAAAAAGUAGUAAAUCUUUUUUAAUUUGCUAAAUAGACAAGUUAAAUGAAACAUCUAUUUUUGGUUUGGAGCCAAGUAAGACGGUAUUUCGUAAUAACGAACUAUGAAAGUUUCAAAUAGCCCAUAAUUUUCUUUUUUCGUAAAAGUUUAAAGGCAGAACCAUCAUUAGACACCUAACGUUAGCACGACUUUUCACUUAAGACACUUCAAGUAAACCUUGUACUUUUACUUAUAGAGUCCUACACAGAACUCAUAUAGCAGAUUUGUAGAUGUCAAACUAAAUGAUCGUAAAUCAACUCCAGGGUGAUCGUAAAAGCCAUCAGAUACACACUUUUCAAAUAUGUGUUGGAAUUUAACUUCACCACUGUGGGCGAUGCAAUUUUGAAUAUUUAAAUCCGUAUAAAAUUUGGAUUAUAUUAAAUUUAAAAUAUAUUAGUCCCAAAUAAAUAUUUUGGAUUAAUAUAAUUGGAUUAAUUAUUUAAGUCCAAACAUAUAUGGAUUUAAUUAAAGUCCAUUUUUUUAUUGGGCUAGCCCAUUGAUUUGGGCUACAAAUGAUGAGUCUACUUUGCUAAGCCCAAUAUAUUGUCAUAUUCUAUAGGCCCAAAUAAAUGUCACGUGUCAAAUGACGUGGCAUGCCAAGUCAAGUGAAGGAGCCAAUAGGACCAUUCCACAUGUCAAAAUAAUGCAGCAACCCAAUAAAAUCAAAGCCCAUAAAGGCGCCACAUCACUUGAAUUUGAUUGGUCAAAGAAAGUCCAUCUUCAUCAUCACUCUUCCUUUUCUACAACUAUAAAUAGGGGUCUCAUAAUUCAGAAAGAGGGACCCCAGAACUCUAACAAGUAGCGAGAGAAAGCUCGUGGAUCAAACGCCACAAUUUCUCUAAAAAGCUCAAGCAUUCAAAUCAAGUUCAUUAAGAUUCAAGAUUAAGACCGCAAUAUUCAAGAACAAGCUCAAAAACCCUUGAAUUCAAGCACAAGUCAAGAUCAAGCCCCUCAAAGCAUUCAAAUCAAGUUCAAAUUCAAGAUCAAGCUUUAAACUCUUGAAUUUAUAUUAGAAAAAGCGAAUCAGAGGAUUCAUAGAGAUUGUAAUAUCACAUAUUAAAAUUAAUAAAUUGAUUUUUACAAUAUAUUUUUCUUGUUUCGAAGUAUUGUUUUUCGAUCUCAAAAACUUUAUUGUCCAACAAAUUCUAGCACACCCAGUGGGACUAUCUCUACCUCUCAUCUCAAAUUUUUCAACUGCAAAGUUAAACAACAUUGAAAUGACUUCCAAGAAGGUUAAAUCUCAAUCAACUGUUUCCAAGGCUGCUGAUUCAAAGUUCUCUGCUGAAGUAGAAAGAAUCUUUGGCGUUACUUUCGAAAGCUUAGGAGUUGUGUAACGCCCCGCAUUUUGGGCUAGAAUAAAAACCAUGAUUUCGAUGCGUUGCUAAUUUUGAAGCCAUAAAAUCCUGUGCCAAUACGGCAUGUUAAUUAUUGUGUAGCAUGUGAAUCCGCUCAAGCUUGAAUUUAGACCAUAGAGGUCCUUCAACUCAAGGACGAGUUGAAACUAUUUCGAUCGACUAAGUUUUAGUAGACGUUGUAAAGUGUGUCAGCUUCCAUCGACCAUAACUCUCUAUGUAUGUUGAAUUAGGAAGCCUACUAUCUGUCAAUGAUAGGUAUUCGAGUUAGCUUUCCAACGAUACUAAUUUGGCUAAAAUUCAACACCCGAGCAAGAAGUUAUGGCCCUUCAAAGUGAUAAGCGAUGCCUAACCAAUCGCCCAUGGCCACUGAAAAGCAUAGGCGAUAGCCUAGGCGGCGCCUAUGUGAAGAUAGGCGAUGGGAUGGGCGGCGCCUAUGUAAGGAAUUCUGGUGAAUUAAACACUCCGUGUUAAGGACAAAGUGGUCCUUUUCCACCCUUACUUAGCCCUAAAAAACUAGAUUUAGUUCCAAAGACCACAAAAUACUUAUUCUUUCAUCAAAAGUGCUCAAGAUUCUCCUUAGGGUUUCAACAUAAAAACCCAAAUAGUUCAAGAUUUGACCGUAGGUUUUCAAAGAUAAUUACAUAUUUGGAAUCACCAAUCCGCAAGCUUCAAGAAACAUCUAUUAUCCUUGGAAAUAGANNNNNNNNNNNNNNNNNNNNNNNNNNNNNNNNNNNNNNNNNNNNNNNNNNNNNNNNNNNNNNNNNNNNNNNNNNNNNNNNNNNNNNNNNNNNNNNNNNNNNNNNNNNNNNNNNNNNNNNNNNNNNNNNNNNNNNNNNNNNNNNNNNNNNNNNNNNNNNNNNNNNNNNNNNNNNNNNNNNNNNNNNNNNNNNNNNNNNNNNNNNNNNNNNNNNNNNNNNNNNNNNNNNNNNNNNNNNNNNNNNNNNNNNNNNNNNNNNNNNNNNNNNNNNNNNNNNNNNNNNNNNNNNNNNNNNNNNNNNNNNNNNNNNNNNNNNNNNNNNNNNNNNNNNNNNNNNNNNNNNNNNNNNNNNNNNNNNNNNNNNNNNNNNNNNNNNNNNNNNNNNNNNNNNNNNNNNNNNNNNNNNNNNNNNNNNNNNNNNNNNNNNNNNNNNNNNNNNNNNNNNNNNNNNNNNNNNNNNNNNNNNNNNNNNNNNNNNNNNNNNNNNNNNNNNNNNNNNNNNNNNNNNNNNNNNNNNNNNNNNNNNNNNNNNNNNNNNNNNNNNNNNNNNNNNNNNNNNNNNNNNNNNNNNNNNNNNNNNNNNNNNNNNNNNNNNNNNNNNNNNNNNNNNNNNNNNNNNNNNNNNNNNNNNNNNNNNNNNNNNNNNNNNNNNNNNNNNNNNNNNNNNNNNNNNNNNNNNNNNNNNNNNNNNNNNNNNNNNNNNNNNNNNNNNNNNNNNNNNNNNNNNNNNNNNNNNNNNNNNNNNNNNNNNNNNNNNNNNNNNNNNNNNNNNNNNNNNNNNNNNNNNNNNNNNNNNNNNNNNNNNNNNNNNNNNNNNNNNNNNNNNNNNNNNNNNNNNNNNNNNNNNNNNNNNNNNNNNNNNNNNNNNNNNNNNNNNNNNNNNNNNNNNNNNNNNNNNNNNNNNNNNNNNNNNNNNNNNNNNNNNNNNNNNNNNNNNNNNNNNNNNNNNNNNNNNNNNNNNNNNNNNNNNNNNNNNNNNNNNNNNNNNNNNNNNNNNNNNNNNNNNNNNNNNNNUGGUGUAAAUUAUGUAGGGUAUUCCACCUAGCUCAGUUGCAUUUCAUUAUUGUUGAGAAAAACUAUUGCAUUACACUCAUGUGUUUUCAAAUGACUUGAUAUGAAAUUUCUUUAUAAUGGCUCUCAACUAUAUUUUGUAAAAAUAUUAUGUUUUGCUUUGAUAUCUCUGCGUACCAGUACUUUUGUGCUGACCCCCUCCCCUCUCCAACCUCCCAGGUUAAGAGGCCCAGUCUAGGGGUCAAGAGAAUCAGUAGAUCAUUCACACAGAGUUGUAGAGACAAGUGGUGAGCCUUCUAUGUUUCGGAAGGUCUUAUGUCCUGCAGUCCUUUUAUCUUAUAUUAGUUUUGGGUCUGCUGGGGGCCCUGUCCCAGUUUUCAGAUAGACAUUGUUUCAGUCAUGUAGUAGAGAUUUUGCAGACGGUUUUAGAGAUGUUGAUUUAGAUUGUGGGACACUAUUCCCCAUUUUCAUUUUCAUAUGAUUCUUGACCAUGUUUCCGUUAUAUUGUGUUUCUUUCGCAUUACUUUGAUCAUAUGAAUUAUGUGCAUGAUUAUCAGACAGAUAGGGGUGUUUUGGGCCUCCAUGGUUUGAAAUACUCAUCACGGCCAGGCCCUAGUUCGAGUCGUGACAAGCUAGCACGAGGAGAAAGACAAGUUUUCUAGGACAACAAAUACUUCUAGUGUCGUCCACGCCAACUCCAGUUUUUGGAUCUUCAACCCCAAAAGGAACGAAGUCCAAUGCAAGUGCUUCAAGGAGGAAGCAGUGUGGCAGAAUCGCUUAAUAAGACUUUAGAUCUACUUGAGCAUUCUGGUUCUAAAUACUCUGGCGCAAAGAGUGAUGUUCGUUCAAGCAACUCAUCAUCUCUGACCACACCGCAUAAGUUGCGCACUUCAAAGAUCAACUUGUGCAAUAAUCCAUGCUACUCUUCAACAUCUUCAGUGAUUACGCUAGCGAUGGUGACUGAUGCCUCGUGUAUGGAGGAACAACUUGUGAAUCUGACAAAGGCAAUUGAGAGCCUGACCAAAUAUAUUCAGAAUCAAGAUGCUCGAAUUGAUAAGAUAGUGGAUAGGGUGAAAUAUCUGAUAGACAAAGAAUCUAGUCAUGCACCUGGAAAAUCUCCAGAGAUUUAUGAGAUAGAAAAUCUUGUGAAACAAACACCACCGACUAAAGAGGUGUAAGUUUCUUCUGAGGAAAUGAUCCUGAUUGGGCAAUUGAGGGAAUUCAUUGAAGGGACCCUCAAAGACAAGUAUGAUGUUGUCACAAAAUCUUUCCUUGUGUAUGUCAAGCCCUACACUGCGAGGAUAAAUAGCCUCAAAAUGUCUGCCGGUUAUCAACCCCCCAAAUUUCAACAAUUUGAAGGCAAAGGGAACCCAAAACAGCAUGUCACACACUUUUGUUGAGACAUGUAACAACGUUGGAAAUUACAGUGACUAUCUUGUCAAAUAGUUUGUUCGUUCCUUAAAGGGAAACACCUUUAAUUGGAAUACGAACCUUGAGCCUAAUUUCAUCGAUAGCUAGGAGCAAUUGGAGCGCGAGUUUCUAAAUCGUUUUUAUAGCACAAGGUGUAUAGUGAUCAUGGUAGAGCUCACAAAUAAUCUCCAAAGAAAGGAUGAACCAGUUAUUGACUUCAUCAAUCGAUGGAUAAAUGCUAGCCUAAACUGCAAAGAUAGGUUCAGUGAAGCUUCUGCAAUAGAGAUGUGUGUCCAAGGAAUGCACUGGGAGCUUCUCUACAUCUUGCAAGACAUUAAGCCUAAAUCCUUUGAAAAGCUAGCUAUCCGUGCUCACGAUAUGAAGUUGAGCAUGUCUUCUGCUGGAAAGGAGGCAGUGCCUAUCCAUGACCCUCGAAGGGGAAAGGAUAAGCAGGAACCCAAAAUAUGGGCCAAGUUUGUCCCCAAAAAUAAAAACAAAGAGUCCAUGAAUGUUGAUGUGUCUCCUAUGAAGGUCACCAUAAAGGUGAGCAAGAAUCAAAGUAUGAAGAAGACUUCUGAAGCACGUCCGAAUCAGAAAACUUUAAAAGAGAUACAAGAAAAGGAAUAUCCCUUCCUUGAUUCUGAUGUUACUGAGAUUUUUGAUGAACUCCUUGAGCAUAAGCUCAUUGAUCUCCCAGAGAUGAAGCAUCCUAAUGAAGCUGGAAGGAGCAAUGGCCCUAAUUAUUGAAAUAUCAUAGGCUCAUAAGUCACCCUCUGAAAAAAUGCUUUGUCUUUAAAGAUAAAGUCAUGCAACUGGCAAAAGAGAAGAAGAUCUUCUUCGACGAUGAGACAGCCAGUUCUCAUUAAAUCUUCAUCACAUUUGGAUCGCUCAAUCCAGUCCAAAUAUGUGUUAAAGAGCAUAAUGAGAAAAUAUUAGAGUCUGAUAGGUCUUCAGUUAACGAAAACGAUGAUGAAGGUUGGACUCUGGUAACCAGGCAUAGACGCAAGAGGAUGAGUCUACAAACGGAGUUAUCCGAGCAUCCAAACAGAAGGACAAUGGUAAAGAAACCAAGGAACAAAAGUUGGUUGAAUUCCCAAAGAAGACGAGGGUGAUGGAGCUCUACCCCGAAAAACCUUAGUGUCCGGUGACUUUAGAGGAAUUGUUACUGAGUUGUUUUCGUGUAAAGAUUGCCCAAGUCAACCUUGAGGCGUCUUGUUUUAAUAUCGCCAAAGAGGGGGCAAAUGGUGAGAAUCUACCCAUGGUAGUUGUUUCAUCUUCCGAAAAGCUUGCUGAAACUCUUGGCGAAGAUGCACAUGUAUGUGAUACAAAAAUCACAUUCACAAAUAACGAUUUUCUGCUUGGUGAGGCCCUACAUAACCGUCCCUUAUACAUGGUGGGUCAAAUUCUAGGAAAGAAGAUCAAUAGAAUCUUGAUAGAUAAGGGAUAUGGAAUCAACAUCCUGCCUAUCCGCACGAUGAAGAAACAUAGCAUCGUUACUAGCGAACUGGAUGAAAGCCGUAUAAUGAUCCAAGGCUUCAACUAAAGGGGCCAGAAGGCUAUGGGUUGUAUUAAGUUGGGGAUUCAUAUGGAUGAUUUUCAAUCCAUUGAUGCAUGUGAUCGAUGCCAAAACUUCAUAUAAUAUAUUGCUUGGUAGGCCUUGGGUGCACGGGAACAAAAUUAUCUCGUCCUCUAACUAUCAAUGCUUGAAGUACCUCAAAGAUGGAAAGGAAAGAAAGAUAGUUGCCGAUGACAAGCCUUUCACUGAAGCUGAGUCAUAUUUUGUUGAUGCAAAAUUCUACUCAAAGAAUUAUGUUGUGGAUGAGAAGAGGGUUGAAGAUGUCACCAAGACCAAGUGUGACGAUCUUGCUUCUAAGAAGGCCGCGGUGACUUUAAAAAAAAGUCACCACCAAGAAGAAUCUCUCCACUUCAAAUAAAGAAAGUGUCGCUUCUAUGAAAAUAAAGGCAACUCCCGUUCUUCACUACGUACCAAAAGUAAAGAAAAAGAAAUAUCACUCAUCGGAUUUCCAAGAUAAUAUACUAAAGGGGCUAACUUUACCUAUCAGGAAGAUUGAUGCAAUAAGUCCAUCCUUAAGACUUCUUGAAGAGUCUGUGGCUCAAAAUAUCCCAUAAGAUAUGACACUCCCUACGAAGUGUACGAAAGAAUGCUUUGACCCAAAUGCAUAUAAGCUAUUUGUAAAGUAUGGAUAUAAUCCUAAUGAGACAUCAAGAUUAGGAAAACUUCCGUCAGAGGGUACAACCAGGCAGGCACGUGAAGGCCUAGGAUACACGCAGCCACCUCCAAUUUGCAUCUCCAUAAGAAGGGCAGACAGUAAUUACAUCAUCGUGGAAGAAAAAUACACUGUUGCUAAUAAAAGACCCUCUAUAUUUGACCGACUUAGAGGGUCAAAUGCAAGAACUUAUGUGUUUGAAAGGUUGGGACCUCUAAAUAAGAAGAAAAGCAACAAGCAUAAGAAGAGUCGUCAAAGCACGAUGAUGCACUCUUCACUUAAAAUACAGAAGGAUUUCCAAAGUUUGAUUUCUUCUAGAAUGAAGUGACAGACAGAAAUGGUAGUUUCAUACAACAAGGUGCUAAAAGCAAAGGCAGAUACUAUGGUUUAUACCAAGCAACACAAAGAAGAUUAAGAGAGUGUUGGCUCCUCAUAUUAUGUUACGAACCAGAACAAGAAAGAUGUCUCAUCUCAAAUAAAGGUUGAUGAAGAGAUAGAAGAUGCCUUUUGGUGUUGUCAUAUAUCUGUCAACAACUAUGAUCUUCAAGAGGAGAAAGAUGUUGGGGAUGUUCCAUCAUAACUUAAAGAAGGAGUAAAGGCCACAAUAGAUCCCUUGAAGGAAGUUAAUCUUAGAAUAGAUGAAAACCCAAGACCAACUUACCUGAGUGCGUUUUUAGAAGUGGAAGAGAAAAUCGCUUAUAUGGACACACUCAAAUAAUAUAUGGAUGUCUUCUCCUAGAGCUAUAAGGAAAUGCCUGGCUUAGAUCCAAAAGUAGCGGUCCAUCAGUUGGCGGUCAAGAAUGGUGCCCGUCCUGUUAAGCAAGCCCAAAGACAUUUUAGGCUGGACUUGGUUUCUUUGAUUGAAAAUAAAGUUAACAAACUCAUUGAAGGGAGAUUUAUUUGCGAAGUCAAAUAUCCCAUAUCGAUUUCAAGUAUUGUUUCAGUAUGGAAAAAGAAUGACCAAAUUCGAGUUUGCGUUGACUUUUGGGCUGCCCUAAGGAUGACUUUCCAAUUCCUAUACCAGAGUUGAUGAUUAAUUCCACCACUGGUUAUGAGGCAAUGUCCUUCAUGGAUGGUUCAUCCGGCUACAAUCAAAUUCGUAUGGUGCCAAAAGAUGAAGAACUCACUGUAUUUUGUAUGCCCAAAGGUAUUUAUUGCUACAAGGUGAUGCCUUUUGGUUUGAAGAACGCUGGUAAUACUUAUCAAAGGGAUAUACAGAACAUCUUUAAUGGCCUGCUCCAUAAAAAUGUUGAAUGCUACAUCGAUGAUCUAGUGGUGAAGUCAAGAAAGAGAGACGACCACUUAAAAGACCUAAGAAUGGUAUUCGAGUUACUUCGAAGAUAUUAACUUAGGAUGAAUCCAUUAAAGUGUGCCUUUGGAGUUACUUCUGGAAAGUUUCUUGGCUUUAUUGUGUGACACCGAGGAAUUGAAAUUGAUCAAGACAAGGUCGAUGCUCAAAAUAUUCAUGAGUUAAAAAGCCUCCAAGGAAGGCUAGCAUAUUUAAGGAGGUUCAUCUCAAACCUGACCAGAAAAUGUCAACCAUUUAGUCAUCUCAUGAAGAAAGACACUCCCUUCGAAUGGGACCAAGCUUGUAGUAAUUCCUUUGAUAGUAUCAAAUCAUAUUUAAUGAAGCCACUAGUUCUUGCGGAAUCCAUACCUAGGAAACCAUUGAUACUUUACAUCGCAGCACAAGAGAGGUCAGUUAGAGCACUACUGGCUCAAGAAAAUAGUGAUGGCAAAGAAAACUCUCUUUACUAUUUGAGUAGAAUGAUGACGCCGAAUGAGCUAAAGUAUUCUCCAAUUGAAAAGUUAUGUUUGGCAUUAGCCUUCUCGAUUCAAAAGAUGAAGCACUACUUUCAGGCUUAUGUUGUUCGUCUUAUGUCUAGGGCAAAUCCCAUAAAGUUUAUAAUGUCAAAAUCAGUCCUUAGUGACCGACUUACAAGAUGUACCUUCAAUUUCAAUAGUUUGAGGUUGUGUACGUUCCCCAAAAGGCUGUAAAGGGACAAGCAUUGGAUGAUUUUUUGGCAGAUCACCCGAUACCUGAUGAUUAGGAAUUGAGUGAUGAACUUCCUGAUGAAGAUGCAAUGGUUAUUGAAGCUAAACCCUCAUGGAAGUUGUACUUUGAUGGUGCCACACAUCGAUAUGGAGAUGGUGCCGGUGUGGUGUUUGUCACUCCACAAGAAGAGGUCAUCCCAUACUCUUUUACCCUUACAAACCAUUUCUCUAAUAAUGUUGUUGAAUAUCAAGCUUUAAUACCUGGACUUGAGAUGACAAUUGACAUAAAACAACUGCAAUUACAAGUCUUUGGUGACUUCCAAUUGGUGAUCAAGCAGCUUUUGGGAAGCUAUAAAGUCAGAAAGCCUGAGCUACGACCAUAUCAUGACUAUGCACAGAAGUUGAUGGGGUGGCUUGGAGAAGUAAUCCUCCAACAUGUACCAAGGAGAGAAAAUAGGCAAGUUGUGCCCUAGCUGCUUUGGCCUCAACCCUGACUCUUCCAAAUCAGACUCAAGUCACUAUACGACAAGAAUGGGUAGUACCGCCAACAACUGAAGAUGAAGAAAAUAAAGUUGAAUACCUUGUUGCCAUAUCUGAAGUUGAAAAAGAAGAUUGGCGACAACUUAUCAUUGAUUACUUAUGUUAUGGGAUACUUCCAGAGGACCCAAAAAGAAGGACAUACAUUCGUCAUCGUGUACCUUACUUACUUUACUAUAAGGACACACUGUACAGAAGAUUAUUUGAAAGAAUACUCUUAUGGUGUCUGGGAGAGAGAAAAUCAAUUCAAGCUUUGCAAGAAGCACACUCGGGAGUGUGUGGAUUAUAUCAAUCUGGACUAAAGCUUCAUUUUCACAUUGAAAGGAUAGGAUACUAUUGGCCAACGAUGGUGAAAGAUUGCUUGGACUAUGCUAGAAGAUGCAAAGCUUUUCAAUUCCAUGCGAAUUACAUUCAUCAACCUGCUGAAGUACUACACCCAACUGUAGCAUCUUGGCCGUUCAAUGCUUGGGGAAUGGAUGUUGUUGGUCCACUACCAAAAUCUUCUGGUGGACACUUAUACAUCUUGGCCGCGACAGAUUACUUCUCAAAGUGGGUCGAAGUUGUUGCUCUUAAAGAAGUAAAGAAAGAAAAUGUUGCAAACUUUAUUCGAGUGAAUAUCAUCUGCCGCUUUGGAAUUUCUCAAUAUAUAAUAGCUAACAAUGGCAAGCCGUUUGAUAACAAACUGAUGAAUAAAAUUUGUGAUCUCUUUGGCUUCAAGCAGCGCAAGUCUUCUAUGUACCAUGCGCCGCCGCCAAUGGUCUAGCUGAAGCCUUCAAUAAAACUUUAUGCAGCUUGUUGAAGAAAGUUGUCUCCAAAUACAAACGAGACUAGCAUGAGCGAAUGAAAGAAGCUUUAUGGGUGUAUAGGAUAACUUAUUAUACGCCAACGCAAGCAACCCCAUACUCGCUUGUUUUUUAAGUCGAAGCAGUCCUGCCACUUGAGCGUCAAAUACCUUCUUUGAGAUUGGCUAUUCAAGAAGGGUUCACUGAUGAAGAAAAUUCUAAGUUGCAUCUUGCGGAAUUAGAAGCUCUUGAUGAGAAGAGGCUGGAGGCUCAACAAAAUCUUGAAUGUUAUCAAGCCCGGUUAUCUCGUUAUUUCAACAGAAGGGUUCGCUUAAGGUGAUUCCAAGUUGGAGAUCAAGUUCUUGCAGUAAGAAGGCUCAUUAUCACUUCUCAUAAGUCUAGGGGAAAAUUCACCCUAAAGUGGGAUGGACCAUAUGUAACGCCCCGCAUUUUGGGCUAGAAUAAAAACCAUGAUUUUGAUGCGUUGCUAAUCCCGAAGCCAUAAAAUCCUAUGCCAAUAUGGCAUGUUAAUUAUUGUAUAGCAUGUGAAUCCGCUCAAGCUUGAAUUUAAACCAUAGAGGUCCUUCAACUCAAGGACGAGUUGAAACUAUUUUGAUCGACUAAGUUUUAGUAGACGUUGUAAAGUGUGUCAACUUCCAUCGACCAUAACUCUCUGUGUAUAUUGAAUUAGAAAGCCUACUAUGUGUCAAAUAAUAGGUAUUCAAGUUAGCUUUCCAACGAUAUAAAUUUGGCUAAAAUCCAACACCCGAGCAAGAAGUUAUGGCCCUUCAAAGUGAUAAGUGACGCCUAACCAAUCGCCCAUGGCCACUGGAAAGCAUAGGCGAUAGCCUAGGCAGCGCCUAUGUGAACAUAGGCGAUAGCCUAGGUGGUGCCUAUGUAAACAUAGGCGAUAGCCUAGGCGGCGCCUAUGUGAAGAUAGGCGAUGGGACAAAGUGGUCCUUUUCCACCCUUACUUAGCCCUAAAACAUGAGAUUUAGUUCCAAGGACCCCAAAAUACAUAUUCUUUCAUCAAAAGUGCUCAAGAUUCUUCUUAGGAUUUCAAAAAUGAAAACCCAAAUAGUUCAAGACUUGACCGUAGGUUUUCAAAGAUAAUUACAUAUUUGGAAUCACCAAUCCGCAAGCUUCAAGAAACAUUUAUUAUCCUUGGAAAUAGAAGUACGUGGGGCUAUCCAAAAAAAUCUCAUGGGUGUAGUUGUUCACCACUUGUACAUGAUGAAGCACCUUGGUUUUUACCUGAUUAUGCAUAUGUGGAUGUGAUAUUGAUAACUUGCAAGUUGGGUAUGACGAUACCCUACAGAAAACGAUAUGCGAUUGAAUAAGAUGAAAUUUGAAUGCAUUGCUUUUACAUUUGAAAGGUGGAUGCCCGAAGAAGGCGUUUGAGACACAAGUGGCUCGUCGCUAAAAGAACGUGUUUGCCGACAUGGAAUAUCGGUACUAUGCUUUGUGGUCUUGCGUACCUGAUAUUAUAUUAUCCCAAAUUGGAAUUAUGGUUAGGAGUCAUGCUUUGUGGUCUUGUGCACUACCAUAUUUGAUUUGGGUCGAAACACCAUGCUUUGUGAUCUUGUGUGUGUCUCCCUCACUUAUACUCUAAUCUCGGCGGCAACCGAGGUUUGACAGUUGGUGUAAAUUAUGUGGGGUAUUCCACCUAGCUCAGUUGCAUUUCAUUAUUGUUGAGAAAAACUAUUGCAUUACACCCAUGUGUUUUCAAAUGAAAAUAUCAUGUUUUGUUUUGAUAUCUCUGCGUGCCAGUACUUUUGUGCUGACCCCCUCUCCUCUCCAACCUCUUAGGUUCAGAGGCCCAGUCUAGGGGUCAAGAGAAUCAGUAGAUCUUUCAAAUAGAGUUGCAGAGACAAGUGGUGAGCCUUCUAUGUUUCGGAAGGUCUUAUGUCCUGCAGUCCUUUUAUCUUAUAUUCAGUUUUGGGGGUCUGCUGGGGGCCUUGUUCCAAUUUUCAGAUAGACAUUAUUUCAGUCAUAAAGUAGAGAUUUCGUAGACGAUUUUAGAGAUGUUGAUUUAGAUUGUGGGACACUAUUCCCCAUUGUCGUUUUCAUAUGAUUCGUGACCAUGUUUCUGUUAUAUUGUGUUUCUUCCGCAUUACUUUGAUCAUAUGAAUUAUAUGCAUGAUUAUCAGACAGAUAGGGGUGUUUUGGGCCUCCAUAGUUUGAAAUGCUCGUCACGGCUAGGCCCUGGUUCGGGUCAUGAGACCAUAUGUUGUAUAAGAGGCAUAUUCAAAUGGUGUUUACUAGCUUGUCGAUGCAGAUGGUGUGAGGGUUGGCCCCAUCAAUGACAAGUUCUUGAAGAAGUACUAUCCUUGAAGGAAGAUGACACUCCUUAAGGCACGAGUAUAAACUGCAUGUACACUCCUUAAGGCACGAGUAUAAAUUGCAUGUCCACUCUUGGCCCGCAAGAGUAUAAACUGUGUACGGCUAAAAAAAAAUAAAAGUCCGCUAGGUUGAAAACCUCGGAAGAGACGACCUAGGCAAAAGUUCGGAAACAAAAAAAACACUCACCCAGAACUACUUUGUGACUUGAUCCUUCAUUGAGGUACGUAGGGGCUUAGAAUUUCAUUCUUAGUUCAGUUGCAUGAGUUUCAAAAAAAAAUAUGUUCCUGCAGUAUCUACUAUAUGGAUACCAAGUAUGAAAAUAUUCUAAUUAAAUUUUGGACUCACUCCACGUAUUAGUGGCUCAAUAGGGGAAAACUCCAAUGAAAUAUGAGCUUCAUUCACAUAAGAUGAAGUCUCCNNNNNNNNNNNNNNNNNNNNNNNNNNNNNNNNNUUGAGAGUGAAAUUUUGACAAAAUUUCCAAGUCUUCAAAUCAAGGCCUCUCGCGGGUUUAUCCUUAAAAUGACCUAAAAAUUUCCAUGCCUUAAGGUGAACAAAAUUUGUCCCUUUGCACCUUAAAUUGGCCUCUCACGGGUUUAUCCUUAAAAGGAUCUCAAAAUUUCUAUGCCUUAAGGUGGACAAAAUUUAUCCCUUUUCACCUUAAGUUGGCCUAUCAAGGGUUUAUCCUUAAAAGGAUAUCAAAAUUUCUAUGCCUUAAGGUGGACAAGAUUUGUCUCUUUGUGCCUUAAACUGGCUUCUAACGAGUUUAUCCUUAAAGUAUAUUGAAAUUUCCAUGCCUUAAGGUGGACAAGAUUUGUCCCUUUGCACCUUAAGUUUAUCCUUAAAAGGGCCCAUAUUUAAAGAAGACCGUUGCAUAAGUGCAUCGAUGAAAGGGCCCAUACUUAGAGAAGACCAUUGCAUAAAUGCAUUAGUAAAGGGCUCAUACUUAAAGAAGACAAUUGCAUAAGUGCAUCGAUGAAAGGGCCCAUACUUAGAGAAGACCAUUGCAUAAAUGCAUUAGUAAAGGGUCCAUACUUAAAGAAGACAAUUGCAUAAGUGCAUCGAUGAAAGGGCCCAUACUUAAAGAAAAUCAUUCUGUCUUCAAGCAAAGUUUUUCGGCCUUAAGGUGACGGAAGCGAAGUUAAACUCUCGCACCUUAAUCCGGUUUUCAAUGUCUUCAAGCAAAGUCUUUCGGUCUUAAGGUGACGGAGAAGAAGUUAAAAUCUCGCACCUUAAGCCGGCCAAUUAUUGCAGUCUUUCGAUCUUAAGGUGAUAGAGGCGAAGUUAAGCUCUCGCCACCUUAAGCUGGCCAAUUAUCACAUAAGUCUUUCGGUAUUAAGGUGACAGAGGCGAAGUUAAACUCUCGUCACCUUAAUCCGUCUAAUUAUUGCAUAAGUCUUUCGGUCUUAAGGUGACAGAGGCGAAGUUAAACUCUCGCCACCUUAAGUCGGCCAAUUGUUGCAUAUUGCUAUUUGGUUCAACCCUGCAAAAAAAAAAAGGAAAAACAAGAAAGAAAGUAAAAAAACACAAACAGAAAGGAUGUUACCUGUUAGAGCAUUGCGAUCUUAAAAGUUGUAUAUCACCAACUUGGAUUGAGAUAAGAUGCCUUGAUGAGAAUAAAGCCCUCAAAAUUGAGUUUGAAGCAAUUAAAACUCCCUUUGAUGGUGAUGGUCCCACAUCAAGAUAUAAAUUAUUUGGUGAGGUGAUGCAAAUCUGUAAUCCUCUGUCGGACAGCAUAUAAAGAUCGACUUCAAAAAGUCAUCUAGAACAAUCCAAAAAGUGUUAAAAUCCAAAAUUUGGAUAUAUUAUACAUGCAUGUUUUCGGGAUUAAGCGGAUCAUAAUUUCAAUACUCUCACAUUGAGAUAUAAUUUUUUUUUGGUGAUGUUGCAUAAAUCUGAAUUGUUGAUGCAUCAAAACUCGAUGUUGAUUUCGGGAUAACACCUGAAAAUAUCUCGAUUUUAUUAAAUUACAAAUUUUGGAUAUGUUAUAUAUCUUUGUUUCUAGUUUCACAAGAAUCAAGCGGCUUGUGAUUUCAUCCUUCCUACUUCAAGAUAUGAAAGUUUUAGUAAAGACGCGUAAAUCUGAAAUUUUCAGCAUGAUAAAAUUCUGGGCUAACUUCAAAAUAUUAUCGAAAAUUAUAUUGAAGGAAUUUAAAGCUGAAUUUUUGAUAUGUUAUAGAUCUCGAAGUCUAGUUUCUGGAAUAUCAAAUAGUUUAUGAUUUCAAUAUUCCUACAAUUAGAUAUAAAUUUUUUUACCACAAAUAUGCUGUGCUGAAAAAAAGUGACGAAAAUAAGAGAAAAGUAGGAGGGAAAGAAAUUCCCUCAAUAUUGUUUAUGGCUUGAAAAUCCUAAAAUCGAUAUUGAGAAAGUGGGGAAACUACCUCCUUUUAUAGAGUUGUAGGAUGGAUGUUUCCUUCUCCAAUAUAAGUUCAGAUUGGAAUAAUUUCUAUCUCCAAAUUCAAAUUGGAGAUUGUUUUCUUCUCCCAUACAAAUUCAAAUUGAAAAUCGCUUCCUUCUGCCAUUCAAAAUUAAAUUGGAGGUUAUUUUCUUCUCCCAUACAAAUUCAAAUUAGAGGUUGAUUUUCUUCUCUCAUACAAAAUUCAAAUUGGAGGUUGUUUUCUUCUCCCAUACAAAUUCAAAUUGGAGGUUCUUUAUUUCUCCAAUCUAAGUUCAAAUUGGAAGAGUUUUAUUCCUGAUUAAGUAAGGUGAUGAAAAAGUCUUCCAAAAUCUGUUUGAAAUUGGAUAUCAUGCCUUACUAACGGGGUCUUAAGUAUAGAGAUUCGUGAAAAAAAAUAAGAGAGUUUUGAGAGGCAAUAUCAAUAUGGUUCGGCUUUAAUUUUUUUGAAUGGGGUAUUCAUACGUAUCAAAAUCGCUGAAGCACGAAGAAAACAUGUUUAAAUAAUCAUACUUCAAGGCUAGUCUCCAAAAUAUUAAAUGUCUCGACAAGUCUUGAAGUAGGGGCCAUUUGUGGCGUUUGUGGGUGAUGCAAUUUUGAAGAUUUAAAUCCAUACAAAAUUCGGAUUAUAUUAAAUUCAAAAUAUAUUAGUCCCAAAUAAAUAUUUCGGAUUAAUAUAAUUGGAUUAAUUAUUUAAGUCCAAACAUAUGGAUUUAAUUAAAGUCCAUUUUUUUUAUUGGGUUAGCCCAUUGAUUUGGGCUACAAAUGAUGAGCCCACUUUGCUAAGCGCAAGAUAUUUUCAUAUUCUACAGGCCCAAAUAAAUGUCACGUGUCAAAUGACGUGGCAUGCCAAGUCAAGUGAAGGAGUGUAACACCGCGUAUUUUUGGGCUAGAAUUUAGACCAUCGUUCCUACGUAUAUAGAUUCGAACUGAAUUAUUCUUUAUUAACAUACGUGUGGUAAACACUCCUAUCGUAAUGCCCCAUAAAAUUCUCGAGUCGAUUUCAUUUUUAGUGUUAUGUUUGAGGGGCUAACAACUAGAAUAUUUUUCUUAGUGUAACGAGAACUUAGAGUCAUUUCAGCUGGCAAUCUUCGGGAUACAACUUUUCAACCUUUUCGACAUUCGUUUUUAGAUUUUCAAGUUGCGUUACGAUCGGGAAAGCUCAUAUUACAUCUCGGAUAAGUUUUGGAAUUUUUCAGAACGCAUAAGUCUGCGUUUCGAUUUCAAAACAGUAGCAAAACGAAUAGCCUAUUGCCCAGUUUUCAGUAUUUCAGGGUCAACUUAAAAUGAUCAUAUCUCUCUGAAUAUAAUGAACUGAGAGAGAUGAUACCUAUAAAAUGAAAUAUCUUUGAGUCUUCUUUCUAAUGCAACUGGUUUCAUCCAAAUCCAACAUCUGAGUAAGGAGUUAUACCCAUUUUACUUUAGCCUGUCAGCUUGUCAACUGAGGGACAGUUUCGAAUUUGUUUGUUUUCUUAGGGGCAUUUUAGUCAUUUCACCUCACCUAAAUUUCGUCUAUAACACCAGAUUUAGCCCCCAAUUCAUCAAAAUAUAAUCCUUUUCUCAAAUUUUCUCUCAAGAACACCCCUUAGGGUUUCAAAAUAAAAACCCCAAUAACUCAAGAUUCAACCAUGGAUUUUCAAAAAAAAUUGAAGAUUUGGAAUCCCCGCAACGUAGGCUUCAAGAAGCACCUAUCAUAUUCGCAUAUAGAGGUACGUGGGGUUAUCUCAAAAAUCUCAUGGGCUUAACAAUUCAUGUUUUAAAAAUGGGGGUUUUGAAAUUAUGAAUAUAAGCAUGUUUCAAGCAUCUUUAUGAUAUUGAUUUGGUCUUUAGGCCUUAUUCCAAAGUGAUUUGAUAUAUGAUAUAUGUAUAUGCAUGUAUUCCAAAAAUAUGUUAACUUGAGAGCAUGAAUGAUAUGUAAUCCCUCUCUUGAUGUGAAUUUAUUUUAAAUGUUCAUAUGAUGUAAAUUGUUUGAAAACAUCUUGAAAAGCAUGACAUGAAAUGUUUUGAGAAUUGAUAUGAUUUUGACUUGAAUAUGAGAGGGCUAUUUGUGUUGAAACAUAUUGAAUACAAUGGUUGAAUGAGAAGAAUGAUGUGAUAUUGAUGGNNNNNNNNNNNNNNNNNNNNNNNNNNNNNNNNNNNNNNNNNNNNNNNNNNNNNNNNNNNNNNNNNNNNNNNNNNNNNNNNNNNNNNNNNNNNNNNNNNNNNNNNNNNNNNNNNNNNNNNNNNNNNNNNNNNNNNNNNNNNNNNNNNNNNNNNNNNNNNNNNNNNNNNNNNNNNNNNNNNNNNNNNNNNNNNNNNNNNNNNNNNNNNNNNNNNNNNNNNNNNNNNNNNNNNNNNNNNNNNNNNNNNNNNNNNNNNNNNNNNNNNNNNNNNNNNNNNNNNNNNNNNNNNNNNNNNNNNNNNNNNNNNNNNNNNNNNNNNNNNNNNNNNNNNNNNNNNNNNNNNNNNNNNNNNNNNNNNNNNNNNNNNNNNNNNNNNNNNNNNNNNNNNNNNNNNNNNNNNNNNNNNNUGCUUUAUAAUGGAUCUCAACUAUAUUUUAUAAAAAUAUUAUGUUUUGUUUUGAUAUCUCUGCGUACCAGUACUUUUGUAUUGACCCCCUUCCCUCCCAGGUUCGGAGGCACAGUCUAGGGGUCCAGAAAAUCAGUAGAUUUCCUCAGACAGAUUCGCAGAGUCACUUGGUGAGCCUUCUAUAUUUCGGAAGGCCUGAUAUCUGGCAGUUUCAUUUAUCAUUUAUUUGUUUUGGGUCUACUGGGGGCCUUGUCCCAGUUUUCAGAUAGAUAUUUGUUUCAGUCAUGUAGUAGAGAUUUCGCAGACGUUAUAGAGAUGUUGAUUGAGAUUGUGGGACAUUAUUCCCCAUUAUUGUUUUCAUAUGAUUCUUGACCAUGUUUCCGUUAUAUAGUGUAUCUUCCGCAUUUUUUUUUCAUAUAAGUCAUGUGCAUGAUUAUCGGAUAGAUAAGGGGUGUUUCGGGCCUUGAUGGUUCGGAAUACUCGUCAUGGCCAGGGCCCCGGUUCGGGUCGUGACAAGGAGCCAAUAGGAUCAUGCCACAUGUCAAAAUAAUGCAGCAGCCUCAAUAAAAUCAAAGCCCAUAAAAGGCGCCAUGUCACUUGAAUUUGAUUGGUCAAAUGAAGUCCAUCUUCAUCAUGACUGUUCCUUUUCCACAACUAUAAAUAGAGUUCUCAUAAUUCAGAAAGAGGAACCCAGAACUCUAACAAGUAGCAAGAGAAAGCUUGUGAAUCAAACGCCACAAUUUCUCUAAAAAGCUCAAGCAUUCAAAUCAAGUUCAUCAAGAUUCAAGAUCAAGACCGCAAUAUUCAAGAACAAGCUCAAAAACCCUUGAAUUCAAGAUCAAGUCCCUCAAACCAUUCAAAUCAAGUUCAAAUUCAAGAUCAAGCUUUAAGCUCUUGAAUUUAUAUUUGAAAAGGCGAAUCAGAGGAUUCAUAGAGAUUGUAAUACUCACAUAUUAAAAUUAAUAAAUUGAUUGUUGCAAUAUAUUUUUCUUAUCUCGAAGUAUUAUUUUUCGAUUUCAAAAAUUUUACUGUCCAACAACCACAUACUGGAACAUCAUCUUUCCCUGUCAUCCACAUUUUUAAGGACAAACAAACUAAAGUUCACUAGCAUUUACUGUCAAGCAACAUCCAAGGAAGUAUAGUCAAAUGUUAAUGAUCAAUAUUUUGAUCAUUAGCGCCUCCAUUUUGAUCAUUAGGAUCCUGUUCAUCACCCCGCCCAUCUAGAUCAUCAUUCUGUUCAUUAGCGCCUUCAUCUUGAUGACCAUUUUGCUCAUUAGUGCCUACAUCUUGUUCAUUAGGAACCUGUUUAUUAACGUCCUCAUCUUGAUCAUUAGCACCUCCAACUUUAUCAUUAGCGCCUCCAUCUUCAUCGUUAUUCUGUUCAGUAGCAUCUUCAUGAUCUUAAUCAACAUUUUGCUUAUUUGUGCCUACAUACUGUUCAUUAAUGCCGCCAUCUUGAUCAUUACCGCCUCCAUCUUGCUCAGUGUUUGCGCCUAAAUAUUGUUCAUUAGGAACCUGCUCAAUAAUGCCCCCAUAUUGAUCAACAUUAGUGCUUCCAUCUUGAUCAGCAUUAGCACCUCCAACUUGAUUAUCAGCGCCUCCAUCUUGGUCAGCAUUAGCGCCUCCAUCUUGAUCAGCAUUAGCGCCUACAGCUAAAUCAUGCUCCUGCCCAUUUACACCUCCAUUCUGAUCAUUAGGAGCCUGUACAUUAGUGACUUCAAAGAGAGCAUCGUGCAACGUUACACCAUUCUGGUACAUAAGCUCGUCCCUGCCACAAAACACUCAUUUGAAUUAACACCUUACAAGUCAUACCUACAGUCUCCAUUUGCAAAUUUAUAAUUAGAAACUUACAAUUUCAUAAAGAAUCUUCCUGCUAUAAAAUACUCAGAUGCUGGGGAGGCUACCCUCCGCAGACCCCAAGUGUGGAAAUUCACUGGAUGUGUUGGUGGUGGUGGGGCGGCUGCCAUCUACUUCUUCAUGUUUCCGUUUGUUUAAUACAAAAACAUGAAACCAGCAUAUAAUACACAUGUCUCAGACCUCAGAAAAAAGCUUAAAUCACAAGAUGCUGAAAUGCUCAAUUUUCGAAAUCAUGAGACUUACAUUCUAUUUAACUAGCCUUCGAACACUAUGUCGUGCAGUGCACCUUCAAAGUGUACAAGACAAGAAAAUGAACAUAAUAAGUUGCUGUGUGCUUAGGCAAGAAAUAUAUCAGAAACAGCGGUGUCGAAAUUAAGGGAUUGAAUCCUCUUUAUGAAAUGAGUAAGAAUUUUCAUCAAAACUAUUAAUUUCCAAACGGAUGAGUAAGUACAAAAUUCAUUCCUAAAUUGGAAUGAAAAUCCUAGACAGCAAUGAAUGGUAUCCAUUGUAUCAACCUGUUGCACAACAAAUUUUCUUAAAAAAGACUAACUGCUGAAAGAAUCAAUGGGGAAAAAAAAGACUAACUGGUGGAAAAUGAGAAUUCAAAAAAGUAGAAAAAUGCAGAAAGAGUGAAUUAAAACUGACAAGAGAAUGUUAAUAUAGAAAAGCAACCUCUGUCUUGACCGUUAAUUCAAACAGGAGGGAAAUUCAACUGUAUUUUUAUUUUUUAUUUUUUCCCUUGGACCAGAUUUUACAAUUUACCCUCCACAACUCUGAAACUAGUCAUAUUGAAAUUUUACUUUAAAAAGAUUUUACAUGUUUGGAUGUAUGUAAACCAAGUCCCACGUUGAUAAUUGGAAAAAAAAAAAAAAUGAUAAGUUAGUUAUAAAUAGUUAUUAAGUGUGAUAGUUUUGGGGGGAAAUUGUUAGGUGGAUCAAAAUUGACAAUAUCACAUCAUUUUAAAAGUAUUUUUAGGCAAUACAAAAUCUAAAGUAGAUAAUCUACUUAGACUUCUCAUUAGGGUCAUUUGCAUUUUUGCUACUAUUUUGAGUUUUUUUUUAAUUUUUGUCUUUUAAGAUACUUUUUUGCAACGUAAAAAUUCAUAUUUUUACAUCAUAAAAUCUCAUAAAUUAUGUUUCAUGUUCUUAAAGAAGUUAUGCCUAGCUAGACAAUAGUUCAGUUGCUCAGGGCAAAAGUUCAAGAUCAAUCAUUUUAAAAGACAAACUUUGCAAUUAAAUAUUUUAGUGAAAACUUUUGUAGGCACACAAAUAUCAUGACUUAUUUAAAAUUAAAAUUUUAAAAAAAUUUAUAGCUACACAAAUAUUAUUACGCAAUUGAUAUUGCCAGUGUCAAUAAUACUUGCUUUUUCUUCUUAAAUAAUCAGCAUCAAAAUCCUUGAAAUACGAAAAUAUAUCCGGAGAGUUAGAGUAACUAUUUCUACAAGUAUUGGAAUAUUUAGUUCACUUACACCUAUUAUAUACAAAUAAGAAAACUGCGGAGACCGUUAACACCAAGGUUUUGUGGUGUAGUUGGUUAUCACGUCAGUCUAACACACUGAAGGUCUCCGGUUCAAGUCCGGGCGAAGCCAUUUUGUUAUCUCAUUCCUUUUUUUUUGGGUGCCAAAAUGUACUGGUGCUGUAAAUAUGCUCCAUAUAUCAGACUUGGAGAUGUCAUGUUAAAUGGAUACCAAAUAAUUACAUAAACACCCAAUAUGGUACCACUACCUAAUAGGCAGAGAGGCUGUUUCAUAUCAGUAAAUUAUAGUACUACUUACACACACAACUCAAAAAGCUGUGAUUUCAAAUUAAACAGAUACCAAGCAUUGCCAUAUUACAAAAGAUAAAAGAAGUGGAUUAUGUUAUCUGCUCUUAAAUCAACUUCAGGAUGAGAGUGAAAACUAAAAAACAUUAGGUCCACAAUUUUCAAACGUAUAUGCUAAUCUAACUUCAUCAUAUAGCAAAACAUCAUCUUUCCCAAUACUAAAAUUCUGUAGCAUUUACUGCCAAGUGUCAAGCAAAAUAUAAGGAAAUAGAUCAGUAAUCUCAUAGUAGCUUUUAACUGGUUAGUAGCUUUUAACUGGUUGAUUAUUCUCAAAUGCUUGACAGAUGGCUAGUAUCAAGAAAUUAAAAACAAACUAAGCAGCAUACAGAGAAUAGUAGUACUGCAAUCCCAAAACGGAAUAUCACACAAUUAUGGAAUUAGCUUUUUGUGUAAUUAUGAAGUCUAGUUACUCUACUCAGAAAGUGUAUAUCUUUCUGCAUUUUGAUCAGCAUGAAUAGGCUAUCAAUGUCUGCAUUUUUCUCAUUAGCACCUACAUCUUGCUCAUUAGGACCCCGUUCAUUUGCAUUUCCAGCUUGAUCAGCAUUUUGCAGAGUAGAGCCCACAUCUUGUUCAUUAGGAAUCUGUUCAUUAGUGUUUCCAUCUUGAUCAGCAUUUUUCUCGGUAGCUCCCAUAUCAUGUUCAUUAGGAACCUGUUCAUUAGUGUCUCCAUCCGGAUCAGUAUUUUGCUCAUUAGCACCUGCAUUUUGAUCAUUAGGACCCUAUUCAUCAGCGUCUCCAUCUUGAACAGCAUUUUGCUCAGUAGCACCUAAAUUUUGUUCAUUGGGAACCUGUCUGUUAAUGUCUCCAUCUUGAUCAGCAUUUUGGUCAUUAGUGCCUCCAUCUUGAUCAGCAUUUUGAUCAUUAGCGCCUCCAUCUUGAUCAUUAGCGCCAUCAUCUUGAUAAGCAUUUUGAUCAUUAGCGCCACCAUCUUGAUCAGCAUUUUGAUCAUUAGCGCCUCCAUCUUGAUCAGCAUUUUGAUCAUUAGCGUCUACUAAACCUUGUUCCCCAUUUAAAAGAAACAACGGUACCCCGCCUAAAAGGAACAACGGUACACCAUUCCAGGAACUACUAGUCAUACUGCAUAUAUAUGUGUAGAGUCUCAAUUUGCAUAAUUUUAUUUAGAAACUUACCAUCUCAGACAGAAUCUUCCUUCUCUAAAUAACAUGAAGUGUUGGGGGACUGCAAUCUGCGGAAAUCAUUAAUUCAGUAUUUAAUAAAAGAAGCAGCAAAUCUGUCUUGUUCAUCAAAAUCAAAUGCUCUUUAAUAUUAGUAUCUUACAAUUUGACACCCGAGCAGCAUUCCACAUUUGGCACAGUUUAUUUCGGCUGUGGUAAGUCCAUGUAUCACAGGAUCAUCAGUCACGUCGUCAGAUACUCUUAAACAUUAAACCUGCAUAUAUAUAAAGGCUAGUGACGUUUGCAAUAAUACAUAUCCAAGUUGCUGAAAUCAUAUGAAAUAUCCAAUUUUCAGAAUCGCAUGAAAUCAUGAAACUUACACUCUAGCAAAGAUCACUUUUGGAAAACGGGAUGGCACCUGCAAAGUGUACAAGACAAGAAAAUUAGCAUAAUAAAAUGUUCUGUGCUUAGUCAAGAAAUAUAACAUAUAUGCUAAAUUAAUUGCAAAAUUCAUGAUACUAUCGUCUUUAUGAAAUCAGAAGUAAUUUCAUCAACAGAUACAACAUGAUUUUUCCUAAACGAAUUUAGAAGAAAUUAAUUCAAGAUUGUCCUGAGAAUUUGUUUGUAUACCAUUUGGUGUAUUCAUAAAUAAAUUGAUUUCUGCGGGAUGCAGAGAGAGUAAGAAUCCUUACUAUAGAGUCGAUAUCCCAGACGAGUGCAGGUUGAUUUUCGCACCGACGACAGUAGAUGCAAUGUCGAGGAGGGAUAUAAUUGCAUGGGUGAAAAAGUCGACUGCUCAUCCUCCUAUCAACUUUGUUGAAUCAAGAAGCAACUCCUAACAGAUAUGUUAUAGAACAAAUUCACUUCAACAAAGAACAGAAAAAUGGCUGGGAAUUACAAAGACUAACUUCAAAAUAUCAGAAAAUCGAAGACAGGCUCACUUCUCACCAGAAAAGAAUUAACGAGAAUCCAAGAACGUGAAAAAUGGCUGGGAAUUAGAAACGCAGAAAGACUGAAUUAACUUUGAAGGAUAAAAUGCAGAGAAGAGGAUGUUAAUAUAGAAAACUCAGUCCUUGAUUCUUGAAUCCAAGCUCUGUAUUUGCCUUUAAUUCAGAAAGGAGGGAAUUUUGAAAGAGAAUUUUUUUUUUCUUUUUUUCUUUACGAGAAAUAUAGUUGAUAUCUUAAUAAUGUUAUUAUUGUGUGAAUUUCUAUGGUAAAAAUGUACUUUUAUCGAGUAUUUAUACCAAACAUAAAUGACUGAUAUAAUAAUUAAUAACGAUUAAUUAAUGUAGAGAGAGACGAAGAUCGACUUACAUAUGAAAAUCUAGGAGAAGUUAGUGAAGAUUUGAGUAAAUCAUUUGGUUUCAUAUCGAAGCGUUCAACUAAAUAAAGAAUUCAUCUUGUAAGGAGAUUAAUCGAGCAAUACAGAGAAAGAAAGUUUGACUUACCUAUGGUGUUCAUCGAUCUAGAAAUAAAACAUAUGAUAAAGUCCUAAAGAGGAUUCUACGGAGAUGUUUGGAGGCUAAAUAUGUAGAUGUAGCUUAUAUUAGGGCGAUAAAAACAGGUAUGUCCGCCUUAAGAUUCAAGUGAAUACAAUUGCAGGAGACUUGAAGCACUCCCCCAUCUUGAUGAUUGUUGCACCACAAUUCAGCUCUUAAUCUGUUUUAAUUUGUCAUGGUGAUGGUCUGAUGGAUGAACCAAUGCGGCAUAUCCAGGGGAAUGCGUCAUGAUGUAUAUUAUUUGCAGAUGAUAUAGUGUUGAUGCGAUAGUCGACAAUUUAAUGAUAGACUGAAUAUUUGGGGACCAACUCUAAAGUCUAAAAGGUUCAAGUUUAGCAGGCUAGAGAUUUGACGGUUCUUUUUAAUGUUCAUACUCUUUCUAUUUCUUAAAGUUAAAUUGUUUGACGAAUACAAUCCUUCUUCUUGGUAAACAAAAUCACUAAACCAAGUUCUUGUGUACUUUUAUUUAUAAAAAUGAAAUAAGAUGUAGAAGUCAACUAAUAGUUUACAUAUUCGAACCGUGAAAGCAAUCACUAAUACUUGCAUCAGGAUAGACUGUCUACAUUAUGUCCCUUAGGUGUGGAACUUUUUUUGGUCAAGCAUUCCUAUAUUGUUAUUUAUAGCAUAUAAUUUACGAAAUUGUAACUAAUAUUAAUAAGAAGUUUCAAAUUUAAACAUUUUCGUUAAUUUAGUUAGGCUGUACAUAUGAAUGGUAAAUAACGAUAAAAUUACUCUCUUAUUAAAUUAAUAAAUUAAAUAGGGUAUUUGCUUCCUCUUCAAUCUAUCUUUCAUCCUCUAUACUCAUUUCUUUUGAAUAUUUUUGAUGAUUUCACAUUUUAUUUCAACUCAAUUUCUCUAAAUUCUCUAUAUCAUUUUGUCAUGUUUGAUUCAUACAUGGAAAAAUGAAUAUUUUUGUGUCUCAUUUUUUUUUUAAAUCGAGAAAUCCCCCUCGACAAGUGGUGCAAGGCAUGAAACUUUGGUAUAUAAUAGGCCCGUUCUAUUACAAACUGAUAAGCAUUUUGUAAAGUAUUAACUAUAUCUUUCUGCAUUUUGAUCGGCAUGAGUAGGCUAUCAUUGUCUGCAUUUUCAUCAAUAUUAUUUAUUCUAUCAGCCAGUUGAUCUACAUCUUCUUUCAGUUCAUUGGUGCGUCUCCAUCUUCAUCGUCAUUUCUAUUCAUUGGCGUCUCCAUUUUGAUCAUGAUCCCGUUCAUUAACACCUACAUCUUGAUCAGCAUUUUGCUCAAUAGCGCUUCCAUUUUGAUCAUGAUCCCGUUCAUUUUCACCUCCAUCGUGAUCAUCAGGAGCCUGUCCAUUAGCGCCUCCAAAGAGAAAAUUAAGCAACGUUACAUCAUUCCAGUAAAUAAGCUUGUCCCUGCAGCAAAAUACUUAUCUGAAUUAACACCUUACAAGUCAUGUGUAGAGUCUCAAUUUGCAAACUCUUAAUUAGAAACUUACAAUCUCAUAUAGAAUCGUCCUUCUCUAUAAUACCUAGACGGUUGGGAAACUACACAAAUAUUAUUACAAAAUAGGUAUCACAAGUGCCAAUAAUCAUUGCUUUUCUUUUCUUAAAUACAUCUUGAUUCAAAGCACAUUCAUAAAAAUUGGAAUUUAUGAAAUAUUUACUUCUCAAAAAGUAGUAAUAUCACCCUUUUCAUGAAUUGGAGCACGAGUGCAUGUUAUUAGAAUGUAGCUAUUUGACAUGAUUGUAAUACCAUGACAAGAUUAAUUUUUUUUCUUUUACAAAAAUAAUACUACUCUGUUUCAUAAUACUUGAUUCUUAUUGAUCCGACACGUCUUUUUAAAAAAAUUUAAUUUGAAGUAUAUUUUAUCAAAAUAACUUUAUUAAUGAUAUUUUAGAACUCUAAAUUUAACUAGUAUUAUUUUAUGUAGUUAUUUAGAACUCUUAAUGUACUAGGAAAGUUUUAACUGACUCAUAAUUUCUUUUUUCAUAAAAGUUUAAAGGUGGAACUCAUCAGCAAACAUCUAAAAUUGACACGAUUUUUCACUUAAAUACCUCAAGUAAGCAUUGCACAUUUUAAACUCCCGUAUAGUAAGGCUCUACUAGCUUGAUGCUGGUCGAGCGAACCCCUUGCCCCACCAUGUCCACUAAAUAAAAUAAUUAGAAUCAAAAUCCUUGAAAUACGACAAUAUAUAUUUGGAGAAUUCAAAUAACUAAUUCUACAAGUGUUGGAAUAUUUGUCUAGUCAACUCACGCUUACACCAAAUAAAUAGGAAAACUGGAGGAACUUCAAGCACCAGGGUUUCGUGGUGUAGUUGGUUAUCACGUCAGUCUAACACACUGAAGGUCUCCGGUUCGAGUCCGGGCGAAGCCAUUUUUCCGAUAUGUUAAAAGGUUACCAAAUAAUUACAUAUACCAAAUGUAUGUAGCUAGUAAACUAGCUCUUAAGCUUUUAGGCAGUAAGUAGUACCUCACUGCUUGUGCACCCUACAUAUUUAUUGGAUCGAUCUCUACCAGAACAAUAACGUAUCUGUAUCUGUAAAUUAUAAUACACUACUAAAUACACACAGCUUUUAUCUCUACCAGAACAAUAACGUAUCUGUAAAUUAUAAUACACUACUAAAUACACACAACUCAAAAAGCUGUGAUUUCAAAUUAAACGGAUACCAAGCAUAGCCAUAUUACAAAAUAACAAGAUGGUUUUAACUUUUUUCUCAAACAUUUGACAAAUCCCAAACAUAAAGAAGAAGUGGAUUAUGUUAUCUGUUGUUAAAUCAACUUCAGGAUUUGAGCGAAAACUGAAAACCAUUACAUCCAAAAAAUUUAAUAGUCUCUGUUAAUCCAACUUCACCAUAUAGCAAAACAUCAUCUUUCCCAAUACUAAAGUUCAGUAGCAUUUACUGCCAAGUGUCAAGCAAAAUAUAAGGAAAUAGAUCAGUAAUCUCAUAGUAGCUUUUAACUGGUUAGUAGCUUUUAACUGAUUGAUUAUUCUCAAAUGCUUGACAGAUGGCUAGUAUCAAGAAAUUAAAAACAAACUAAGCAGCAUACAGAGAAUAGUAGUACUGCAAUCUCAAAACAGAAUAUCACACAAUUAUGGAAUUAGCAUUUUGUGUAAUUAUGAAGUCUAGUUACUCUACUCAGAAAGUGUAUAUCUUUCUGCAUUUUGAUCAGCAUGAAUAGGCUAUCAAUGUCUGCAUUUUCAUCAUUAGUUGGUUCAUAUUAUCUAUUCCAUCAGCCAGUUGAUCAACAUCUUCAUUCAGUUCAUUGGGGUGCCUGCAUCUUGAUCAUCAUUCUGUUCAUUAGCUUCUUCAUGUUGAUUAUCAUUUUGCUCAGCAGCACCUACAUCUUGUUCAUCAUAAACCUGUUCAUUAGCAUCUCCAUAUUGAUCAACAUUUUUCUCAGUAGCAACCACAUCUUGUUCAUUAGGAACCUGUUCAUCAGUGCCUCCAUCUGGAUCAGCAGCACCUACAUCUUGCUCAUUAGGACCCCGUUCAUUCGCAUUUCCAUCUUGAUCAGCAUGUUGCUUGUUAGUGCCUCCAUCUUGAUCAGCAUUUUGAUCAUUAUCGUCUGCUAAACCUUGUUCCCCAUUUAAAAGAAAUAGUGGUACCCCGCAUAAAAGGAACAACGGUACACCAUUCCAGGAACUACUAGUCAUACUGCAUAUAUAUGUGUAGAGUCUCAAUUUGCAUAAUUUUAUUUAGAAACUUACCAUCUCAGACAGAAUCUUCCUUCUCUAAAUAACAUGAAGUGUUGGGGGACUGCAAUCUUCGGAAAUCAUUAAUUCAGAAUUUAAUAAAAAGAAGCAGCAAAUCUGUCUUGUUCAUCAAAAUCAAAUGCUCUUUAAUAUUAGUAUCUUACAAUUUGACACCCGAGCAGCAUUCCACAUUUGGCAGAGUUUAUUUCGGCUGUGGUAAGUCCAUGUAUCACAGGAUCAUCAGUCACGUCGUCAGAUACUCUUAAACAUUAAACCUGCAUAUAUAUAUAAAGGCUAGUAACGUUUGCAAUAAUACAUAUCCAAGUUGCUGAAAUAUUCAAUUUUCAGAAUUGCAUGAAGUCAUGAAACUUACACUCUAGCAAAGACCACUAUUGGAAAACGGGAUAGCACCUGCAAAGUGUACAAGACAAGAAAGUUAGCAUAAUAAAAUGUUCUGUGCUUAGUCAAGAAAUAUAACUAUGCUAAAUUAAUCGCAAUUCAUGAUACUAUCGUCUUUAUGAAAUCAGAAGUAAUUUCAUCAACAGAUAUAUUAUAGAACAAAAAACAGAAAAAUGGCUGGGAAUUAGAAAAGAAAUUAACGAGAAUCCAAGGAAAGUGAAAAAUGGCUGGGAAUUAGAAAUGCAGAGAGACUGAAUUUAAUGGGAUAUUUGAAGGAUAAAAUGCAGAGAAGAGAAUGUUAAUAUAGAAAACUCAGUUCUUGAUUCUUGAAUCCAAGCUCUGUAUUUACCGUUAAAUUCAGAAAGGAGGGAAUUUUGAAAGAUAAAAUUUCUUUUUUAUUUUUCCCCUUAAGAAGAAGUAUUACAACUUACCCUCCAAAAUUAUUUUCUUUUUAACUUUAUCGUGUUUUAAACGUACAUAUAUAGAAUACCAUUAUGUUUCCGUUUCUUUUUUCUUUACUUACGAGAAACACAGUUUAUAUCUUAAUAAUGUUAUUGUUAUGUGAAUUUCUAUGGUAAAACACAGUUUACUGAGCCACCUGAGACUGAAGCUUUAAUUUUAGGAUUUCUUUUAACAAGUCAGGAUCCGAUUCGUUACUCCAGAAAUAUAUUUUCUGCUUCCUCGUUUCCUUGGCCUAACGUUAACAUGAUUUGCUUAUAUCUAGACUGCAGUAGCGACUUUUGCGAAAAGGUAUACCGUGAUAGAAGAAAUGGCUUUCUCUAAGAUAUACAAUAAACAGACUAGCAUUCUCUGUCAAGCAACUAACAAAAACAAUUGCAUAGCAGUAUUCAGUGACUUUUAAACUAUAGAUUAUUGUCGAAUGCUUGAAUGCUUGACAGAUGACUUGCAUCAAGAAAUUAAAGACAAUCUAAGCAGCAUAUAGAGAACAGAAGUGCCUGAGCUCAAACAUGUAAAAGUUCAUAGAAAUUAAAGAAAAACUAAGCAGCAUAUAGAGAACAGAAGUGCCUGAGCUCAAACAUGUAAAAGUUCAUAGAAAUUAAAGAAAAACUAAGCAGCAUAUAGAGAACAGAAGUGCCCGAGCUCAAACAUGUAAAAGUUCAUUGUCAAUCGCUUUUCUCCAAAAUGAAGUAAUAAUAUGUACUAUAAUCCCCAAAACCAAAAAAAAAAUAUCACACUGUUCUGAGUUAAUAUUUGUAUGCAUGAACUCUAGUGACUCUACCAAAUGGAAGUGUAUUCUUCGUAAAUCAUCAUAAGCUGGUUUUGCAGCAUCAGUAGGCUAUCCAUGUCUGCAUUUUCAUCAAUGGUUGGUUCAAAUGUUUUGAUUUAGAUCAAAAUUGUCAAUUCCCUCAGCGAUAUCUACAUCUUGAUUAGGAACUUGUUCAUUAACGCCUCCAUCUUGUUCAUUAGCACCUCCAUCCUGUUCAUUAGCGCCUCCUUCUUGUUCAUUAGGAACCUGUUCAUUAGCUCCUCCAUCUUGAUCAGCAUUUUGCUCAUUAGCACCUAAAUCUUGUUCAUUAGGAACCUGUUCAUGAUCGCCUCCGUCUUGAUCAGCAUUUUGUUCAUUAGCGCCCAAAUCUUGAUCAUUAGAAGCCUCAACUUGUUCCUGGUAACGCUGAAGCAAUGUUACUUCAUCCCAGUAAAUAAGCUCGUUCCUGCCACAAAAUACGAAUCAUUUACAACGUUACGUCUUACAAACCAUAUCACUUAUGCGUAGUUUCCAUUUUGUAAAAUUUUCAGAAACUUACAAUUUCAUCACGAAUCUUCAUUCUUUAUAAAAACCUGGACGGUUGGGUGACAGCAAUCUGGAGAAAGGAUAAAGUCUGUAUAAGCAAAACAAACAAACCAGGAACUGCAAAAUUGUCUUAUUAAUGAGAAUGAAAUGCUCUUUAAUAUUAAUAUCUUACAAGUUUCCACCCAAGCUGGUUUCCACAUUUGACACAGUAAACAUCGGCUCGGGUUUGGCCAUCUAUUACUUCAUGAUACGGCUCUUCCUCAAACAUUAAACCACAGAAAUUCCAAUUUCCAAAAUUGGAUGAAAUCAUGUGACUUACACAUUAUGAAAGAUCCCAUGUAGCACUAAGACCCAUUGUAGCACUAAGGAUGGCAACUGCAAAAUGUACAAGACGAAAAUUAAACAGAGUUGCUGAAUUAAUCACGAAGAGCUGUCGAAAUUAUGGGAUUGAAUCUUACAUCAUAUCCUCUUCAUGAAAUCAGUAGCAUUUCAUCAAAACAUACAAAAUGUUUUUAUGUACGAUUCAGAAAAUUAUCAUUCAAAAUUAUACUAUAUGUGGAAUCACAAGAAAAACUCAGAACAUACAACAUGACAUACUACAAAUGUAGAUUCAGAGAGAGUGAGAAUCCUUACCAAAGUAAGGAUAUUCUCGAUGAAUGCAACUCGAAUUUCGUACCUACGACAAAAGAUGCAAUCAGUAGCCUGGAUUUCGUCGUACUCAAGUAUGAAGGGCCUUCCCAUUGUAUCAACUUUGUGAAUCAAGGCCCUGUUACGUUGCACAAUAAAUUUUCUUCAACAAAGUGCAAGAGAAAUAUCAAAUUUGAGAAUUCAAGAAAGUGCAAAAUGGAAAUGAGAAGAGAAUGUCAAUAUAGAAAAGUUGGUUCUUGAUUCUUGAAUCCAAGUUAUGUAUUUACCGUUAAUUCAUGUAGGAGGGAAAUUUGAAAUAUCUUCACAUUAACCCCUAUUUAACAAUUUCCUUUUUCUAUUUUAUUUUUUACAUAUUGUUCAAUUUACCCUCCACAAAUUAUAUAUUUUUAAAUUGUAGUGUGAAUUUCGAUCUCAAAAAAUCAGAAACUUUGCUCAAUGAAAGAUGAGUAAUGGGUGCAAUUAGAGGUGAUAAAAUUAGCCACGAAAAUAUCACACUCAAUUCAUUCGAAAUGACCCGCUUAGUAGUUAUUAGCUUGGUGCAUUAAAAAUUGAACGACAUGGCCUAAACUAACUCAUGAUAAAUCUUAUCAAAUAUUUUCAAAUAAUAUCUUUUUAAUUGAUGUAUUAUAUACCGUCAUGAUAAAAAAUAAAAAAAAUUAUUAUGUACUAAAAAUUAUAAAAUAAACAAAUAAAGUAAUUAAAACACAGUAUGAAUUGAGCGAAUCGGAUUUUGACCCGAAUUUUAAUCCAUUUCAUUUCCAAGUAACUUUUAAGCGGGUCAAUAACCUACUCAGUUAUUAACUCAAUCUAUUUUAAUCCACUCGAAUUCAGCUAAUCCAUUUGACAACUCUAGAUGCAAACUAGAGACUAACUAGCACAAUGGGGAACUGAGGGUGCAACACUGCAACUUGCCCUUUGUAUCAUAAUGAUAAGGGUGUCAAACGGGCCGGCUUGGCCCAGCCCGACCCGGCCCAUGUAACUAACUCAAGCCGGUUUGACCCGGCCCGAUCAGUCCACGGGCUGUAGGAUACAGGAUACUGGGCUGAGUUAUUUUUUGUUUUGGGCUCGAUUAACCUGGCUCGGACCAAACCCGGUCCGAGCUUGUCGGUUAACCGGCCCGAAACCUUUUUUUUAUAUUAAAAAAAAUGAUUUCUGCAUAUUGGGCCAAUUUGACCGUUGGGCCCAACGGCUAUAUUACCGUUUGGGCCCUAAAAAUGGCUAAUUGGCCUAAUUUAAAAAAAAAUCAAUUAAAAUAUUUUUUAAAACUCAAAAAAAAUCAUAUAAAUACCCUACACUUUCAAAUCAUUCUCCAAACAAUUUUCAUUCUCUCAACUCUCAAUUCUCAAAUAUUCUAUAUAUUUCCUAAAGUUCUUACUUUAAUUUUUAAAUUUUGCGAUUACAAAGUACGAGUAGAAGUUUCUAAAGUCGCAACCUUCAAAUACUUCCAAAAUUUGGUAUUGUCGUUCAUCUCUUACGUUUAAUUUUUAAUUAGUGUAUUAAUUGUUGAAUAUUUAAUUUUAUUAUAUUUGUGUAUUUUGAAUUUUUUUAGUUUAAUUUAUAUUAUGGAUAAAUUAAGAAACCUCGCCACUAAAGGUGUUAAAAUUUUUUGUCUCGGAAGUGGUAGUGGUAGUAAAAAAUGAAUUACUAGCGGUAGAGGUACUUCAAGUAGUAGAUAUACCUGUGUGCCUCUGCCUCCGGUACCGCUUAGUCAACCUUUUGAGGAAGAAAUAGGUGUAGGUGCUCACGAUAUGGAUCAUGUUCAAGCUGGGAAAAAUUAUGGUAUAGAAGAAGAAAAUGAAGUAGAUGCGGUUAAUUUAGAUGAAGAUGAUGAAAAUAUUGGUGAGACACCCACAGUAGGAAAUGCUAACGUUAGAUCUGAAUCGGUUAAUCUCCUUCCCCGUCCUCCCCGUUUCCCAAGAGCUCGUAAAAUAACUAGUAUUGCAUGACAAUUUUUUGAACGUAUAUCAGAUAUUGAGGUGCAAUACAAUAUUUGUCAACAAAUAUAUAAGCAUAAAAAAGGAGGCAAGCAAGGGGGUACGGGUACGUUAAUGAGACAUAUAAGUGAUAAUCACGAUAGAAAGUUAAAAAUUGCACAGGGUGGUGCGCAUGUUGGUGGGCCAACACAAACUAGAAUGGACCCAAAACCGGUCAGGUAAUGAAAAAAUAUAAUAAAUUGAGGGACUGGGAAGAAAUAGCUAAAAUGAUUGUUGUGGGUUGUUUGCCUUUUAGUUUUCCUUCUUCUGAUGUCUUUAUUCAUUAUAUUCAAGUAAUUUAUAAUCCUAUGUUUAAUGGUAUUCCUAGAAGUAUUUGUAGGGCCAAUAUUUUUAGACUUCAUUCACAAUAUUGUUUUUAUUUAUCAACAUUGUUAAAAAAUAUUCAAUGUAGAAUAUCCCUAACUUCUAAUGUUGGCCGUGCUGUAAAUAAAAAUGACUAUUUAACCAUUACUUGUCACUGUAUAGAUAGUAAUUUUGUUAUGCAAAACAUAUUCUUGCUUCUUUAUAUAAUGAAGAUCUUAAACAUACUGGAGAUUUUAUUGCUGAUUUGAUUGCUAAAGUUGCGGAAUUUUACGAUAUUGAAAAUAAAAUCUUAUGUAUUGCUUUUGAUAAUGCUUCUAACAACAAGACCGCUAUAACAAAGUUAAAAUUUAAGUUAUCUCCGUCGUUACCUGAAAUUUUUCAUGUUUUAAGUGUGCUUGUCAUAUAUAUAAUUUAAUUGUAAGAGAUGGUCUUGAGUUUUUUGAGCUUUAUAUUAAAAAAAUUCGGCUUGCCGUUGGUUUUAUUCAAGGAAAUAAUCGUAGAAAAAGAAUUAGAGACUUUAAACUUAAAUGUGAACAAAAUGGACUUGCACCGAUAUUGAUCUCCGAAGAAUGUGAUACUAGAUGGAAUGCUACGUAUGAUUUUUUAAAAACUUGUUAUAAAUAUAGAGUUUCUAUUACACUAUCUUUUAACCAACAUUGUGAUUCGUUUGCUGAUUCUGCCCACUACACGCUACAUGAUUCUGACUAGGCUGUAAUUAAUGAUCUUGUUAAGUUUUUAAAAAAAAAUUAUAUAGCUACGGUUGAAUUUUUCGGUGCUUAUUAUCCUAUUGUUUGUAAUAUUUUGGCAUAUAUAGCCGAUAUUUCUGGUUUUCUCGAAGAAUAUAAAAAUAAAGAAGGUUACAAAUAAGUUGUUGGUGUCAUGUUUGCUAAAUUUAAAAAAUAUUUUUUUCGAUUUCCCCUAUUUACUUGGUUGGUGUUAUACUAAUUCCGUGCAUGAAAUAUAAUACUAUGUGCCGCUUUAGUAUUCUUAUUUAUGCUAACUUAGAGAUAAAUACUAACAAUGAUUCUCGUGAUGAAGAACAAGAACAACCUGAUUUGUGGAUGGCUAUGGGGGAUGCGAAUGCUUACAUAGAUAAAUUAUAUAACCACUAUGCUGAUUUGGUUGAUUUAGCUGUACCGACAAAUAUCACUCCAACUGUCGUUCCUCAUCCUCCCGAGGAGCCAUCAUCUUCUAAAAGGCCGGCACAUAAUGGUAUUCCUGAUUUCUUUUAUGAUUUACCUUGUUGGAACAGUGUUGACGAGGGAGCUUACACAACAACUUGUCGGGAAGAGCUGAAGUAUUAUCUUCGAACACCGAUAGAGGAUCACAGACAACGGAUCAACGCGUUGGAUUGUGGAGGAAUAAUGAAACACAAUAUCCCGUGCUUUCAAGAUUAGCCAGAGAUAUCUUGAAUGUUUCAAUGUCAAUCGUUGCAUCGGAGAGCGCUUUUAGUCAGGGAUGACAGCAGCUUGGAGACAACCAACAUUCAUUGGGAAGUAAUGCAAUGAAUAUUCUAGUUUGCCUUAGAGAUUGGAUUAGAACGGAACGAAGAAAUCAAGGAAUGGAAGCGGAGCCGAACGACGAGCAGAGACUUGAAGAAAUUAUGACUUUACGGGAGAACUCAGCAGAAUCAAGUCCAAUGCAUGGUUUUUUCCCCAUUGACUUUGACUAUCCUAUGCAAGUUCCCGUUAAUAUUAACAUGAAUGAGUUGGAAAAAAUGAUGCAAAAUUUGUAGAUUUUCCAUCCAUGUAAAUUAUAAAUUUUGAAUCAUUUUGCAAUCAAUAAAAUUCAACAUUCAUUCACUCUUUAGUCCUUACUUUGUAAUUUUUUCCAUUUAAUGAUGUAAAUUGAAUUUCUAGUUUAAAUUAAAUACUUAAUUUUAAUAUAUUACUAAUUUACUAUCAAAUAUUAUUAAUUUAUUAUAUUAAGUAGCAUAUGUUUUAUUUAAAGAAGUACAUACAUUGAAUGAUACGUAUACAUGUGUAUAUGUUUUAUAAAUUAGUAUAUAUUUAACGUAUACAUGUGUAUAUGUUUUAUAAAUUAGUAUAUAACUAUAUAUUUAGUGCGUGUAUAUGUUGAAGUAUAUGUUUUAUUUAAAGAAGUACAUACGUUGAAUGGUACGUAUAUAUGUGUAUAUAUUUUCUAAAGAAGUAUAUAUUUAAUGUAUACAUGUGUAUAUGUUUUAAAAAUUAGUAUAUAUAUCAUUAUAUUGUAGUAUAUGUUUUAUUUAGAGUAGUAUAUAUAGUUAACUAACGUAUAGUCGUAUACACGAUUACAUGUGUAAUUACGUAUAUGUAUUAUGUGUAUAUAUUUUUUAAAGUCUAAUGUAGUAUAUACUAUAUAUAUAGUGUAUAUAUAUUGUUUAACAUAUGUAAAAUGUAUAUAGGUGGGUAUAUAUAGUGUAUAUUGGAGAAAAAACUUUUUUUUUGUUGUUUGACCGGUUUUGACCGGGUUUAGAUGGGUUGGACCGGGUUGGGUUAAGUGGGCCAGUUCAGGCUGUUGGCCCCGGAACCGGCCCGGCCCAUUUAACUAGGCCUGGAUCCGGCCCGGCCCACUAACCGGCUGCCGAUUUCGAGUUGACCCGGCCCGACCCACUUAGCACCCUUACAUAAUGACAAUGAGACUCUGUCACAUUUGUUACUAAACUUGCUCCAUCUCAUUGCGUGGUAUAUCAUAAUAGGCCAAUUUUUUCUGUUAGUACUUUACAAAUCAUAUAGCAUAUGCGUAUGGAGGGGCUGCAGCCAAAAGUACAGGAUGUCAUACAGGUUCAUAUAGUACUUUCUUCAUUCUUGUCAAUUAGUAGAGGUUCAUUUCCUUAGGAUUGGCAAGGUAACGCCUAGCCCUCUCUAAGAAUUAUACAGAACUCCAAAAGCAGUAAACUUGAGUGCUUGUGCACCCUUCAUCUUUAUUCUGGAUGUCAUACAGAACUCCAAAAGCUGUAAAUAUGCUUCAUGUAGCAGAUUUUUAGAUGUCAAACUAAAUAAUACACGGAUAGCCUUUUUCUAAGGCCACCCUCCAGUACUAGCGUUAGCCACAAGGCAGCAUAGAGAGAGCCUUUCAGCAUCUCGGAAAUUGUUUGCGCAUCGCCAUAUUACAAGAUAACAAUAUAGUGGAUUGUGCCAUCUGCUCAUAAAUCAACUCCAGGGUGAUAAUACAAGCCAUCAGAUAAACAAUUUUCAAAUAUAUGUGUUGAGAUUGAACUUUACCACAUACUGUAAGAAAAAACAAACUAAAGUUCUCUAGCAUUUACUGUCAAGCAACAUCCAAGGAAGUAUAGUUGACUUGCUUAAGGAAACUAAAAGAUAAACUAAGCAGUAAACAGAGAAAGUAUGAACUCUAUUCAGAAACUGUGCAUCUUUCUGCAUUUUGAACAGCAUAAGUAGGCUAUCAUUGUCUACAUUUUUAUCAAUAUUAUCAAUUCCACCAGCCAGUUGAUCUACAUCUUCCUUCAUUUCGCUGGCACGCUUCCAUCUUGAUCAUGAUUCUGUUCAUUAGCAUCUCCAUCUUGAUCAGCAUUUUGCUCAUUAGCGCCUCCAUCUUGAUCAGCAUUUUGCUCAUUAGCGCCUCCAUCUUGUUCAUUAGGAUCCUGUUCAUUAACGCCUCCAACUUGAUCAUUAGGGCCUCCAUCUUGUUCAUUAAUGCCUCCAACGUGAUCGUUAGGGCCUCCAUCUUGUUCAUUAGGAACCUGUUCAUUAAUGCCCCCAUCUUGAUCAUAAUUCUGUUCAUUAGCAUCUCCAUCUUGAUCAGCAUUUUGCUCGUUGGCGCCACCAUCUUGAUCAGCAUUUUGCUCAUUAGCACCUCCAUCUUGAUCAGCAUUUUGAUCAUUAGCGUCUAAACCUUGUUCCCCGUCUAAAUUAAACAACGGUACCCCAUCUAAAAGAUUCAACGGUGCACCAUUCCAGGAACUAAUCGUGUUCCUGCCACAAUAUACUUAUCUUUAUUAAAACUUACUAGUCAUACUGCAUAAGUGUACAGUUUCAGUUUGCAUAUUUUUAAUUAGAAACUUACAAUCCCAGACAGAAUCUUCCUUCUCUAAAUAACACGAAGUGUUGGGGUACAGCAAUCUGCGGAAAUCAUUAAUUCAGUAUUUAAUAAAAGAAGCAGCAAAUCUGUCUUGUUCAUCAAAAUCAAAUGCUCUUUAAUAUUAGUAUCUUACAAGUCGACACCCGAGCAGCAUUCCACAUUUGGCACAGUUAACUUUGGCUGUGGUAAGUCCAUAUAUCUCAGGAUCAUCAGUCACGUCGUCUGAUAUUCUAACAUUAAACCUGCAUAUAUACAAAGGUUUGUAACGUUUGGGAUAAUACAUACCCAAGUUGCUGAAAUCAUAUGAAAUCAGAAUCGCAUGAAAUCGUGUAACUUACACUCUAGUAAAGACCACUAUUGGAAAACGGAAUAGCACCUGCAAAGUGUACAAGACAAGAAAAUUAGUCAAGAAAUAUAACAUACAUGCUAAAUUAAUUCAAGAUUGUCCUGAAUUUGUUUGUAUACCAUUUGGUGUAUUCAUAAAUAAAUUGAUUUCUGCGCGAAGCAGAGAGAGUGAGAAUCCUUACGAUAAAAUCGAUAUCGUAGACGAGAGCAAUAUGAUUUCUGCACUGACGACAGUAGAUGCAAUAUCGAGGACGGAUAUAAUUGCAUUGAUUAAAAAGUCGACUGCUCAUCGUAUCAACUUUGUUGAAUCAAAAAAAUGGCUGGGAAUUAGAAAGACUAACUUCAAAAUAUCAGAAAAUCGAAGACAGACUAACUUCUCACCAGAAAAGCAUUAACGAGAAUUCAAGAAAGUGAAAAAUGGCUGGGAAUUAGAAAUGCAGAAAGACUGAAUUUAAUGGGAUUUUUGAAGGAUAAAAUGAAGAGAAGAUAAUGUUAAUAUAGAAAACUCAGUUCUUGAUUCUUGAAUCCAAGCUCUGUAUUUACCGUUAAUUAAAAAAGGAGGGAAUUUUGAAAGAUAAAAUUUCUUUUUUAUUUUUCCCCUUAAGAAGAAGUAUUACAAUUUACCCUCCGAAAUUAUUUUCUUUUUAAUUUUAUCCUGAUUUAAACAUAUAUGCACCGACUUAAAAAUUAAAAUUGUAUAGAGAAUAGAAUAUCAUUAUGUUUCCGUUUCUUUUUUCUUUACUUACGAGAAAUAAAGAUUAUAUCUUAAUAAUGUUAUUGUUGUGUGAAUUUUUAUAGUAAAAAAUGUAUUUGUAUCGAGUAUUUAAAUGACUGAUAUAAUAUUUACAACAACAAUAACAUAUUCAGUGUAUUCUCACGUAGUGGGGUCUGGGGAGGGUAAAAUGUACGCAGUCCAUACCAUUACUAGAGAAGUUGUUUCCGAUAGAUCCCCUCGGGACAAAAAGACAGUAAUUAAAGAAGUAAUAAAACAUGAAACAAGGUGAACUAACCAAAAUAAAACACCCACAAAAUAUUACUAUACACUAUCAAACCAAAAUCACGCACCUAACCCAAACCCUCCUAGCUAGAAACUUCAAUCUAUGCACAAAGCCCCAUGAUACUAGCAAGGCUACACCCACACGCAACCCUCUAACCUAAUUUGUAUCCUUCAUACCUUCCUAUCUAGGGUCAAGUUCUCGGUAAGUUGUAACUGCUCCAUGUCACGUCUAAUCACCUCUUCUAGUAUUUCUUCGGUCUACCUCUACCCCACCUAAAAUCAUCCAAUGUUAAUCCCUCACGCCUACGAAUUGGCGUCUCAAUGCCCCUCUUCAUAACAUGUUUGAAUCAUCUCAACCUCACUUCCCGCAUUUUGUCCUCCACCGAAGUCACUCCCACCUUUCCCGAAUAGUCUCAUUCUGAACUCUAUCUCCCCUAGUAAGUUCACGCAUCCAAUACAACAUCCUCAUAUCUGUCACCUUCAACUUUUGGAUGUGCGAGUUCUUGACUGGUCAAUACCCGCUCGAUACAACAUAGUCGGACGGAUUGCCACUCUAUAGAAUUUUUCUUGUAGCUAGGAGGGCAACUUCUUAUCACACAAAACUCUCGACACAAGCCUCCAUUUCAUCUACCUUGUCCUAAUAAAUAAUUUGGUUUCAUAUUGAAGCGUUCAACUAAAUAGGCAAUUCAUCUUGUAAGAAAUUUGAUCGAGCAGUGUAGAGAAAGGAAGAUUGACUUAUAUAUGGUGUUCAUCGACCUAGGAAAAAGCAUACGAUAAUAUCCUUAAUGUACAUGUAACUGUUGGGUUCAAUAUGUAUGAAAAAAGCGUAAAUGGAAAAUUGAGGGACACAACCUUUGAGGAAAAGACAUAUUGUUUUGGAAAAGGGGUGACUAUUCAGAUAGUUGUGUCUGUUCAAAAAAAGACACAAUGUUUCGAAUGAACAGACAUGACUCUUCCAAAGGAUACACCUUUUCAGAUGAACCAUUGCUACCUUUAGGAAGGGGCACUUGAUGGCUAUAUAAACCUGCAUUUAUCCACAGGUUUAGGCAUGAAAAAUUUUCUGAAUAUACAAACUCUUCUUGUCUUUAAAACAUUCUGUGUGAUCAAUCAAACUGUUGAGUGAGUUCGUUGAAUCCAACAAUUUGAGGUACCGCUAUUAUUCGGAUUGAAGGGGAUUUUAUCCUAGGAGGAAGAUUCCAUAACCUCGGGUACAGUGAGGAGAAUUAUUCCUUAAUGACACUCCGUGAAGUCGGGGGACUUGGCCUUACAAAUUCUAUUUCAUCUAUUUUCUGAAAAUAAACACACUUCUUAGAUAGAUUAUUCAUAAUCUAGUGCUGAAGGUGUUAAGUAACUUCAAAAGUGUUCUUGUCUUGGAGUUGAACUAAAGUUGAAGUUGGUGUUACAUGUAUACAGAUUUUUGUACCCAAACACCACAAAACUACAGUAACUUACAUUAAGGCGAUAAAGAUAUGUCUGGUGGAGUCAAGAUCCGAGUGAAUACGAUUGAAGGAGACUCAAAACACUUUCCUAUCUUGAUGGGGUUGCACCACGAUUCAGCUCAUAGUUUGUUUUAAUUUAUUAUGGUGAUGAAUGAACUAAUGUUGCACAUCGGGGAGGGGGGAGUAGCAUGAUGUAUGUUAUUUGCAAAUGAUAUAGUGUUGAUGAGAUUAGCGACAAGUUAACGAUGGACUGAAGAUUUGGAGACCAACUCUAAAAUCUGAAGGGUUCAAAUUUAGCAGACUAGAGAUUUGACAGUUCUUUUUCACGUUCAUACAUUUUCUAUUUUUUAAAGUUAAAUUGGUUGUCGAAUACCAUCCUUCUUCUUGGUAAACAAAAAUCAUUAAACUAAAUUUUUGUGUACUUUAAUUUAUAAUAAUGAAAUAAGAUUUAAAUGUCAAGUGGUAGUAUUACUACUAUUAAUAAGAGUGAAAAACAGGCAGCACUUCGUCAACAUGACUGCUUCUUCACCUGUUUCAGUUGCUUCGUGAUUUUACUAUAUUAUCCCUAAUUAAUUAUUUUAACUUAUUUAUAUAUAAGAAAUAUAAUAAUACUUAAUUAAAAAAAAAAAAAAUAGACAUUUAUGACAUGUUUGUUUCAGCUGCUUUAAUUGUAGUUUUAUUUUAUCACCUCAAAUUAAUUAUUAUUUCUUACGCCCUUUCUGUUAUGUCAUACAUCCCCUUGUUUACUAUUCUUUACAUUGAGUCAGGGGUCUCUCGGAAACAACCUCUCUACUUAUUCGGAGGUAGCAGUAUGGAUUACGUACAUCUUACCCUCCCCAGAUCCUACUUUGUGGGAAUACACUGGGUUUGUUGUUGUUGUUGUUGUUGUAUCCAAGUAUUAAAAAAAUAAUAAUAUUUAAUAAAUAAUAAAAUAAAUAUAAAUGAUAAAUCAAUUCUUGAUGUUUUAAAUUAAUAGGACAUCUUAUAUGAGACUUAUUUUAAAAAAUUCACAAGUAUGUUUGCUCCAUGAUUUUACUAUAUUACCCCUAAUUAAUUAUUGUAAGACAUUUACAUAUAAUAAAAUUAAUAAUAUUUAAUAAAAAAAUAAAAUAGACAUUUAUGACAUGUCUACUUCAGCAGCUUCAACCGUAAUUUUACUAUAUCACCCUUAAUUGAUUAUUAUAAGUCAUUUAUAUAUUUAAAAUUUAAUAAUAUUUAAUAAAAAUAAAAUUGACAUAAAAUGAUAAAUUAAUUCUUGAUGUUUUAAAUUAACAUGACAUCUUAUAUGAGACUCAUUUAAUUUUUUUCACAAAUAUUUUCUCAUAAUAGUUUUUCUAUAUCACCUCUAAUUAGGUAUUAUAAGUUAUUUAGGAUAUAUCCACUUCGGUGCUUCAAUCAUUAAAUUUGGUUGACUCUCGAAUUUAUUUUAGUGCUACUUAAAUUGGAAUAGAAGAAAAAGUAUUAUAAAUCAUAAUAACUAAAAACUUAAAUUAUUUUAAGAAUAUAACUGAAUAUCAAUGCCACAAAAAUUUGAAUAAGGAGAGUAACACAUAUUAUUUGAAAAUUACAUAAAAAAAUAUUAUAAUUUACAAUAGCUAACAAUUUAAAAUAUUUAAAAACACAUUAAGAAUCUUAUUGAUUAUCUAAAUUAUGUUUGUGUCACGUAAAUUCGAGAUAGUCUUGACAUUUUAUAAUUUGCAUGUUUUAUUGUUUUAAUUUAGUAAUUUGUUGAUCCAAAUGAUGUUUUCAAAUUUAACAUGUUUUAAAAAAUUAGUACUUUGUUUAUUUUAAUUUAUUUACUUUAUUUUGGUAAAAUAUUAUAUAUUUAAAAAUUAUGCAAAAAAAAAAUUAUAAGUCAUAACUAUUAACAUCUUAUAAUAUUUUAAAAACAUAUAGUAAAAAAUAUGAUUUACUUUUGAAAUUCUAAUAGUGUCACAUAAGUUGCGAUAAAGCAAGUAAUAUAAAUUAUUUGAAAUUUCAUUAAAACAUACUAAAAUCACAAAGAUUAACAACUUCAAAUAUUUAAAAAAAUAUAUUAGUAAAAAAAAUUGAUUGACUCACUAAAUUCUAAUAUUGGGACAAAGCAAGUAACAUAAAUUACUAAAUUACAUAAAAGAUACUAUAAAUCACAAUGAUUAGCAACUUAAAUUAUUUAAAAAUUUUAUAUUAAUAAAAAUUUGAUUGACACUACUCCAAAAACUAUUUAUAUUAUAUAAAUUGAGAUAACGUAAAUAAUAUAUAUUAGGAGUGGAUGGAAGAAAUGAAGGGUCACCUUUUUUAUUUGAAAUUCUUGUAAUGUGACAAAACAUUUUUUUCCUUUUACUAGAAUACCAACUCUAUCCCGUAUUACUAUAUUGUUUUAUUUCCUAUUACAUAUCUUUUAAAGAAACUAGGAGAUUAUUUUUACCAAUUUAACAUUUAACUCUUUUUAUACUAUAUUAUAUUUACCUUCUUUAUCCAUCAAUAUAAAAAUUAACAAUGAAAAACUUUCUUGAAACUCUGCAUAAUUUUAUCUUAAUUUUGUAAAUUAAUAAAUAAUUUGAAACAUGUCGUAUCACUUGGGAUUUGACUAUCACUGGGGGUUUUUCAGUAAAAUCAUGUAGCACAGCUCUAGAAAGUGCAUACGACGCAAAUUCUCAAAACAAUCUUAUACCCAGAACCUAAUCUCCUUUAUUUGGAUUUGAAAACUUUGGAUCCCUCCGAAAUUAAAAUAUUUUCCGUGGCUCCUGAAUCAUGGACGAAUAACUAACUCUAGCUUGCUAUACCAUAUUAAAGUUGUAGAUUCUCCUAUGUGUAGGCUUUGCAAUACAAUGGCUGAAGAAACAAACGCUCGCCCUUUCGUCCUUUGUCCAAAGGUUGCACCAAUAUGGACUGGGUUUAGUGUCAUGCAUCAGCUGAGCACUCUUGUAUCAACUGAUACUCACCCGUCCCGAUGGUUACAUGAUCUAAUCCACCACUAUUUAAACCCCUCCGAAGGGGUGUGGUUACGCACACCCUCUAAGAUCUACAUGGCUUUUUGCAUCUGGCAUAUCUAACUUGCACGAAAUAAAUUCAUAUUUGAAAGUAUUCUCUUUUUACCGUCUUUAAAGGACGUUUCACAAAUGGCCGAGGAAUUUCGGUUCCUAGUAGGCCUUACGGGGGAAAACUAAGAUUUCAAUGGAUCCGAAGGGGCACACCCCCCCCCCUCCCCCCCCCGCGCGCAAGCAAACUGCAUGCUUAAUACUGAUUGUGCUUCUGAGACCUCAUCUACAAAUCAACAUUAACUCGGCCUAGGUGGUGUUUUCUGGAACUAUAAGGCGGAAUGGGUAUUAGGCUUUCAUGGAACCUGCGCUGUUACAGAUGUCCUGGAAGGAGAAACUUACGCUCUGUUAUUAGGACUCCGGUUUGUUUAUCAGAACAACCUUUUUCCACUGGAAAUUGGGAUAGACUCUCAACAAUUAGUCCGACUACUUGAUUCUAAUACAUAUCCGAAUUUAACUUUGAUAUCUGACUCAACUUUAAUAUCUGAUUAUAGGUACCUCCUGGGCGCACUAGAUAAUCGUCAACUGCACCACUUUUUCAGGGAACAGAAUAGGCUAGCUGACAGAUUGACAAGAUUACCUAGUACAAUCUCUACUACUAUGUUGUUUUGGACUCCACCACAGUCACUCAGUGACAUUUUGUAUGCCGAUAUAAAUGGAGUAUUAUUAGUUAGACAGUUGAACACUUUAACUGUUCACCCAAGCGUGUAUUAUAUUAGUCCCAUACAGGAUUUCAAGGGCUCCUACUUCUACUACCACACUUGUGACUCGAUCACAACUAGACUUGUAAAUGUUUUUGUGUUAUAAAUAAAACUCUGCCUGUUUCACCAAAAAAAAAAUCGUACGAACUAAAAAAUUUCUACGUUGCCUAGACCUAUUAUCAUGGCAAAAUGACCUUCUGGACCCUUGUACUAUGUCGAUUUUGUAAGUUAGAUACUUCUACUUAUAUGUUUGUCAUCUGGACCCCUGAAUCCACUAAAAAACAACAUUUUAAAUCCUUUUUUGGUGAGUGUAAUGCACUCUUUCCACGUCAGCGGCCACGCCUGCCUCAUUUGCCACGUUAUUUAAAAAAAUAAAAAAAUAGAAAGUAUUAUAUUAAAUUUCAAGUCAUUUUUAAAAUGCUAAAUAACAAAUUAAAUAUUAAAAUUAACUUAAUUAAAUAAGAAAAAUUUAUAAUUGUAGAAAAAUUUGAAUAAUCAUGUUUUUAUUUUUGCUCACAAAUUAAACAUCAAAUUCAUUCCAAAUAAUUAAAAUUCUUUUCGAACUAAUUUAAAUUUUGAAUUAUAAAUUCAUAUAUACAAACAUAAUAAAAUUUUGAUUUUUAAAUUUGAAUAUCUUUAAAAAAUUCACAAAAAGUUUAAUUUUUUUCAAGAAAAAUUCACUAAUUUUUUAAAGUAUUCACUAUCACUCAUUUUCAAUUCAAAUUUAAAUUUUAAUAAUAAUAAAAAAGAUUUCAAAUUUAAAUUUUUAUUCAAAAAAAUGAAAAGAAUUGAAUUGAGGGAAAAUUAAAAUAAAAAAUAAAAAGUAAAGAUGGUGGUAGGAAGGGGUGUUGGAAGAGUGUUGGGGUAGGGUGUGGGGUUGAAAAGGACUAGGAUGGGGUGGAGAUAGGGCUAGGAGAAGUUUGGGGGCUGGAGGUGGGGUUGGAAGGGGCUGGACUAAGAUAAUGAGGUGUGUGGGUGGGGAUAGGGCUGGGGUGANNNNNNNNNNNNNNNNNNNNNNNNNNNNNNNNNNNNNGGGGCGGGGAGGAAAAAAAUAAUUUUAUUUUAUUUUAACUUUUAAAAAAUAAUUUUAAAUUAUCUUAAAAUUCUAUUUUUUUAAAAAAAAAUUUAAAAAUAUUUUAAAAUUAUUUUUAAAUUUUUCAAAAUAUUUUUAAAUUAAAAAGGAUGGAGGAAAAAAAAGACCCUUUUUAAUUUUUUUUAAUUUUAAUAUUAUUUUUUAAAAUUAUUUUAAUGUAAAAUUGGCCUCCACUCGCACCAUCAGGCGAGUGGCUACACUCUAUUUGUCAUAGUCACCAUUUCAAUGCCACAUAGGCAAGAUCAACGGUCAAAUAGUGCAAAAUAUUAUGUUUUAAUGGGUACAAGGGUCCAGAUGACAAACAUAUAAGUAGAAGUGUCUAAAUUACAAAAUCGACAUAGUAAAGGAGUCCAAAAAGUGAUUUUGCCUAUUAUAAUCCCUAGAUCUUGUUUCACAUGGAUCCUAUCGCCGUCCAAUCAUAUUCAGUUUCCGGGUCUCACCCGGAUCGAUAUUUCUAUCCGUCGAUUAACAAGUAAAUCCCCAAAUAUUUAACGGCUGCGAUUGACUUCUCCAAAUCCCCCAAUUCAUUUCGAACCGGGAAAUUUACGUCGGCCCAAAUCCCCCAACUAUAAAUUACCCACCACCAUCUGCUUCAUUUCUCAUUCAAAUUCAAAACCCUAGAAUCUUUAUCUUCUUCAAAUUCGUCUCUGUGAAAAUGUCUGGCCGCGGAAAGGGAGGCAAGGGAUUGGGAAAGGGAGGAGCCAAGAGGCACAGGAAGGUUCUUAGAGACAACAUCCAGGGAAUUACCAAGCCAGCUAUUCGUAGGCUUGCUCGCAGGGGUGGUGUGAAGCGUAUCUCUGGUUUGAUCUAUGAGGAGACCCGUGGAGUUCUUAAGAUCUUUUUGGAGAAUGUGAUUCGUGAUUCAGUUACCUACACUGAGCAUGCUAGGAGGAAGACUGUUACUGCUAUGGAUGUUGUUUAUGCCCUCAAGAGGCAGGGAAGGACUCUCUACGGAUUUGGUGGUUAGAUCAGUUGUUAGUUAGUAGAUGUAGAUCUGAUGGAAAUUUCUGCUGUUUCUGUGUUUUAGUUUCUAUUUAGUGUUGUUCUACUUC
rnacentral:lncRNA from 1 species